CCCGUCAGGAACCUCUAUAAAUAGAGGGGUGGGGCGCCCUAGGGUUUAAUCCCUUUGGCCGAAACACAUCUGUCGUACCCCCCACGCCCUUGCCCUUUUGCAACUCACGGACCUAGCAGUCCGGCUUGCGACGCUUCCUCCUUGCACGUGUGGAUACCUUGGAGGUGUUGCACCUGCAGCACUUGGACGAGCCACCGACGAGCCACGACGAGCCGACAACGAGCCGUGGCACGAGGACAACCUUGCUGCACGUGGACGAGCUGCUGAGGAGCUGCUUGACGUCGACAUGAUCGACUACGUGUUCGACUACGCUGAUCGACUUUGCUACCCCAACGCGAUUCUACAUCUUCCGUACCAGUGCGUCGAGUGGUAAUCCCGUGAUCCAUACACGGCAGUUUUCCUAGUUUACGCGGUAGAAAAAUUUUGUUUUGCGCUAGCGUAGCCUACCUCGUAUCCCAACAGAAGAAGUAGCCUCUCGACAAGUGGCCCUAAGCUCAAUUCUUGAUGAGGUCCGUGCAAAACUCCAAAGCAUCCGAGUCCUCCUUCAGGAUGACAUCGGCCGAUUGGUAGAAGAUGCCUCGCUGAUUCGACAGAUCUUCAAUGAAAUAAAUGAUCGAGUCACGGAGGACACAGAGCAAGCUCUCGCACCCGCGGCAUACAUCGAAUCAAUGCAAAUUUCGGUAUUCAGAGCCCUGUGACACAUGGCCGAUCGUGCCAAGUUGGCAAAAGCAUGUGAAGAAGAGGAUUCCUAUAAACACCGAGCUCAAGAGGUACAUCAACGAAUCGGCGUACUUGAAAAUUCUCAUCCAAAUAUUGUUGGUACCAUAGACCGUCUCAAACAACGUAGGGCAGAGCUUGCCAAGGAGAUGGAAUAGGUGAUGAAGGCUAUUGCUACCAAAGAGAAGAAGCUCCAAGAUCUCCCAGCUGUCAUCGCUGAUUUGAAACAGGAGAGGCAAAAUCUUGCCCAUGAGGCCAUCCGGCUUCACCGUAACAUGCCAGAAGUCCCUGGAUCGGCCGAAGACGACCAACGGGUUCUAGAUUCGGCCGAUCAGAUCCACCGGUGGGCGAUUGCGGCCAUCAAUAUGCUCCUUGAAUGAAUGUUUCAAACAUCGAAUUACCUCUGUAUAAACAUUUAAUGCUCCUUUCGUUGUUGACGUGUGAAUAUGAAUCUGAACAUUUCCUUUUCGCAGCUUUUAGCCCAACAAUCGUUUGCUUUGAAUGGAUGCCUUUGCUAAUCGUUGACCCUUACCCUUUUUCACCCUAUAAAUACGGGGUCUCUGCGUUUCUCCCAGAGGCACUCACACCUCAUCUAUCCUCCUAAAUUCUGCUCGACUGUUUUCAGAUCUCUAACCGGGUGCCAAGAUGUCUUCUUCCUCCUCCGUCAAUCAGGUAUAGGACCCCCCCCCUUACGCUCCUCGACUAAUUCCUCUUGACGACUGAAUGCCUGUUGUUUUUCUAGCCGACCCGGCUCAGCCCUGAUCUUGAGUGAGCCAUCGAGAUUAUGCACUCCGAGCAACCACUGAGGCGGGCAGACAGAGACUUGAUCGAAGCCCACCGUGAGGAACUCAAAGACCAUCUUCCAGCCCACGUCAAGAAGAUCAUGGAUCACAUCGCAGCCAAUAGCUCCAGGAAGCCACCUCAGCCACCGAUUAAGAGGAGUCAUCAGCUACCCUGCCAGGUCGCUCUCGAAGAUGCCAUGGCGGAUCUGGAGGAAAAGAGAACCCGUCUCUUAAUAGAACUAGGUCGGGUCCAGAGAGAGAUCAAUAAAAAAAAAGCUCGACUGAAACGUAGUUAAUCACACUGUAACCUGAUAGAUGUAUUGGUACUUUUUAAUCUAAGGGCGACUCGUACCAUGUCGGUCGUGUGUCCAAUCGUUGUACCGAAUAGUAAUUGGCCUGUUUGAUCAGAGGCUUCAUCCUCAAGGCGAUGUCUCCCUGCAUCGGCUAUGCAAACCCGAGUCUAUAGGAAUCGACCAUAAUGACUCGAUACGCCAUAUCGUUGGCUAUGCAUAUACCCAUAUGUUGGGAUAGUAUCUCUUCAAAUAUCUCCCAUUUAAGGCCCUUGUAAAUUCCUCUCCUUCGAUGGUCUCUAAUAUGUAUGCAUUUCCUGGUGCACACCGACCGAUUUUAUUCGGCCCUUCCCAAGUAGGUGACCACUUGCCGUAUUUGGGAUCCUUAGACCCUAUCGGCAUUACCAGUUUCCACACCAUAUCUCCUUGGGACAACUGCUUGACCUUGACCUUCUUAUCAUACCACCUAGCAACUAUUUUCUUAUUCUCUUCAAUACUGAUCAAAGCCCUCAAUCGUUGACCCGCCAAAUCGUCGAGCUCCCCUUUCAUGAGGAGAGAAUAAUCAUCGGCCGUCAACUGAUCUUGAAGUGACGCGCGUCUAGACCCUAUCCUUAAUUCCCAAGGUAACAUCGCCUCAUGUCCAUAUACCAAUUGAUAAGGGGAUAUCUUAGUAGCGCCGUGGCAGGCCAUCCUAUAGGCCCACAAAGAUUCGCUCAAAGACGCAUGCCAUUUCUUGGGCUGCUCUUCUAUCUUCCUUUUGAUUAACUUGAUUAUCCCCUUAUUGGAUGAUUCAGCUUGACCAUUAGCUUGAGCAUAAUACGAAGAAGAAUUUAACAAUUUAAUUCCCAUAUCGGCGGUGAAUUCCUCAAACUCUCUCGAGGUAAAUAUUGUUCCCUAAUCAGUCGUAAUGGUCUAAGGGAUACCAAACCGAUAGAUAAUGUGCUCUCUCACAAACUCAAUCAUGACGGCCGAUGUCACGGUUUUCAAGGGGACCGCCUCCACCCAUUUGGUAAAGUAGUCAAUGGCUACUAAUAUGAACUUGUGUCCCUUGCUUGAUGGAGGAUAAAUCUGUCCGAUGAGGUCGAUUCCCCAUCCCCUAAACGGCCAUGGUUUGAUUAUUGGGUUCAUAGCCGAAACUGGUGCAUGUUGCACAUUGCCGAAUUUCUGACAAUCCUGGCACCCCUUAUAAUACUUAAAGCAAUCCUCGAGUAUCGUUGGCCAGUAAUAACCAUUAUUUAUAAUCAUCCAUUUCAUUUUGUGAGCCGACUGAUGAGCCCCACAUACGCGUUUGUGAAUUUCUCCCAUCAGAACUUUUGCUUCUUCUAUCCCAAGGCAUUUGAGUAGUACUCCAUCAAUUGUCCAGUAAAAUAGGUCAUCUUCAAGUAAUACAUACUUUGUGGCCUGAAAAUGUACUCAUCGGUCCACUUUCUUGGAUGGGUCUCUUACGUAAUCGGCGAUCUCCCUUCUCCAAUCAUCGGCUGCAAGUCCCAGAGUCAUGGCACCUUGAAUCGGCCGAUACCCGGAGGCAUGUUGGGCAAGCCUAUUGGCUUCCUCAUUGUAACUCCUGGGGACAUGCUCAAUAAUCGCAGACUUGAACUCCUUUAGCAACUGGAGGCAAUCUUCAUAGUAAAUUCUCAAGAUAUCAUCCUUGCAUUCAGACCUCCCGGUUAAUUAAUCCACAAUGAGCAUGGAAUCCCCAAAUAUUUCCACCGUGUCAGCUUUGAACUCCCUCAAUAAUUGGAUACCCUUUAGAAUAGCCCGAUACUCCGCCUGGUUAUUAGUAGCGGAUGCCUCAAUCGGUAGAGAGAAAUCGUAACUUGCCCCCCGAGGCGAUACGAGGAUGAUGCCGAUUCCCGAUCCGGCCUCACAUGAGGAAUCAUCAAAGUAUAGUGUCCAAGGAGCUGGCUCAACGACGGCGAUGUCUGGUCCGCAAUGCUAGGCUACGAAAUCAGCCAUUACCUGACCUUUGACAGCUUUGGCUAAUUCGUACCUCAGGUCGAACUCUGAGAGAGCUAGAAUCCAUUUUCCAAUCCUCCCUUUCAAAAUUGGUAAUGACAACAUGUACUUGACCACAUCAUCUUUGCAUACGACUACGCAUUCUGCCAAUAACAGAUAGUGCCUGAGUUUGGUGCAAGAAAAAUAUAGAUAAAGGCACAGUCACUCCACCGGAGGAUAUCUAGUUUCAGCGUCCAGGAGUCUUCUGCUGACAUAAUAGAUUACUCUUUCUUUUCCUUCAAACUCUUGGACUAGCGCUGACCCAAUAGCCCGUUCAUCGGCCGAUAAGCACAGUUUGAACGGCUUGUCAGCCUAUGACGGAACCAACACUGGCGGCAAGACCAGGUACUGUUUGAUAUCAUCCAACGCUUUCUGUUGUUCCUUACCCCACACGAACUCUUGGUCGGGUUUUAAUUUUAACAAAGGAGUGAAGGCUUGAAUACGUCCGGACAGGUUAGAUAUGAACCUCCGGAUGAAGUUAACCUUGCCGAUUAAGGACUGUAGCUCAGUCUUGUUUUGUGGGGCCAUGACUUUAUUGAUGGCAGCCAUAAUCUUUCGGUUGAUUUCUAUGCCUCGCUCGUGGACCAUGAAUCCCAGAAAUUGUCCAGCCGAAACACCGAAGGCACAUUUGUUUGGGUUCAUUUUCAAUCCAUUCUUCCUCGUGCACUCCAAUACUUUUCGCAAAUCGACCAGAUGCUCCUGAUGCCCCUUUGACAUGACCACAACGUCGUCGAUGUAGAUCUCCACUAGGACGCCAAUAAGUUUGUGGAAAAUAUAAUUCAUAGCCCGUUGAUAUGUAGCUUCGGCAUUUUUCAAACCGAAAGUCAUUACUACCCACUCGAACAAACCGAGGUGGCCUGGGCACCUGAAAGCUGUUUUCAAAAUAUCUUCUUCGGUCAUUAAUAUUUGAUUAUACCUAGCGUUACCAUCCAUAAAGCUGAUGACUCUGUGCCCUGCGGCAGCAUCUAUUAAAACAUCAGCCGUCGGCAUCGGGUACCCAUCCAUUGGUGUAGCCUGAUUAAGAUUCCUGAAGUCAAUGCAUACACGUAGCUUUCCAUUUUUCUUGUAUACAGGCACAAUAUUAGAAAUCCACACGGCAUAGCGACACUGCCGAAUAAAUCCUGCUUCGAUCAAUCUUGUGAUCUCAACCUUAAUAUCAGGUAAAAUUUUAGGAUUACAACGCCAUGCGGGCUGCUGAUACGGCCGAUACCCUAGUUUUAUAGGCAACCGGUGUUCGACAAUGGACCGGUCUAGACCAGGCAUCUCAUGAUACUCCCAAGCAAAGCAGUCUUUAAACUCCCAUAACAGAUUUGUUAAUUCGCGCUUAUACUCAGGGUCUAAGCUAGCACUAAUAUACGUCGGUCUUGGCUUGCUACCAUCUCCAAGGUCCACCAUCUCCAAUGAAUCGGCCGACGUAAACCCGUGCCCAAGCUUCCCGUCUUCUCGGACGAACUGAUCCAUUUUAAUUUGGUUCUUCAGAGCCGACUGCUCGGAUCGCCUGUAGACCGAAAUCGGCCACCUUCAGGAAAUUGGUGUCCCAAGUCCUGCCAGACAUGCAUCUGACGUGUUCGCAGCUCCACUGUUGCGUGUCGGUGACGGCAACGCUAUAGGCGGAAUCGGCGGUGACCACUUUGAUGUUGUCGCCGACCCAUUGGACGAGGCAUUGGUGCAUUGUAGACGGGAUGCAACAGUUCGCAUGGAUCCAAUCUCGCUCGAGCAACAUGUUAUAGGACCCUUUGCCAUUAAUAACAAAGAAAGUACUCGGUAGGAUCUUACUGCCGAUGGUGAGGUCGACGCAGAGUGCCCACGGGUCGGAGAUACGUUGCCUUCAAAGUCCUUGAGCAUCAUAUCCGUCUUGCUCAGAUCUUCUUCACCUUUUCCCAAUUUGCGGAACAUAGCGUAUGGCAUGAUGUGCACAGCAAUGCCUCCAUCUAUCAGUAGUUUGGCAACUGGUCGUCCGUUGACAUGUCCUUUGAGGAACAGAGCCUUGAGAUGCUGGCAUUUUUCAUCCUCGGGUUUCUCAAAAGUGGCGGUCAUUGGCUCCAGAGCCAAUUGUGCCAUUUGCUCUUCUAUUUCCGUCACGUCGUCCCGGUCAGCGGGAGAAUUCCAUCGGCAAUAUGAAUACCAUGCUAACAUCAGCUGCCGAAUCGUGAUUGUUAUCUCCCUCGUCAUUUUUUCUUCAGGGGUGCCAAACCCGAGAUCUGUCUCCUUUCUUAUCCAUCGACUGCCUUUGUUCUUCUUCCUGCUGCUCCCAUUGGCGCAAACGCUGGACCCUCCAUUUUUGGGACUUAGUCAGACCAUCUGGGCACCAUCUGAGGUUUACUGGUUUGCUCGGUGGCUUUGCACGCUCCCAGUCUGGCUCUCGCCCCAGGGGGUUCUCAUCUGUGACUCUGGCGUCGGCCAUUUGUCCCAGCCGAUCAUGUGCAUUGGUCCUGCCCCCCAGCCGAUCAUGCUGGUCAACUCUGCUUCCCAUCCGAUCAUGCACUGAGACGUGCCAAUCUUCUUUCUCGUGCCUGUUUCUUCUGAUCAGCUCUAGUCCUCGAUCCUGGAGCGUGAUCUCUUGAACGAACGGCCGCUACGAUACUGGCCGUUGCACUCGGGGCAGUUAUCGGCUGAUGGUAGCCUAAGAUUAUUCUCCCAGUAGUGGAUGAAAAACGGGCACCUCCAGUGAUAUUCGUGUCGGCGUAUCAUCUCUUCGCGGCGUUUGGAAUCUUCCCGCUGCCACUGAUACUUGCUGAGUAAGUCUUGGGAAGUGACAGGCCGACGUGGCCUUUCUGAUCCUUCUCCUUCGUCUUCCACCCGCCCCUUUCCUUUGACACCCCAACUGUAGCCUGAUUUCUGGGAUCCACCGCACCACUUCUUCUGGCCGAUUCUGACAUCAGCACUUUGGUUUGGAGCGCGUUUUUUCCUGCAUCGACCAUGUUAGCGGGGAAAUGAUGUUGAUCGAUCUUUAUUGCCUUACUAGCUUUGUUGGGGCUUCGAAUUUGAGUCUUCCCUGCUCAAUGGUCGACUGUAUCUGCUGUCAGAAGAUUUUGCACUCGUUUGUGUCAUGUGAUGUGGCAUUGUGCCACUUGCAGUAUUUCAUCUUCUUGAGCUGCUCGGCUAACAGAAUCGUGUGGCAAGGCGAAAGUUUGAUCUGCCCCUCCUGAAGCAGCAAGUCGAAGAUUUUGUCAGCUUUUGAGGUGUCGAAGCCGAAUUUUUCUGGUUCCUUUUUUUCCAAAUGGGCACGAUAUCGUUUUUUUUCCUUUUACCCAUUCUGCCAGGCCGAUUUCUAUCUCUUCCUCCGAUUCGGACCCUUCUACAUACGCCACCUUCUUCUGGAAAUUUCUUCGUUGGUCGAAGGGGCGCAAUUCCUGAUCGGAGAGCCGAUGAACAAUCUGGCUCAAACUCUUGAAUUCUUGGGAAGCGUAUUUCUCCUUGAUAUGUGGCAGGAGUCCUUGGAAAGCGAUAUAGGCCAACUGGGUAUCGGUCAAGACCAGGGUGUAGCACUUGUUCAUGACUUCCCUGAACCUCUGUACAUAGCUGGUUACCGAUUCGUCGCUUCUUUGCUUGAGGCUGGUCAGAUCAAAGAGUUUCAUCUCAUGGACCCCUGCAUAGAAGUACUUAUGGAAUUGCUUCUCCAAAUCGGCCCAGGUGACAAUGGAGUUAGGUGGCAGCGUAGUGAACCACUGGAAGGCUGAUCUGGAUAGGGACGAUGAGAACAGUCGCACUCUUAGAGCAUCUUGCGUGGCGGCUUCCCUGCACUGGAUGAUGAACCUAUUCACAUGCUCUAUCGUUGACGUGUCGUCCAGGCCUGAGAACUUGGUGAAGUCAGGGACCUUGUACCGAUGAGGGAGUGGCAACAGGUCGUAAGCAGGUGGGUAUGGCAUCAUGUAUGUGUAGAUCUGUACUUUUGGUUUCAAUCCAAACUGAUCUUGAAUCACUUCUGCUAUUCUUGCGGUCGAAUCUACUUGCUACUGAUGCACGACCGGUUGAGGAAUCAGUACGUGCUGCUGGAUUGCGGCGCCAUGAUUGGGUGAUGAACCAGAGUGUGCUGCAGAUUUUGAGGCUGGGCUAUCGGCUGAGUUGCCGAUGGUUGAUGACGUAGGGGAUCUGCUGUUUUAUCGUAUAAUAUCAUCGGUGCUGCAACUCUGAGUGGUUCUGGAACGCCUGCCCCCCUCCCCCCCCCCCGGCCGAUUUCUGAAGUGGUUGGCUGGUAUUGUGGGGUUGUCGGCCGAAUGGCCGAUUGGAAAUAUGCCUAGGCUGGAGACCUCCCGUAACUGGUUGACGGAUCUAGACCGGUGGUUGUUGCUGCUACCCCCCAUGGCGCCGAAUUUGGCAGUUGUGUGGAGGAAAUUGAAGCAGGGUGAGGCGGCGCUUGUGAUUGGUAUAAUGGUGCACCAUUGUAUCCCAGGGGCAUUGAAGUGUUGUUCCCUCCAUGUUGUGUCUACGUCGGCUGAGAAGCCAAGUGAGACACGUUUGGCACCGCUGAGAAGCCUUUGAUUGGUGCCACGAUGGGAGGGGCAUAAGCUUGUCCCUGAUACCCCUGAGUUACGCCGCUGACCAAGGAACUGAUGACGGUGUUAUAUACGGUGUUGGUCAUUACCAUGGACUGGUCGAUCAUAGCAUGAUAAACAGACUGUUGAAUCAUCUCAGACAUUUUCCCUGAGUCCUCGGCGAUGGUGAUAUGGCGGGAAGUGGGAAGGGGAGCUUUCUUGACGAUCUCCCCGCUCCUGGUAUGAUUGAAAGAUUGUAGGCAAGACAUCCUAUACUCUUCUAUAGCCCGUGCCACUUCCUCCUUCUGGUCGUCCUUGAGGUCUGCUUCAGUGAUUUCGAUGAUGUUAUCUUUAGAGAUCUCUGCAACCUUCGACAUGCUGGCUCUUGCUUGGUCCCACCAGGCGUGCCAAAAUUGUGUUGGCACUGAAAAAUCGGCCGAUUAUCCUCAGCGUCGGACACACGACCCGGGAGAAUCUCCUUAGCUCCUAUUUAGGUUAUCGCCCUGGUGCGGUUCGUACGGCGUGCCAGUCAAUCUGACCUGUUGAUUGAUAAGGAAAGAAGUGAUGAGGACAUCACCUGCUCGGAUACAACCACAUUAGUAACUUUCGAUUCACAGGUGAAAUAAUUCUUUACCAUUAUUGUAUUUGAUACAUUUGAUGAAUUGAUGUUGCACCAUGAUGUGUGUUCAUUGUCAAUUUCAGAAAUACAUACAUGGAUCAAAAAUAGUGUUAAACACACAUGGAAGGUAUGGAGGACCAAAGAAGUAGAUUGGGAGCCAAGUCCAAGUAUUCCCAAUGUCCUCCACCAGGCCACCACGUCCCUUUUGGCCUAAGGAAAGAAAGAGAUCCAAUCCAACACGUUUUGGCGCUGGAUUCGGACUGCAGCUCUACCCCAACUUGCAACAGCCGCCACGACCUCAUCCGGACUCCGUUUUAGGCGUUCAAGUACUCCUUGGAAUACUUAUGAAGUCUAUUUUCAUAUGGAUCUGAACUCAUAUCAAUAUCUAUUCUGAGUCGGCCGCAAUCACCAAAAUACUACUGAGAGGUUUUCUGUCCAGAGGUGCUGCGUCGCCUUAUUUUAGCCCAAUGGGCCGUGUGUCAAGUUGGGUCUAUUAGGGACAUAUUCUAGGGUUGGAGCACGACCCCAAAACCCCCCUGUCAUCCUCCUAGGUAUUAAUAAGGAUUAGAGCCACCACAAACAGAUUGGGUUUUGUUUUGUUGAAAGCUUAGCCAUUGCUACUUCCUUGUAGACGCGUGUGCCGACUAGACCAUCCGUUCUACUUGAUUCAGAACCCCAACUUUAUGAGUUCAGAUUAGUUUUCAUCUCUAUAUUUGCAAUUGAGUUGCUUGUUAUACUUGUUCUUGCUUGUUCUUCGAUUGCUUGCAGGACGAGUGCCCUAGUGGCCGGGUGACGCACUCCACAAGAUCGCGGCAGCCAUUGGAGGUGGUGUAUCGGUUGCUAAGGCGCAGUUUGGAAGGCUGUAGUCGGGCCGUGAACGUCAUCUCCAUCGACCAAUCGAGUUAUCCCACGCCUCUCAUUGAAAGAUUGGGAAUCAACCCUAGCGGGUUUAUAUCAGUUGGUAAUCAGAGCAAGGUUUAUCGGUGAGAGACUUCCAGUUCCUUGCUAUUUUUAAUUACCUAUAGUCCAGAAAAGCACAAAAAAGAUAGUAGAUUAGUUUACCUACAAUCCUAUAAACCUUUUGAGCCUUUGCUAGCAUUGCCUAGUUAGGGCUUGUUGAGUUUUCGGUUGCAUCGGUUGUGUCAAGUUGCUGGUCUUAGUGUCUAUUCCUUUAGAGUUUUGAGUUCUAUCACGUUUUGGUCACCACGAGAUCCACCAUCACCAUAUACAUCACUGCUUCGUUUCUGCCACCACGGUUUCAUAUGAUGUUCGAUUUGGGAUAUUAAAUACAAUCUAGAAAGCUGAAGUUGUCUUCUUUCCAAUGGAUCUGACAUUGUAGCAAAAUUCGUUCCGAGCGCUCCGCAAUCUUCCUAGAGAUUUUCGUAUCUGCUGUAUUAACAAGAGUUGUUAAAUCUGAAUUCAAAGGGGUUGUGUGUGAUAACCUUAUUGUUUGGGUUGUCAUAGUACCAAAUAAAAGAUUUAGGCCUUUGCAAAAAAAGAAACAAAAAAAAGACAGAAAGAAAAAAAGAAGAAGAAGAAAAAAGACAAGAGAAGGAGAAGAAAGGGGCUGAAUCUGUUGAUUUCUUUGUGCUGUGCUAGUUGCUCUUUUCAGUGACUACCUUUGUGCCUAGGCUCACAUCUCUAGCAUGGUUUAGCCUAGGACCAACACGGUACCGCUGUUGAAUGAUUACUCAACUUGCUUUUGUGACUAACGUGAUGCUAGUAUAUUUCCUUGCUUUAGCCCACCUACAGCUCCACAUAUUCGACUACAGCUUGACAGGUUUUUGUUGCUGCGGCACCGAUACACUUCGCUCCACGGUUGUAGACUUAUUGGUUGCCGUCACCUCCUGUUUGGCUUGGUAAGAACUGGUAAGGGCUUGUUUUUAUAAGUUGAGUUUGAGAGAAUUACAACCGACACAUCCUAGUAGUUGACAGGAGGAUACAUAUUAUUUUUGUGUUUCUUAUUUUCUACUAAUCAUGGCAGGUGAUACGGAGAUUUUUGAGCUGUUGAAACUAGACCCUCAUAUUCAGGAUGUCAUUCAACACUUGCCAUUAUAUGAUGGUAAGUUUGAUCCUAAAGCUUACAUUGAUUGGGAGAUAAAAGUAGAUAAUGAAUUUGAUGAGCAUGACCUGUCCGAGAAACAAAAUAUUUAUAUUGCCUCUAAUGUUUUGAUUGGAUUUGCUUUGCUAGAAUGGAAACAUAUUUGUAGGCACAACAAAGUUCUAGAAUCUUGGGAAGACUUCAAAUUUCUUUUUAGAGAUGUAUUCAUUCCUGAAUAUUAUGCUGCUUAUUUGCUUGCAAAAAUUAGACAACUUCAAGCAAGGUAGUAGGACUGUGAAAGAAUACUUCCAUGAUUUUAAAAUUCGUAUCAUGUAUGGUGGAUUAGAUGAGUGCAUUGAAGAUGUUAUGUGUAGGUUCAUGAGAGGGCUCAAUUCUAAAAUUCAAAUCUUGUUGAUUAGCAAAUCAUACAGACAUAUUAGUCAAUUGUUUUGUCUUGCUCUCAAUGUUGAAAAGGAGAUUCUAUUAACUGUGAAUACUUGCAAAAAUGAUGUGACCCAUUAUAUCCAAAAUUUGUCCACUCUCCAUGCUAAUGAAGAGCAACAAAUAGUGGAACCCAUUGCUGAUUUUCCUUUGUCACAAAAUGAAUUACUUGUUGUUCCUUGUGAUAAAGAGGACUUUUGUGCUGAUGAUUCUUUUACUCCUAUGCCACAAGUAGUGAAUAAGUGUGAUAAUUUUAGUUUGGAACCAUACAAAUGUGCUGAAGAUAAACUUUUUCAUCCUAUUACUUGUGCACAAGAUGAACUGAAUUUGCUGUCCUCUUUAAAUACUUUAGGUUAUAUUGAAUUUGGUAUUUUGUGUAAUCUAAAUUGUCUAAAAGAGAAACUUAAAUUUGAUUCUAGUUUGCCAAGGUUUAAUCAUUGUUCGCUUCAUGCAAUUGGCAAAUAUGACAACAAAGGAGAAUAUUUGGUGCAUAAAAUUUAUAUUUGCUCUAAUCUGAAAUAUCCUUUUGGGCAACAAUACCAUGAUCAAAUAGAGGGCUGCAGUAACACUAAUAAUGUGUUGCAAAGUUUUUCUAGUUUUUCCCAUAUACAACAGGGUAAGGCUAAAAAAGAGGAGCAUUACUGGUUGUGACCAUGCAGCAUGGCCGUCGCUCCGUGCUACAACAUCAAAGCAAGCACCUUAGAAUGCCAUUAGAGCAAGUCGAGGACGACUUCUAGCCAAGAAGGGGAGAAUGAUGAGGACAUCACCUGCUCGGAUACAACCACAUUAAUAACUUUUGAUUCAUAGGUGAAACAAUUCUUUACCAUUAUUGUAUUUGAUACAUUUGAUGAAUUGAUGUUGCACCAUGAUGUGUGUUCGUUGUCAAUUUCAGAAAUACAUACAUGGAUCAAAAAUAGUAUUAAACACACAUGGAAGGUAUGGACGACCAAAGAAGUAGAUUGGGUGCCAAGUCCAAGUAUUCUCAAUAUCCUCCACCAGGCCACCACGUCACUUUUGGCCUAAGGAAAGAAAGAGAUCCAAUCCAACACGUUUUGGUGCUGGAUUCGGACUGCAGCACUAUCCCAACUUGAAACGGCCGCCACGACCUCAUCCAGACUCCGUUUUAGGCGUUCAAGUACUCCUUGGAAGACUUAUGAAGUCUAUUUUCAUAUGAAUCUAGACUCAUAUCUAUAUCUAUUAUGAGUCGGCCGCAAUCACCAAAAUACUACCGAGAGGUUUUCUGUCCAGAGGUGCUGCGUCGCCUUAUUUUAGCCCAAUGGGCCGUGUGUCAAGUUGGGUCCACUAGGGACAUAUUCUAGGGUUGGAGCACGACCCCAACACCCCCCUGGUCAUCCUCCUAGGUAUUAUUAAGGAUUAGAGCCACCACAAACAGAUUGGGUUUUGUUUUGUUAAAAGUUUAGCCAUUGCUACUUCCUUGUAGACGCGUGUGCCGACUAGACCAUCCGUUCUACUUGAUUCAGAACCCCAACUUUAUGAGUUCAGAUUAGUUUUCAUCUCUAUAUUUGCAAUUGAGUUGCUUGUUAUACUUUUUCUUGCUUGUUCUUCGAUUGCUUGCAGGACGAGUGCCCUAGUGGCCGGGUGACGCGCUCCACAAGAUCGCGGCAGCCAUUGGAGGUGGUGUAUCGGUUGCUAAGGCGCAGCUUGGAAGGCUGUAGUCGGGCCGUGAACGUUGUCUCCAUCGACCAAUCAAGUUAUCCCACGCCUCUCAUCAAAAGAUCGGGAAUCAACCCUAGCGGGUUUAUAUCAAGAAGAAUAUUAAAUUCAAGGGGUUUCAAUCGGCUAGAUUUCUGAUCUGUCUUUAAGAAAUGUAUCAGCGAAUCGGCCGAUUUACUGUAGAGAUGACCGGCUAUAAAACAGCCGAUACUCGUGUAGCAAUUGUAAGGAAAACUACAAGAGCAACCUAAAUAGAGCUGCAAAGGCAACACUUCGAGCAGAUCUGACCGGCUAUGUGAUGAUAAAGGAUAGAAAUAAUAAAAGCUGACAGUUCGUACCUCAAGCUGGAUAACUGGUGAUAAAAACUAAAAUAACAGGUAAAACCUAUGAUUCUAGUUGAUAUCGAUAACUGCUGAAUAAAUUUAAACGGAACAACAGCGAUGCGCCCAAAGUUAAAGCUUAGAUAUUACUCGAUAAGCGGAACUUACAAAAUCGGCUGGAGAUUGUGUCCAUGCAGCCCUGCCAACCCGUACGAACUAACCACUGAAAGAAAAAGGUUUUGGCAAAGUCACCAACUUGAAAGUAAAGUACGAGGAAAAAAUAGAUUUGUUGUAUUGAUUGAUGUGUUUUUACCAACCUCUCGAGGCAGCUAUUUAUUGCCUGUUACAACUGAUUUCCUAACCGACUAGGAUCUAUCUCUAAUUUUAAACGACAACAAAUAUUUACAAAUAUGACUUGUAUUCGAGUUGGUUAUUAUUUUCUACGGGCCUAUCUCUUCUUUUAGCAAAGUUUCAUUUUGGCCCAUUUUAGGCCCAAACCAGUUAAGCUGCUUUGACUCCCAAUCGGCCAGCCUCCUCUUCCGCCAGUCGGCUGAAACACUGCAACCUCAAUCGGAAGAUUCCUAACUGUAGCUUCUAGUCCGCCGCAUCGGCUCCCCCCCUUUCUCCUUCUUUGAUGCCGAUUCCAAAGACGUGUCAAAAUCCGGCGUCAACAACUACCAAUUUGUGCUUUGCUAUAAUUUUAGCUAUAUUUUCCCUCUACAAUUAGAUCUUAUACGAACAAGCUUUUCAACAAGGACCAUAGGAAUCAAAGAUAAAGAUUCCAAGCUGGUUAGGGUGCAAUAACUAAAGCAUGAAAAGCAAAGCCUGUGCAGGAGAGGAGGAUUAAGAGGAGGGACCCGGGCGUGCACUAAGUGUGGGCAGUGUGUUGUGUUUCUUGUGUUCUUCGUUGUCUUGGUUGGUUCAUGUGUGAAUCGAUAGAUGGAUGGAUCAUAUCGAUAUGGGUUGUUCUCUAUGAGGGAGAGGGCCCGCCCCCUUUUAUAGUUCAAGGGGACGACCUUACAAGUCGGGAGAAGAUAGAGGGAAGGAUGUGUGGGCACUGCCUAGUCUUGUCGAAUCCUCUGCCAGCGAAUAUGGUAUUGUCUCCAUCCUCGAUCCCUGUUCUCCUCGUCAGGUCAUCAUACUAUAGCGUCAUGCCAUCACACCGUAGUGUCAGGUCACCAUGACAUAGCGGGUAGGUUUACGGCACCACUGUGCAGACGUGCCCGACGCGUGGCAUGGUAUGGUUUCGCGUACAACCGGCUGACCCGGGGGCUGCAUCGUUAUCCAUCGCAUCUGCUCCCUGGACCCACGGGGGGUGAGUGUCCCUAGUCGGGAGGUCGGUGCAUAUGGUACAGCGGGGACCUGGUUGGGAGAACCAGGUCGGGAGUCCCCAGCUAGGAGAACCAGGUUGGGAGUCCCCAUCCAGGAGAACCAGGUCAGGAGUCCCUAGUCAGGGGUCGGACUGUGGCCCCACUCCUACCAAGUCUUCUCUGGUUAGAGCGUUGGUUCAUCCUCUAGGCCGGAGGAGUUGGUUGGUGACUGGGCCGCACCCUCGGCCUGGCUGCACGCAGCUAGGCUGGCCCAAGUAUUCAUGAUCACUGUGCCUUCACGUUGAGCUAAGCACAAUGGGGAAACAGUCCCAUCGGGGACCCCCAGUCUCUGGACCCGUCAGGAGCCCCCAAGAAGGGGCUGUCAAUCGGAAAAUUUCGUGGUAGGAAAAGAUAGUCUUGUUUGAGGAGUGGUCGGGACACAUUGAGGGGUCCAGCCCUGUAUCCGAGACGAUAAGGAUGGAACCCGCGUGGGAACUGUACCGGUGCCUGGUGUCCUAGUACUUUCCCCUUGAUCUCCUAGCGUACGGCAGUCGAACCAUCAUGUUGGGAUGCAGUGCCUUUAACGCGGGGCGCUGAAUUGUCACCUCGACAUUAGGCACCUUUACCGCACGUCCACGGAUGUGAGUUGUAGCCGUUCCGGAUUGGGGCCGUUCGCCCAGCUAUAAAUAGGGAGGCUCCUGUAUCCGGAGUUCCCAUGGCUAGGGUUCUGAGUCCCAUGGCUCGAGUUGUAGAUCCAGUAGGCUUGAGGCUCCUCCUUUUUGCCGUGAGUGGUGGUGGCCACUUUCCAUGAUGCUAGAAGAUCUCUCGUCAAAGGCAUUUUGCCUUCCUACCGCAGUCCCUCAUGUCACAUUUGUGGGCUAAGUUGUGAGAAGAACUCUCAUAACAUGGCUCUGGCAUGUGAUGCGGAGCUGGGUGGGGAGCGGGGACGACACCUUGGGAGGUUGAGGUAGACAGGGCUUCCUCAUCCUCCAUGUCGCGCUCGUACCCUAGACCGCCGAUUGUUGGAGGUAAUUCGACCUCCACCUUGUCCUUCUGCUACACUCAACGGUGCGGUAAGAAGGUGCCCAUCGAGGUGGCAUGAGAUGUAGGCGUCGGCGGUGGUGGUUCACCGGGGGCUAGUGAGGGCCAAUUUACUCCCCCCACGCCUCUCCUUCCUCGUUAUCUAGGUUGUCCCAGUCGAGGAAGAAGGCUGUGGGAAACUCUGGGCUAGCACCAUGCGCUCCCUGAGUUAUUUUAUCCUCUUCUUCCCUGGACACCUCUCACUCAAUGGCAGGAGAGCGAAGAAGAUCAGGCGAUGGUGGGUUGGCGAGCGAGGCUUCGAGCGCAGCUUUCUUGUAUUGCAUGCGCUCCUUUUAUUUGUUUUGGUCCUGAAUUGUAGGGCAGUCCCUAGGUUGUGGUUACACGCUUUGCGUGAUAUUGUAAAACCUUCGGGUUCCCAUGUUUGCAUGUUUUCCGUGAUAUUGUAAAGCCUUUGGCUUAUGUUUUCAUCUUAAUGAGAAGCUCAAAUUCGGUUUGUGAAUCCAGUGCCCAUCGCACCGUUGAGGCGGAUUGCUGUUGGGACUAGAGAUAUAUUUUCCCUUUCAUUCGCCGUGUUGUGUAGGGAAAUCGAGUUGGAUUGGGCAGGCUAGCCCCCGAGUGGGUAUCGGCACCCAGAUCUUGAUUGGACACUUGGCCGAGGCUGCAUGGGUACGUCAAAUGUAUACCAACGCCCAACUUCCAAGGAGAUGGCUGGCGUGGUAUGCAGGGGCGUGCCGAGUUCGCGCGGGGCGUCCAAUUUCCGAGGACUCACCCUUAGUCAAUAUUCUAUUGGGUUCGUGUGAGUGGACCCAGUGGGUCUAGCCCUUGAUCCUGCGGCCCACUGGAGAGUCAAUCUGAGGCUAGAGACUUGGGAGUCUUUUUGACUUGAGGCGAGUCGAGUGGAUGCUGGUUCCUGUUAGGGUGUUUGCCUAUUUUCAUUUCAGCUACGACUCGUGUCGUUGGCCGUGUCCCUAAGUUAAGGUUGGCAGCCUGAGCCCUCGAGCCCCAUUAGACUCGGUUGGCAUCGAUCAGAUUUCAUGCGUCACCCCAUCCUUGGUCUCCCUGACCGGAGGGGCUAAGCUAACGUCGCUUGCCUCAAUGGCUCGAGUGACGUGCUCGGUGAGCUUGCUAACAGGCCUGUUCAAGUGGAAUCUGAGUCCAUCGUUCAUAAUGGGGUCGGCAUAGCCUGCAUGGGGCAUUCCAUUGCUCCUCAACCCGCCUCCUGGCAGAUGCUCGAGUCAUUCUAGAGACUGACUCAGGUGGCCCAUUGGCCUCCCAUCAAUGGAGAUUCUGUGGUUAUUGUUGGUGUUUUAGACCGGCAACCCACCUAUAGGGUUCCCUAGGUGGUCUUUUAUGUGGUAAGGGUCGUCCAGAAUCAAGGAAUCAAUGGUGACGCAAGGAACACGAUUUAGACAGGUUCGGGCCGCUAGAUCGCGUAAUACCCAACGUCCUGUGUGUUGGCUUGUAUUGAGUUAUGUUGAGAUGUAUUCAGAUGUCUAUGUCCCUGAGGGGGGGUCCCUGCCCGGCCUUAUAUACACAGGAGGGCAGGGUUACAAGUCUGAGUCCUAGUCGGGUACUAUUACAGAGUUCUACUCGGUAAUGGCCCGAGUAGUUUUCCAUAAACAUACAAGACUAGUCCGAGUAGGAUACGCCCAUCCUUGUUCUGAUCUUGUCCGAGUACGUCCCUUGGUGGGCCGUCCAAGGCCUACUCAUGGACCUGGGGUGUAUGCCCGACAAGCCCCCGAGUACUUUGUAGUCGUGCGUCACAGUCGGGCACUGCGGUGUGGCGGAUCCACUUCGGAUUAGCUUGAUUAAGCAGGGUUAAGCCGCCUAACAUGCGACACUCCUGCCUAAACCAAGUUAACACGAAGUGCCGUCGGAUUUCAUCCGAUUUAACCACUUAAACAGGAUCGAGUUUAGCAAACCCACACGAAGGUGAGUGAUUACAGAGAAUACAACGAGUCCAAAGAGUUAGACAGAAUCACCGAUUUAGUUCGACCAUAAAGUCCAACAUCAGGGUUUUACAAGGUUCAAAAGAAACAACAGAGAAAACACUAGCGGAAGACUUCGUCGGGGUCGGACAUCCCUGGUGAGGCCAACCGGGACAUCACUGGUUCCUUUCCUCGCCGUCCGAGGAAGGAUCCCACUCGACCGUCCAGCCUGGCGGAAGCUGGGGCGGCCAAGCACCAACCAGAGAGGGGUCGGAAGCAGCAACUUCACCUGAAAAACAGGAGCCACAACAAGGCUGCGCUACUAAGCUCAACAAGACUUAUCCGAUAGGAGUAACAACUACUCCUCCUUCUAGACAUGCAGGGUUGUUUGGCUGAGGGGUUUGUUUGCCAAAAGCGCUAAGUAAAAACCCUAUUUCCAAGUUUUAGCUCAGGUUCUAAGUUCAAUUACCAGUCUAGGUUGUGCAAGCUAUUCUAAGCAAUCAUAGAACCAAACAAGAUGUAUAGAUAUAUCAACAAACAUGUCAUCCUUAGAUUCCUUAUUUACUCAGGGUGACAUAGCGAUCAAGCAAUCUCAAGCUGUGAGAGGUAGACGAAUCGAUUCGAGUUCUUUAACCAUGCAUGGUGAACCUAGCCUCACGACAUCCGCGCACCCGGAGGUCGCUUCCUGUGUCGGCCUUCCCCAUCAAUCCCCUAACCCGUGUCGGGCCCAUUUCCUUUGGUGCAAGGUUCCACAGACCCGGCCUCUGCCGUUCGGUGACCACACUUGCCACCACAUGCGACAACCAGCAGGGGAAACUCCAUUCCAAGAACAAUGGGGCGACCGCUCACGUCUAGGUUCAAUCCGGUACUAGGCUUCCUCAUCCCAUACUAAGUAUGAGGCUAGUACUUUCAAACACUUGAUCACGAACACCACCACUGUCGGGCCUUAGCAAGAUUUCAUAGACAGACGGGGCGACCAUCCGUCCACCAAAGAGUUACCAAAACCCUGCCCCGUCCAUCGUCCUUAUAGUUGUAACCGAAAGAUAGACAUCCAACUCCUACAACUCACGAGUGACAGGAGAUCACUCGACUUUUACCGUCUCCUAGUUAAGCAAGGCGACUACACGGUCCAACAGCUAGUGCUCAGAUCAUGGGGAUAACUAAGUCAUGCACCUAGGGUUUCACACAACUCCUAUACGUAAAUGCACAAGCAUGUUACAGAAGGCAUGCGCAAGUCUGGUAAAACACAUAGGGUUUCCAUGCAACCGGGGCUUGCCUUCAAGCAAGGAGGAAGGAAACUGCUCAACUUCGGGGGCGACUUCGGCUUCUGCGGGCAGGAGCUCGGCUACAACUUCUUCUUCGGGCGCCGGGUGUAGCUCGUAGAAGCCGUCGGCGAGGUGCAGCUCUACACGAAUGCAAUGCAAAAGUUAGCAUAGACGGUUAUUUCAACAGCAACACUGGCUCGCCUGAGCCCAGAAACUCGCGACAAAGAGCAGGAAGGUAUGGAGGUUCAAGAGAGCUAGAUGCUGGUCAAGAGGCAAGGGUUGGAAAGGAACUUAUGAUCUGAUCUUUAACUAGAGGGGGUGAUAUACUAGGGGUCCUCAGACUCAAGCGCUGAAGAGUUCCCAAGUUUUACACAUACACCCUCGGGUUGAAGAAAAGAUCACAGCCGAACCCUCGGGCGAGGCGGACUGGGGUCGGCAGAAUAAACAGGAUCGGGCGAGACGGAACCGGGGUCGGGCGGAUAGGAGGGGUCGGGCGAGGCGGACUGGGGUCGGCAACUCACCUUCUUCCUGGAAGGAAAGCUUGGGGUCGGGAAGAAGCAGACUUGGCCGGAGGGACUAAGGCUUUGAACAAAGGCUAAGAUCGGCAGUGCUCCGGCGGCGGCGGUGCUUCUUGCAGAUCACAAGUAAGCUUUUACGCAGCACGGAGGGGCAAGCUGCUGGGUGACUUGGAGAAAUUGAGAGAGAGUCUGAGAGAAGAACUCCUCCAGAACUUGGUGGGUGGCGCUAGGAGCUUGAGCAGGGAGCGAGAGAAUGGCUAAGGCAACAAUGGCGGAGGGGACUCCGGCGAUGGGGGCAUUCCUUUUAUAGCUGCUGGAACAGAGGAAAGGAAGCGGCGUGGGAGAGAGAGAAAAGGGGAGCGGCGCGAAGGCCGGGAAGAGGCAAUGGAGUGCUCUGCUGGGGCGGCGAUUGAGCGAAGAGGGUAGUGCUACAGAACUCCGGGGUGACGCCAGCGAUCAUUGCGCUCUGCCGUCAGGGCGGCGUAGAAGCGGGUAGACCAGUGGUUGAGAUUUGGCGGAAAGCGGGCGUCGUCGUGCGGAAGAUUUGAUAGAAGCGACCGGUUUAACGGCGCUAGAAUCGAGGGCGCACAGGUGAGAGGACAGGCAGCUGCGGGCGCGGGCGAGAGCGCGGAACAACAGAUUGUCGGGCGGCUUCUGACAGGGUGGGGAAAAGGAGCUGUCGCGGCCGCGGUCGGGGUUGGCGGUGGAGGAAUCGUCGGGUAGCGGGGACCGGGCGGCGCGACGGUGGUCGAAGUGACGGAAAAGACGGGCGACAUCGGGCUCUAGGGCCGGGAUCUGGCGGCGUGAUGAUGGGCGCGGGAGGCGAGGUUCUGCGGAAAGGGUGCAGAGGAGCUUCCGCUGCCAUUGGGGAAAAGGGCGCGAGAACCCACUUGGUCGCUUGCCAGAGACAAAACUGAGCGGAGGGCGUCGGAGAAGACGAGCCACGCGGCAGGAAGACUCUGAAGCGGGCAUGCAACUCGAGUGCGGCUGUCGCGGAGGAUCUAGGAAAAAGAUCUUGCGGGUCCACCAGUGGAUAGAACGGACGUUUGAGGAAGAUUUAGAAGGAUCCGACGGUGGCUAAGCUUGCCGGGGUCGGGAGAGGAGUGAAGCGGAGAGGGGUCGGGUCUCCGGGGUCAGAACCAAGCGGAAGGCUGAGCACUCGGCGCGGUAAAACAAGACAGAUGACUAAGGUCAAGGGCUCUUGAUCAAGACUAACUGGGAAGGUUUAGGGGUCGGUCGUUACAGCCUACCCCUCUUAAAAAGAAUCUCGCCCUGAGAUUCAAGGAUAAAAGGGGGUGUGCUGUUCUUACCUCCUUGAUGAGAUAGAAAACCGGGGAAGCGCUUGUUCAGAUACUCGUCCGUUUCCCAUGUUGCUUCGUCUUCGGUGUGGUUUCGCCAGAGGAUCUUGUACAUCCUUACCACUUGGCGUCAGGUGUGCCUUUCCUUCUGGUCAAGAACUCAAUCUGGGUACUCGGCGUAGGUCAGGUCGGGCUCUACUUGAAGCUGUUCUUGCUCUAAGAUCUCUGCUGGAACUUGGACACAAUUCUUCAGUUGAGACACAUGGAAAACAUCGUGUAUGGCCGAUAGCUGUUCUGGGAGUUGGAUCCGAUAAGCAACGGGUCCACAUAUCUCCACAAUCUCAUAAGGGCCAAUAUAGCGGGGAGCUAACUUGCCUUUUAUUCCAAACCGUUGCACUCCUUUGGUCGGGGAGACUCGAAGGUACACAUGAUCACCAAGGUCAAACUGCAGGGGUCUUCUCCGCCGGUCGGAGUAACUCUUCUGUCGAGAUUGGGCAGCCUUGAGAUUAGCUUGAAUUAACUUUACUUGUUCUUCAGCUUCUGCCACCAAGUCAGGGCCAUAGACCUGUCUUUCUCCUGGUUGGGACCAGUUCAAGGGUGUCCUGCAUCUCCGGCCAUAUAGGGCUUCGAACGGUGCCAUCUUCAAACUGGCCUGGUAGCUGUUAUUGUAGGAGAAUUCUGCUAAGGGCAGGCACUUGUCCUAAUUCUUAUCAUAGUGGAUAACACAAGCUCUUAACAUGUCUUCAAGAAUCUGGUUGACUCGCUCGGUUUGGCCAUCGGUUUGAGGAUGAUAGGUUGAGCUUCGGAUGAGCUUGGUGCCCAUGGAUGCUUGUAGUUGCUCCCAAAAGCGUGCCGCAAACUGAACUCCUCGAUCAGAGAUAAUAGUCUUGGGUAUCCCAUGCAGGGAAACUAUGCGGUCGAGGUAUAACUCUGCAUACUGCUUGACGGUGUAGGUGGUACGAACAGGAAGGAAGUGGGCGGUCUUGGUCAGACGGUCCACUAUAACCCAGAUGGAAUCAUAUCGUUGCGAUGUAAGGGGCAAUCCAACUAUGAAAUCCAUGCUGAUGUCUUCCCAUUUUCAAGAGGGAAUAGGUAGCGGCUGCAGGGUACCUGCUACCUUUAAAUGACUGGCUUUGACACGUUGACAUGUGUCACAUUCUGAAACAUACCGAGCUAUCUCCGGCUUCAUUCCAUUCCACCAAAAGGUUUUUCGGAGAUCAUGGUACAUCUUAGUGCUGCCAGGGUGGAUUGAGAACUUGGAGAGAUGAGCUUCAUCUAGGAUUUGCUUUCUUAGCUCAGGGUCGGCGGGUACUACUAGCCGGUUUCCAUAAUACACACCUCCCGUUUGGUCCUGCCGAAAUUGCUUAUAUCCCUCAUCCCUUACUGAGAUCUUACUGAUGAUCCGUUGUAUCUCCUUAUCUUUUACCUGUGCUGAUCGAAUUUGGUUUUCCAAAACUGAGUCAAGGAUGAUGUGACCAAGGGUUCCAUGAGGAAUAAUCUCCAGACUUAGUUUUCCCAUCUCGUGACACAGAGUCUUGGUGGAAGCUGUUGAUAACAAGCAGUUGCAAUGGUGCUUGCGACUAAGGGCAUCGGCUACCACAUUGGCCUUGCCGGGAUGAUAGUGCACUUCCAAUUCAUAAUCCUUUAUCAACUCCAGCCAUCUUCUCUGGCGCAUGUUGAGGUCGGCUUGAGUGAAAAUGUACUUGAGGCUCUUGUGGUCGGUGUAGAUGUUGCAGUGAGCUCCCAUUAGGUAGUGCCUCCAUAUCUUCAAGGCAUGUACCACUGCUGCCAACUCAAGGUCAUGGGUUGGGUAGCUUAGCUCAUGAGGUCGUAACGCCCGUGAGGCAUAGGCAAUGACUUGAUUGUCUUGCAUAAGAACACAUCCGAGUCCAGUGCCAGAGGCGUCACAGUAUACGUCAUACGGCCUAGAGGGGUCGGGCUGAGCCAAAACUGGGGCUGUGGUCAGCAAGUGCUUCAGGGUCUUGAAGGCCUCUUCACACCUGUUGUCCCACACAAAUUUGACCUCUUUCUUCAACAACUCGGUCAUCGGCUUAGCUAUCUUAGAGAAAUCUGGUAUGAAGCGCCGAUAGUAGCCAGCCAGUCCAAGGAAACUUCUGAUCUGGUGCACUGAGGCAGGAGGCUUCCAUUCCAUGACUUCCUGCACCUUACUGGGGUCAACGGCUAUACCAUCCUUGGAGAUAGUGUGUCCCAAGAACUUGACACUAUCUAGCCAGAACUCAGACUUGGAGAACUUGGCGUAGAGUUGGUGAUCUCUUAGCCGUUGGAGAACUAUAUGAAGAUGGUCGGCAUGCUCUUCUUCACUCUUCGAGUACACUAGAAUAUCAUCAAUGAACACCACUACAAACUUGUCCAGCUCGGGCAUAAACACCGAGUUCAUGAGGUACAUGAAAUAGGCGGGUGCAUUGGUGAGUCCAAAGGACAUGACUAGGUACUCGUACAGUCCAUAUCUGGUAGAGAAAGCUAUCUUGGGUAUGUCGCAGGGUCGAAUCUUGAUUUGGUGAUAACCAGAACGAAGAUCGAUCUUGGAGAACACCUUGGCUCCGGCUAACUGAUCAAACAAGAUAUCAAUGCGUGGCAGGGGGUACUUGUUCUUGACGGUCACAGCAUUGAGGGGUCGGUAAUCCACACACAUACGUAGACUGCCAUCCUUCUUCUUCACAAACAAGGCAGGGCAACCCCAAGAUGAUGUACUGGGUCGGAUGAAGCCUUUCUCCAAAAGAUUAUGCAGCUGGGUCUUCAACUCGGCUAACUCAGCGGGUGGCAUCCGAUAGGGUCUCUUAGAUAUUGGGGCUGUGUCAGAAAUCAACUCUAUGGAAAACUCCACUUCUCUAUCAGGUGGCAUACCUGGCAAGUCUUCCGGAAACACGUCAGGGUACGCACAGAUAACAGGGAGGUCUUCUAGACGGGCUCCCGAUAGAGGGUAGGCACAAGGAAACGCAGACUCAGGAUGGGUCAAGAAUAGGGUGGAACUGCCAUGUGAGGGUGAGCUGAUGCAGAGGGACUGGGCUGAUGUAUCAAGAACCACAUGAUGUCGGGCCAUCCAAUCCAUACCAAGGAUGACAUCUAUGCCUUCUAGGUCAAGGAUGAUAAGGUUUUCCCUGAAGAGGGUGGGGCCUAGCUGGAGAGAUACAAAAAUAACAAUCUGAUCCGAUGUUAUCCUUCCUCCAGGAGUGGCGAUCACAUAUGGUUCCUUAGUGUGACCGACAUCCAGCCCACAUCUUUCCCUAGCCUUACUCCCGAUAAAGCUAUGAGAGGAUCCCGAAUCAAACAACACAACAACAGCUUGAUUUAAAACAAGGAAAGUACCCGUCAUUACUGGCGCACCUUCGGGGAGCUCGGUCAAGCUGGUGUAGUUGAGUCGGCCUUGUCGAACUUGCACCUUGGGCCUUCUUCCUCUGGCUGCCAUGGGGUUCUGACCUUGCUGUUGAUUCUUGUUCCUGGGGCAGUCCCUUGCAAAAUGUCCUUCGUUGCCGUAGGUAAAACAACGGUUACUGGCUGCCGGGCGGGGUGGUGUUGGUAGGGUCGGCCGGGGCACCUGCGGUUGGAAGCCUGGAAAAUGAGGCGCUGUUACUGGCGGAGGUCGGGCAAUCCACCUUCCUGACUGCUGGGGUCGGCCAGGGGCUUGUGGAGGAACCAUCCGGAACCUUCGAGUCGGCGGACUCGAGAAUGUCACAGAAGCUUUCCUCUUCUGAUCGGCCUUGAGAGCUUGCAUGCAAUCCUCUUGAGAGAUGGCCAGAUUGACCAACUCAUUGUAGGUGACCACCUUGAUGGGGUUUAACCUUUCCCUGAGCUCCAAGCUCAAUCCUCGGCGGAAUCUGUCCCGCUUCUUCUCGUCUGUGUCCCCAUGGUAGCCAGCAUAACGGCACAGGUCGUUGAAAGCUUGCGCGUAGUGCAGCACAUCUCGGGUUCCUUGGGUGAGGGCCAGAAACUCGUUGAGCUUGCGCUCCAAGAGACCUUCUGGAAUGUGAUGCGCCUUGAACGCCGUCUUGAACUCAUUCCAACUGACCACGUGGCCAGCCGGCAGCAUGGCAUGGUAGUGAUCCCACCAAAGCCGUGGGGAACCACGCAGCUGUUGGGCUGCAAACCGAGCCUUGUUGUUGUCGGGGCAUGGAGCGGUGAGAAGCUCAAACUUGGACUCGAUCGUAUGAACCCAGGCGUCAGCAUCGAGCGGUUCUUGUGUCUUCUGGAACAAAGGGGGCUGUGUCCCCAGAAAGUCCUCGUACCGAGCGAUAUGCGGCGGCUGUUGAGCUCUUCCACCAUGUGGCUGUUGCUGUUGCCCUUGUACCAGAUGCCUUAGCAGCUCAGUUUGAGUUGCUAGGAUUGCCUCCAGCGGCGAUGAGGGCGGGGGUGGGGGAAGAUCCUGUCGCUGAUCGCUACUGCCGGGCAGAGCACCAGACCUGGUGCGGUGCGCCAUCUGCAAGAGUUAACGUUCCAUCAAAUUCAUACCCUUAGAUGUACUCCAACAAUGGAUCGCAUAACUUAAACUCUCCAAUGCAACUCUUGCCAAUGGUGCAACACACGUCCUCAUAGGGAAAACACACUUUCUCAUUCUCAGAGUAGAUAGCAUGUAUCUUGACCCGGUACUCAACUUCAGGCAAAACAGGUCAUAUACAGACUCCUAUGAUCCAACUCAAGCCAAGGGGUCGGACCACGGUCCAAACUUAAAAAAGUCGGGCGGGGCGGAAACUGCCUCAAGGGUCGGCGCACUCUGCCUCGCAAACUGGGGUCGGCCAACUGAACAGGCUCCCCGAAAAACAGCAUAUGGUCAUGGCGCGACUUACUUAGCCUAGCAUCCACACCACACAAAGAUGAAAAAGCUAUGCACCAGAACUUACUUUAUAUACAACGGUAGGCUAACCUAUUACAACUUUUCCAAAAUCUAGGCUGCCGAGGAGUACAACAAAAGAAUGAUUCCCUGAGAACCCUCAGUCUACCAAUGGACACUAUGAGUAGGAGAAGGGGCGCCAUCUUCCUCGAUAUCCAUGCUGGACGCUCCUUCGUCUUCCUCAGGGUCCUCUGAGCUUCGAGCUGCAUGUUGAGGGCAUGCAUAUCAUCGAGCUCAGCUUGAUGCUCCUCCAAAUGGGCAUUGGCAACUGCCAACUCCAUUUCCAUCUCCAUCCUUUCCUCCGAGAGCUCUAUCAUGCCGUCCACGAGGUCGGCGACUUCUCCUUCAAGCUCGGAGAUCCGAUCUUGCAUGUCGUGGAUCUGGAUACCCCGUUGAAUCAGCUGGUAGGUUUGGCCUACCAUAUCUCUUCUUACUGCCUGGAGGUACCCGUGAACAUCUGCUGCUGUCCAGGCGAAGAGGGUCAUGGCUCUACCCUGAAGCUCUAUCAGCCGGUAGAGAGCUGCCAUACACCUGACGUUGGUGGAGAUGGUGACCAUGGCGCAGGUGGUGGCUAGCACUUCGAUGUUCCCGACGCGGUCAAGCCAUGCCGGGUCCAGCCGGUUCCUGACGGGAAAGAGGCCGAUCGGGUCGAGCGUGAUCUCCACGGGAUGCAGCUGACAGAACUGGGUGAGCAACUGAAGGGCGGCGGAUUCCCAUGUAUCUUCAGGACCAAGGCCAUAGGCUAUGAUGCCAAAAGAGGGCCAGUCGGGACGUACAGGGGGAGGAGGUACCAACACCUGCACUUGACACGUCUGGAUGCCCUGCUCCAGAUAUAACCGUCCAGCAUACAAGGGCGGGGACUGGUACCCAAACCACUUCAGCGUAUCCCACAGAAUCGCGGGAAAUCCCUCGAAAUGCAGGCACGUCGACUGGAAGGUACCGUCCGUUCCAAAAAGAACAUGUCCGGGAACAGCCAUUUGGAACCAAGAAACCGAAAACCACGUGAGAUGGACUCCAAGAAUCAGGGGUCGGAUAGAGAAGCAUACUGUUUUGGCCGAGAGCAACUAAAAGAAACUAGAAAUCCUUAGAUCCCAAAGAACUCUUCUGAACAUGGUUGCUGUUGAGAAAGGAAACUGUACAACUCUUCUGGUUAUGACGCAUGCACGGCCUACCUUAAACAUAACCAAAACAACUGCCCGAACUCGGGUCUUACGCGGUCAGUGCCGGUGACAAGGCAACAAUUACGUCUCUCCCUAUAAUAACUAGUCGGUUCUACAACGCCUCCUAAACGAACGCGGUUAGCGUACCUGCAGAAAAACACCAACACACGAACCUUUCGUGCCAGCACCCACGAAAGCGUUCCCAAACAUUACCGCUCACUAUAGGAACGGCACCCAUGCGUUUAAGGCUGCAUGGACAGCACUCAACCGUGAAAAUAGGUUCCCUUUGAAUGGAACCAUAUAACCCUUCGCAUACUCGUGAUGCGGAAAUCGGCACACGUAUGACAAACGNNNNNNNNNNNNNNNNNNNNNNNNNNNNNNNNNNNNNNNNNNNNNNNNNNNNNNNNNNNNNNNNNNNNNNNNNNNNNNNNNNNNNNNNNNNNNNNNNNNNUCAAGCUAAUCCGAAGUGGAUCCGCCACAUGCGGGCACUAUCCGAGUAGCUUAGUCGUAAAGGUUGUAGACCGAAGUGCGAGUACUGUCGCGUGGCUGAAAGGUACUCUUUUUGCUCCCUCGAGUCGUUUCUGUCCCGAGUAAUUUUAUAUGGUAGUGCAAUGUCAAUCGCACUCCAUAUGGAGUAGCCCCCGAGCCUUAGGUUGAGUCGAAGAGUCAGGCUUAGGGUCAAACCAGCUUUUGUCCACUUUACCCUUGAUCUUGGGAAAAGAAAAAACUGACCAACGGGUACGGUACCCGCAGCCCCUGAGCACUUAGGCGAUCUUUGUCGUUGAAGUGGUCAGCAGUCCGUUGAAUAGAGUAGCCGUUGGGUGUUUAAGGCGGUUAAUACGCAAUUAAUCUGUCCGUUGCGCAACCGACGCGUGGAAACCGGGGAUGGCAGAGAUAAAACUAGAAGGCCCCUUUUCGGUUGUUGUUACGCCGUACGGUAAUCAGAUCUCGUUUUCUUCCUCCUCUGCGCCUCCGCUCUGCGUUUCGCCGCCACUAGUGCCGCCGCCGCCGCUAUUGCCACCUUUUUGAAAAAGAUCCGAGUGUGAGCUCCUUCUAGCUUGAGGUUGAGUCCGUCGAAUGCGCACCAAGAAGAUGGGCAAGAAACCUGAGAAGAUCCAGGGCAAGGCUUCGGCGACGGGCAAGGUGAAAUCUAAGAAAGGGAAGGAGCUGGUGCUGCCAGCGCCGAAGGUGGGGCCGACGAACCAAACUGCGCCGCCGCCGCCUGGGGCAACCUGGCAACACUCGGUGAUGAAGGAGGAAGCGGUCCAAGCGCUAGUCGAUGCAAAGCUCCUUCAGCCGAAGGAGAUUCUUGAGUGGCGCCCCACGUUUCCCAAUGCGUGGCAGUUUGAGGAACAUCCAGGUGAGACAGUGAUGCUCGCUCAUUUUGUGGAAAGGGGGUUGGCGGUGCCCACCUCCGACUUCUUCAGAGGUAUUCUCGAGUACUAUAAGCUUCAGCUCGUGCAUUUGAACCCCAAUGGUAUACUGCACAUGUCUAUUUUUGUACACCUUUGCGAAGUUUAUCUGGGAGUUCCUCCAAGCCUCGAGUUGUUUAGGAAGCUGUUCCGUUGCAAGCCUCAGCCGAGUGCCCAACGGACGAAGUCUUUGGAGGCGCCGGGUUCCAACUCAGGAACUCAGGCGCGUAUAUUGAGUAUAACCUGACCGACUCCCACAGGGAGUGGAAGAAAAGGUGGUUCUACAUCGGGAACCAUGAACCUCGCUUGCCUGUAGUGACUGGUCAUGCGUCCAAGCAUGCGGAAAACUAGGUGAGCAAGCCCGAGGACACCCCUGAGCUCGAUCAUCUGAUGCAGCAGAUCACCGAGUUGAAGGCACUCGGUUUGACAGGAAUCAACGUGGCGGCUAGCUUCCUGAAGAGAAGGGUCCAGCCACUUCAACAACGUGCUCACUCGGGAAGUGAGUACGUGGGUCUGAAGGAUCCAUCGUGUAUGUCCGAUGAAGACAAAUCCGAUGAUGAUGUAGAGGCGCUGCUGGCUAAGUUUUUUAGGAAUUAUCAGGGAGUACCAGUAAUCCCUGCAGCCCUUCGUCAGUAUGAUGCCUGGUAUGAGCCAGAAGUGGUAUGUCUUUUGCUCCUGACUUGUUCUCUUUUGACUUAUGUGAUAUUUGUUGCUGAUGCCGUCUUGUUGUUUGUAGUCUCGAGUUCUUGCCGGCUACUUGGCAUAGUCGGAAGAAGAGUCGGAAGCUGUUGUCGAGGAAUUGGAGGACGAGCCUUCUCCUCCUGUUAAGAGACGCAGAGUAGUCCGCAAGAUGUCUGCGGCUAAGUCUGCUUCAACCCCUGAGAAGUCUCGGGGUACCAAGGUAUGUAGUCGUGAACUUGUCUGUUACUGAUGGAUUUGAAUUCAUUAUUGAUGUGGCAAAUUUUGUUUUUGUUCGUAAAGGCUGUAGAUACGGCGCUUGGUGAAGAUGAGGCUAUUUCUGAAGAAAUGGCCGCGACCGACCUAGAAGGCGGUAAUGUGUCUGUUGACAUGGUGCCGGUGGAGGCGCCAUCAACAGAAACUGGAGUAGCCCCCGAGCUAUCCGCGCCUACUCCUUCGGCUGCCAUGCCGCCCAUUGCUGACCAAGCGGUCUUGGGGCUGCCUGCUGAAGUAGCGGGCGUUGCAAAGGAGGUGUCGCCAGUACUUGCUACUGGUACUUUGCUGUCCAAUGUGAUCGCCAGUGGUAAGCAUUGUCCCUUCCGAUUGUAUUUGUUUGAGUAGUACUGUAGUCUUGACUUUGGUUUUGUAGGCCUUGGCGAGAAGACAGUACCGGUGGCUGUUCCCGCGGCGCCUAGUACUCGACCGCCUAUCGCCGAGAAGAAGCGUGUGUGACUGCCGCCACGUUUAACCCGGUGAGCUUUCUUGUCUGUUUGAAUGACUUUGGGUUGUCUUGAAAUCAUGUAGUGAUGCUUUUUGGUGCAGAGAUGCAGAUGAAACUAUCCCUGUAGAGACAGGGGUAGUGCCGGAUCCCUCGACUACAAUAUCUAUCCCUCUGGAGGACUUGACUGUUGAAGAGGUACCCGAGGUUGACUCCAGUCAUCUUGGAGCUACUAUGUCGAUGCUUCAAGACGUAAUUCGUUCGGUGGAGGUUCCCACCGCUGCAUCGGGCUCGGGAAGUGCUGCCCUAUCAUCAUCUUCUGGCGGAUCGCUGGCCGUAGUUGAAAAAGCCAAACAAGCGACUGCUCUAGGUAUGUCUCUGUAGUCUUUUUAUUGUAGUCGCAGCCGGUAGCUGACAUGAUAAAUGUUGUAGGUGCUACUCUGGGUACGAUUCCUCAUCUUGUGGAGAGUACCCAAAGACCAGUACUUAGCCUGCCCUCUAACUUGGAGUUCCAGAAGGCCAUCGAUGAAUUCCGGGGCUUCUAGGUAGAUUUCCUUGUUGAGUUUGUUGCAUGACCUGAGUAGUUGUGAGGCUCACCACACCAUACUUGGAUUUUUUCAGGAACGAAGUCAUCAACUGGAGCAGGAAUGUGCCCGACUAACAGAAGCUCUGCGGGUUCAUGAAGUCGGGGUGAAAUCCUUUGCCGUGGAACACGCGGAUCACGCGGUUCUGCAGGAAAAACUAGAGAGCCGCUACAAGUCCUUGAACAAGAAGUAUCAAGGUAAGCAUUUCGACUACUCUGGGUGUGUCCAACUGUAGUUGGCUGUGGCCUGAGUUCUUUGUUUUGUAGAGCUCAAGAGGUAGGAAAUGGCUGCAAGGAACCAAGUCAUCGACUGGAGAAAUGCUCAUGACCGAGUGGUAGAUGAAGCCGAACAUCUUCGGGCCGCGCUAACGGAAGCACAGGCUGCUUGCGAGCAUCAGCGGGACCGAGAGAUGCAGAAUGGCGUGAUGCUUGCCAUGGCCAUGGUGGCAUGCAGAGAUCAUGCCCAAACCCUGGGAAGACUUUGGGGCGAACUCCAAGAGCUGUCUAGAGCGGCCGAAGACUUGGUGAACACCAUAGCCCCCGUGGAGGAAGGCGCAGGGCCGCAAUCAUUAGUCGAGCGACUAAGAGCUGCCCCGAGUAAAGUGGCGGGACUUUGCAAGACUAUUUGCAAGCAGGUUCUUGCAGUUGUGAAGUCCUACUACCCGAGGGCAGACUUGGCGGCAGCUGGUGAUGGCGUGGCUCGCAACUGCAUAGAGGAAGCAUAUGCGCAGUACCUCGAGGAGGCGGAGCCUAUUGCACCCAAGAUGUCGGAAUUUGUCUCCUUAGAAGAGCUUUGAGCUUUUGUAUGUACUUUUGUAUUUGUCUCGAGUACUUUGAUACUUUUGAAUGUCAAGCCUUUGGAUUUGUUGUUUGAAGUUUGUUGUCUUGCGAAGAGUAGUUUUACUCCCUUUUGUCCAAACCAAAGUGCUGAAGUCGGCUGGGCCUGACCCUCUAGGGGAGAAGCUUCGUCUCGCCCGACCUUGAGUCUUGGGGUCGGCUGAGCUUGACCCUUUCGAGGGUAAAAACUCCGCAUCGCCUGACCCUGGGUCCUGGGGUCGGAGUAAUCCAAGCCCCCGAGAUGUAGGCCAUGCUUGGCUUGUAGUAGUCCCGAGUGUCGAGUAGUCGAAUGUUGUCGAGUACUCAUCAUUUGAGGGACACGGGUGUACUGUACUCCUUUGUCCUUUGUGGAUGCACGGGUGUACUGCACUCUUUUGUCCGUUGUGGCAUAAGUGAUGUCACGUGGGAGUUGUCAGACUCAUUGAUCACGGGUGCAUAGUAACUCUUGGGUAGGUGGUAGUUGUAGCUUUCGGCUAUAAAUAGGGCCAUCUGGUGAGCGAACCAACUCAAGUUCCUGAGUAGCGAUGAAUUGCCUUCGGUUGCUUCUGUUUGAGUGUAGAGAGCCAUCAAAGAGUGCACCGGUGCUAGAAGAUUCCUCGUAGAUUGAAGCUACCUUCCCUCCACAGACUCCUGCGCUCGUAGGGAUAGCCGCGAUGCUAGAAGAAUCCUUGUAGGAGGUUUCGUCGCACGCCUCAUCUUGCAGCUCAUGAUCCAGUGGGGUACGCGCUGGAACUCGCGAGUGAUGGGUGAUGAGUGCCGCGGUCUUUAUCCUGCUCUGAGAGGGGUGGAGGUGUGACCGUAGAGUAGAUGGGCUCCGCAAGGCUAGCAAAAGAGCAGCCUUGGUUCCCUCUAGGCGCGUCAUGCCGGUUUUGUCAUUGCCGUUGUCAAGGCAGUGGCGAUGCUGGAGUUCCUAGCAUUGCCUUGGGUAGGGUACCUGGGCAUGGCUGCGUUUUGCGCAGGUUCCUUGCGUGUGGGCCCUUCCUCUUGUGGUCGGCAGACCUGAGUGACCUUGUGAUAUAGUAAAAGCCUGAGGCUUAAAUGCAGCCCGACAGUAGGCAGUUGCUUGUAGUCUUUGUGGAUUCUAAGUACUUGUACUCGUAUGUAACCUGAUGUAUCCUUGUUUCAGUAAAGAAAUAUUGAUACGGAGAUUUUGUACCAGGGCAAUGAUCCUUGUUGAGCUAAAAACCCUUGUCGAAGCUGAGGUAUCUUGAAGUCUUUAGUCGGGCAAUUGGCCUGAGUAAUUAUCAUGGGUUAUUGCCUUGAAGCGAUUACUCGGGUGCUGCUAUGGGUAAUAGCGACAGAGAUGUUCUAUAUUCCAGGAGUUUGGCACUUGUUCUCCUAAGAGCUCUUGGAGUCUGUAAGAUCCGGGUCCCGUAACCUUUGAUACGAUGUAAGGACCUUCCCACGGUGAAUUGAGUUUAUGCAAUCCUGACGUGUCUUGGAUACGCUUAAGGACCAUAUCGCCCAAGUUGAAAGAUCUUUCCUUGACAUUGCGGUCGUGAUAACGUCUUAAACCGUCAAGGUAUCUAGCAGAUUGCACUAGUGCUGCGCAUCUUGUUUCUUCUAGACUGUCUAUAUCUGUUCGCCGUGUUUCUGUUGCAAGUUCUUCGUCGUAUUGUUCAACGGAUGGUGAUUGCCACAUGAUGUCAGCGGGAAGUAUGGCUUCCGAGCCAUAUACAAGAAAAUAGGGUGAUAGCCCCGUAGUCUUGCACGGUUGGGUACGUAGGCCCCACAAGGCAUUGGGUAACUCUUUGAGCCAUCUGCCACCUUUGGUGUUGCCAACGUCAUGUAGUCGUUUCUUCAGAGCGUCGAGUAUCAUGCCAUUAGCACGCUCGACUUGUCCGUUGGCUCGCGGGUGAGCAACCGAGACAUAGCGGACGUCGAUGCCGCUGUUCUCGCAAUAUUCCCAAAAGUCGUGAUUAUUGAAGUUUGACCCUAGGUCUGUGAUAAUCCUGUUGGGAAAACUGUAGCGGUGCACGAUUUCAUCCAGGAAGUCGAGGACCCGGUCUGCCUUGGGGCAAGUGACCGGUUUGACCUCGAUCCAUUUGGUGAAUUUGUCGAUUGCCACGAGUACUCUAUUGAAUCCUCCUGGCGCAGUUGGUAACGGACCUAUCAUGUUGAGCCCCCAGCAGGGAAACGGCCAUGUUGGAGGUAUUGUGACUAGCUUGUAGGCCGGUACAUGUUGUUGUUUUGUGAAGAAUUGACAACCUUUGCAUUUCUGAACUAGUUGUUUGGCGUUGGCCAGAGCCAUUGGCCAGUAGAAGCCUGCUCUGAAAGCCUUGCCAACUAGUGUCCUCGAAGAGGCGUGGUUGCCGCAGAUUCCUCUGUGGAUCUCUUCUAGGAUUUCUUGGCCAUCUUCUCUGGUGACGCACUUCAUGAGUACUUCAGAUGAUGCACCUUUCCUGUAGAGCUUGUCUCCGACUAGAACGUAAUUCUUUACUCGCAGGGAGAUUUGCUCAGCUUUAUUCUUGUCGUUUGGUAACUGGUGAUCUUUGAUGUAGUCGAUGAAGGGUGUCCUCCAGUCGACUUCUAUCAUCAUGAUUUCUCGAGAGACAUCAGCAGCCGGGACUACUGGCGGGGUGAUUUGUUCAGGUAUGGACGGCUUGCGCAGUUCAUGUACGAAAAUUCCUGCUGGAACUUCUACACGGGUUGAGCCCAUUUUGGAUAAAACGUCAGUGGCAACGUUGUUGUCGCGGACGAUGUGAUGAAACUCCAAGCCUGAGAACUUGUUUUCCAGUUUACGGACUUCUUUGCAAUAAGCGUCCAUGUUGUCCUUGUUCCGGUCCCACUCGUCAUUGACCUGGUUUAUGACGACUAGAGAGUCGCCGUACACCAGUAGUCGUUUGAUGCUGAGGGAGAUUGCGAGGUGAAGGCCGUGUAGCAGUGCUUCGUACUCGGCUUCAUUAUUAGAUGCUUCCCAGAAUAUCUGCAGCACGUACUUGAGUUGGUCUCUCUUGGGGGAGAUGAGUAAGACGCCUGCGCCGGCUCCUUCAAGUUUGAGGGAUCCGUCGAAGUACAUUACCCAAUGUUCUGGUCGUUCGACUGGUGUUAGAACUUGAUUUUUAGUCCACUCAGCUAUGAAGUCGACCAAAGCCUGAGACUUGAUGGCUGUCCUUGGCUUGAAGUUCAAAGUGAGAGCUCCGAGUUCAACUGCCCAUUUGGAGAUUCUACCCGUGGCAUCUCUGUUGUGGAGAAUUUCGUCGAGCGGGAAAUCGGAGAUGACUGUGAUGUUGUGCUCUUGGAAGUAAUGGCGCAGCUUCCGGGAGGUGAGCAAAAUAGCGUAUAAGAGCUUUUGUAUCGGUGAAUACCAAGUUUUGGAGUCCGAGAGUACUUCGCUGACAAAGUAGACAGGUCGUUGGACCUUGUAAGCGUGGCCGGGUUCAGACCGUUCAACUACUUUUGACGUGCUGACGACAUGAGUAGUAGCGGAGAUGUAUAGAAGCAAGUCUUUGUUUGGAGAGGGAGCGGUGAGUACAGGAGGCUUUGACAAAAAGUCUUUGAGUUGUGUUAGUGCCUCGUCUGCCUCUUCCGUCCAUUUGAACUUGUCCUGGCAUUUGAGAAGCUUGAAGAAGGGUAGUCCCCGUUCUCCAAGUCUCGAGAUGAACCGGUUGAGAGCGGCCAUGCAGCCUGUGAGUUUCUGCACAUCUUUAAUGCUGGCUGGUGCCUGCAUGUUUGUGAUGGCAGAUAUUUUUUCCGGGUUGGCCUCAAUGCCGCGAUGGCUAAUGAUGAACCCAAGUAGUUUACCGGAAGGUACUCCAAAGACGCACUUAGUAGGAUUGAGUUUCCAUCGAAAAGCGCGGAGACUAGAGAAAGUUUCCUCCAAGUCGGCAAUGAGUUCCUCCCGGUUUCUUGUUUUGACGACGACGUCGUCGACAUAAGCUUCGAUAUUGCGGUGAAGUUGCCUUUCAAAGCACAUCUGUAUGGCCCUUUGAUAAGUUGCUCCUACAUUUUUUAGUUCGAAGGACAUUGUUUUGUAGCAGAAAGCUCUGAAGGGCGUGAUGAACGUUGUUUUGGCUUGAUCCUCUUCUUUGAGGCUUAUCUGAUGAUAGCCGGAGUAGCAGUCGAGGCAGCAUAGCAGAGCGCACCAAGCGGUGGAGUCAACCACCUGAUCGAUCCUGGGUAGCCCGAAAGGGUCUUUUGGGCAGUGUUUGUUGAGGUCAGUGUAGUCAACACACAUUCUCCAUUCGUUGUUUUUCUUGCGAACAAGCACAGGAUUGGCGAGCCAGUCAGGAUGAAAAACUUCUUUGAUGAACCCUGCCGCGAGUAGCUUGGCUAACUCUUUUUUGAUUGCUUCUCGUCUAUCCUGAGCGAACCGGCGUAGUCGUUGCCGUUUUGGAGUAGCUUUGGGAUCGACAUUGAGAGAAUGCUCAAUCAGUUCCUUGGGACACCUGGCAUGUCAGCCGGUUUCCAAGUGAAGAUAUCAUGGUUAGCCCGAAUGAAGCUGACGAGCGCGAAUUCCUAUUUAGGAUCUAGCCCUGUUCCGAUCAGGGCUGUCUUGGAAGGAUCUCCUGUCUGAAGGUCAACUAUUUUGAAGUCUUCCUCACUGGCGGGUUUUACUUUUGUGGACCCCGACUUGUUUUCCGGGAUCUCUAGUUCGGUUGGAUGGAGCUUUUUUGAAGCUGUGAAGACUUGCUGCAUGGGACUAGGAGAUUGAGUAGUCGCAGCAAGUUCCACGGCUUCGGUGUCGCAUUCGUAAGAUCUCCGUAAAUCUCCUCGUAGCGUGAGCUCUCCCUUUGGGCCUGGCAUUUUGAGUACCAGGUAGACAUAAUGUGGUAUGGCCAUGAACUUGGCGAGCGCUGGCCGUCCGAGUAUAGCAUGAUAAGAUGUCUCGAAGUCGGCGACCUCGAAUCUAUUGUACUCGAUGCGGUAAUGUUCCUUAGUUCCGAAGGUGACCGGAAGAACAACUUGUCCUAGUGGUAUAGCCGCGUUUCCAGGCACGAUGCCGUAGAAAGGUGAAUCCGUUGGGGUAAGCAUUUCAGUAACGUCGAGGCACAUCUUCCUUAAUGUCUUGGCUAAGAUAACGUUGAGGCCGCUUCCACCGUCGAUGAGUACUUUGGUUAACUUUGAUCCUGCCACAACUGGAUCCAAGACUAGUGGGAAACGGCCUGGUUCUGAAAAUUUUGUCCAUUGAUCUUUUCUGCUGAAAGAAAUUGGAACUUCGGACCAUUUUAACGGUGUGGGGUCCGUUGGCUCGAUGGCCAUGAUCUCCCUGAGUACGAGUUUGUUGGCUCGCUUGGAUGCAGUGCCUGGGAUACUGCCGAAAAUGAUGUUGACGGUUUUCGAAGCUGUUUGGAAGUCGCCUUCCUCAUCCUCGUCGUUCCGGGCUUUAUUUUUACCCUUAUCUCUGUUCUUGGUGUACUCUUCAGGGGCUGGUGGUGCGGGUAAGUCUUGCAUGACUCGGCGCAUGCUGUAGCAGUCUAUCGCCGAGUGCUUGCUAGUCGGAUGCCAUGGGCACUGCUUUUUGAGUAGGUCUGUGAAGGUUGGCCCUUCAUCGUUUCUGCGGUGUCCCUUUUUUCCGGAGCUGGUCAUGGUGGCAACGGUGUUGUCGGGCUUCCUUUUGCGACUGUGGUUACUCGGAUAGGAGUUCCGAGCAUUGUUAUGCCGAGUUUUAUCUGGUUCAUUGUUGUGGUUGUCGUGUCAGCGGUUACGGUGGAACCGAACUGUUCUCGCUCUUUGUCUUCUUCAUCGGCCCACUGUUGCACCAUGACUUUGAGUUCUUUGACAUCAGCUGGUCAUCGGCGACCAAAGUCUUGGUAUGUUCGUCGAUCAUAGAGUCCAUUUUGGAAGCACUCAAUGACGUCUAUUUCAGAGAUGUCAACUAUGGUAGCCUUCUUUUUGAAGAACCGUCGCAGAUAGUCACGUAGAGUCUCGCCUUCUUUUUGCUUAAUUUGUCUUAAGUCGAUCUUGUUGCCUGGUCUAGCCAUGGAGCCGGCGAAGUUGUUGGUGAAAGCCAUUGUUAAGUCUGCCCAAGAAUCAAUGGACUUGGGUUUGAGUGACUCGAGCCAGGUCAGUGGUGCGGGUUCCAUGCAUAUGGGGAAAUGGAUGACUUUGGUGUCGUUAUUGCCCCCAGCUGCUUAAACGGCUAGCGAGUAACAGCGUAGCCAUUGAAUUGGGUCUUGCUUGCCGUCGUACUUGGUGAUUCCGGUUGGCUUGAACUUAUCGGGUAAUUUUGUUUUCAUUACCCGGUUUGUGAAAGCAGGAAAAUGGUUGUAGCUGUCGACUUCUCGUUCGCGUCGACUGUUGAGAAUUUCUCGCAGAUCACUGAAGUUGGACAUUUCGCGGAUCUUCCGAGUAGGGCGGAUGCUUUUAACCGAGUUGGUGCAGCUGACUUCACCAACAUCCUUACGUCGAGUAGGAGCUUUAUACUUGCUUGGACCUUGGCUGUGUUGCCGAGGUUGGUUGACUGCAUCAUCAUUUCGUGGGGCGGCAUUUUUGUCUGCAGCUCCUCUGCUACCUUCUUGAUUAGAUGUGACUCGAGGAACAGACGGGAUUGGUGAUUCCUUGUCGAGUAGCUUGUAAGCCUGCUCCGCGAGUUGUGCGAUCAGUCCGUUGCCGCGCUGCACGAGUUGAGCUGUGACUGCGUUAUCCUUACCCUGAGGCAUCAAUGUUGUUAAAAGGUUGAUUGAGGCGAUAGCCGCGAGUGGAGUAUUGUGCUCCUGAGCCUGGACUGCGUUGAAAGCUCUUUCAAGAUUUGUAAUGGGAAUAUUUGUGGCCAUCGACUGUCGUCGCUCGGCUUGAGUGGCAUUGCGCGCCCUUCGUUGGUUGCACUGCUCGGAGGUUUCACCAUGAGGGGCGUCAGCUGUAGACUCAUCUUCGGAGAUGUUGUCAAUUUGUGCUAAUCGCCUGGGGGUUCUGUUCUGGCUAGUACCCGGGUUAUUAUUCUGAGUAAUAACAAGUAUCUCCCUGUCCGGGUAGUAGCUUCCGGAGCUUGAUGUUGCAAUCUCUGUGUAACUUUCCUCGUGGUUGAGUGGAACGCCUUCUUGAUAUGGUAGGUUGUCUAUAUGGGCGACGAGGCGCGAGUCGUAGUCACGGUCGAGAAGAGGUGGUCACAAUCCCGACCAGUGGACGAAUCUGCCUUGUGAUGUUGAAGUUAUUACCAAUCCUUGGGCUAGACCAGAUAAUGGUAUCUCUGGUGAAUAGGAUGAGUCAGAGUCGACGUCUUCGUCAUGCUCGAGUUUGGAUCGGGUUCGAGCAAGAAAACCUUGGUAGACUUUGGUUGCGUUGCGAAGUCCGUGCAGGAGCUAUUUUAAAGUCGAAACUGACUUGGAUACCGGCUGAGACUGACGAACCCGAGGCGAGUCCGACCCUGAGUCUUGGGGUCGGCUGAGCCUGACCCUUUGUGGGUGGAACUCCGCCUCGCCCGACCCUGAGUCCUGGGGUCGGGUGCGCGUGACCCCUGAGCGGAGGGUUGGAGUAGUCCGAGGCGAAGUCAAAUCCGACGCGUAAUCGAACUUGAACUCGUCGACUUUAAAAUCUUGGUUUUUUCUGGUCAGAUUUUCUGGUUUCUUCUCCUGAACAUCGACAAUCUGGCGCUGGAACGAUUUUGAGCCUUCGGCGACGCAAAGCCAGGAUCAAAAAAUGAAGGUGGCGCCAGCUUCGAUGAAGAAGACGGGCCUGAUGAUGACCUUUACCAUUGAGUUCGCGCUGAGAAACUCGACGAGUCCCCCUACCUGGCGCGCCAGCUAUCGGUGUUUUAGACUGGCAACCCACCUAGAGGGUUCCCUAGGUGGUCUUUUAUGCGGUAAGGGUCGUCGAGAAUCAAGGAAUCAAUGGUGACGCAAGGAACACGAUUUAGACAGGUUCGGGCCGCUAGAUCGCGUAAUACCCUACGUCCUGUGUGUUGGCUUGUAUUGAGUUAUGUUGAGAUGUAUUCAGAUGUCUAUGUCCCUGAGGGGGGUCCCUGCCCAGCCUUAUAUACACGGGAGGGUAGGGUUACAAGUCUGAGUCCUAGUCGGGUACUAUUACAGAGUUCUACUUGGUAAUGGCCCGAGUAGUUUUCCAUAAACAUACAAGACUAGUCCAAGUAAGAUACGCCCAUCCUUUUUCUGAUCUUGUCCGAGUACGUCCCUUGGUGGGCCGUCCAAGGCCUACUCGUGGACCUGGGGUGUAUGCCCGACAGUUAUGGCUCGAGGUCGGGAUCAAACAAGAAGGUCGAGAUGGUCCCUGACUGCUAUUGAGCGGGUUAGGGUGGAGGCCGCUGGGGCUCUAUCUGCGAUUUCUCCCCUAGCUCUAUUUGACGCGUGGCGGCCUCGAGCCCUCCAUGGGCCGGCCUUUGAACCUCGGUCGAUCGUAGCUCGUUCUAGACAAGCUGCUAUUGCUUUGUGACGUGACGCAAAGCAAUUGAAGUGCAAUGUUGCAAAGAUGAUGUAUGAAUGGAUGAAUGCAAAAAUGAUGCAUGAAUGAAGUGAAUGCAAGAUGCAAAAAUUAUACAUGAAUGAAAUGAAUGCAAGAUGCAAAAGUGAUGCAUGAAUGAAAUGAAUGCAAGAUGCAAAAAUGAUGCAUAAAUGAAAUGAAUGCAAGAUGCAAAAAUGAUGCACGAAUGGAUGAAUGCAUGAAUGAAAUGAAUGCAAGAUGCAAAAAUGAUGCAUAAAGAAAAUGAAUGCAAGAUGCAAAAAUGAUGCAUGAAUGCAAUGAGUGCAAGAUGCAAAAAUGAUGCAUGAAUGAGUGCAAGUAUGCAUAGAAAAUAAAAAGGAAAAAAAGGGGGGAUUGAGAAAGUUACAUGGGUCGGACAUUUUAGGUGUUGCUCCCUAUGUGACUUUCACGAUCGCUGGGGUCGAGCUAUCGUUGCUCGUCUCAGUGGUUCGAGCAACCAGGUCGGGGUACCACUAGUGGGUAUGCCCGAGUGGAGUCCGUAUCCGUCGUUCAUGAUGGGGACGCGUGUCCUGUACGUUAGUUUUCCACUGUACGUUAGUUUUCCACUAUAUUUUGACCAGUCUCCCGCCGGGUGCCCGACCCGUCCGACUGACUAAUAGACCUGCCCGUUGACAUAGGCUGCAACCUUGGGAACCUGGGCGUGGCCCUCAAGGUUUGGCUGCUCGUAACCAUAGUCAUGGCGGGGUCCAAUCAGUCCAUAAGCGUGAACUACUUAGGGUAGUUUGGAGGAUGGUAAGCCCUUUACUGAAGUGUGUUCAUUUGUGAUUAUUAGUAUUGGUGAUGCGAAGCUGGUCCCGCCCGUCCUCAUUUUCAUCCUUAGAAAACUUCUGCCUUUUCACUCCUUCCUUCUAAAACUGGCCUCAUUGAUGUAGGCCGCAACCUUAAGAACCCGGGCGUGGCCCUCGAGAUUCAGCUGCUCGUAACCGUAGUCGUGGCGGGGUCCGAUCAGUCCGCGAGCUAGAGUUUAAGUUGCUUUUAGGGUGAAUUAGAGGUUGGGGUGCCCUCUUAUUUGGGCGCGGCCCUUCAUUCGGGUGAGGUGCAUGAUGAUGCAGAAAGUAAAGAGGGGGUGGUGCACCCCCGUGGAGCCCCCGAGCGACCCGGGCCAAGUGUGCUCGGGCCGGGGUGCUGCUGGAGCAAGUGCGGGAAAGAAAGAACGACUAGAAAGGAACUGAGUUAGGGAAAGAAAUGAUGUAACUGCUCGAUGUUCCAAGUGUUGGUGAGGAUGUUGCCAUCUUCAUCCUCCAGUCGGUAGGCACCUGGUCGGAUCACCUCAGCCACCGUGUAUGGUCCUUCCCAUGGCAAAGAAAGCUUGUACUUGUCCUUGGUCGUUUGGGUCCUUCGAAGCAUGAGGUCUCUGACUUCAAGGGUUCUUCCCCGAAUCUUCCUUUUGUGGUACCUGUGAAGAGUUUGCUGGUAGUGAGCGGAGCGGAUGAUUGCCGUCUCGCAUGCCUCCUCGAGCAAGUCAAUCGCGUCCUGCUAGGCCUCCGCGAUCCGGUCAGGGUUGAAUGCUUUUACCCUUGGGGUGCCAUAGUUGAGGUCGGAUGGCAGCACUGUUUUCGAGCUGUAUACCAAGAAGAAGGGGGUGAAACCCGUUGACCAGUUUGGGGUCGUCCUCAGGCUCCAGAGGGCUGUUGGAAACUCUGUGACCCAUCACCCAGCAUGUUUCUCAAGCCAGUCGAAGAUGCGCGGCUUGAGUCCCUGGAGGACCAUGCCAUUUGCCCGCUCGACCUGUCCGUUGGUCCACGGAUGUCCGACCGAAGCCCAGUUGACCCUGAUGUCGUACCCAUCAUAGAAACCCAGGAACUUUUUACCAGUGAAGUUUGUUCCAUUAUCCGUGAUGAUGCAGUUAGGGACACCGAACCAGUAGAUGAUGUCGAGGAAGAACUCAACCACCUCUUGCGAGUGGAUUUUGGUGAUGGGCUUUGCCUCGAUCCACUUCGUGAACUUGUCCACCGCCACGAGCAGGUGGGUGUGACCGCCCGGGGCUUUUUUGAGGGGCCCAACCAUGUCGAGUCCCCAGACCGCAAACGGCCAGGUGAUGGGGAUGGCUUAGAGUUCCAGUGCCAGCAAGUGUGUCUGCCAAGCAUAGAACUGACAUCCCUCACACCUACAGACCACUUCCUCCACAUCGUCUAGUGCCGCGGACUAGUAGAAUCCAUGACGAAAGGCCUUCCUGACCAGUGAUCGUGGGGCAGCGUGGUGUCCGCAAUUCCGGCAUGGACUUCGAGGAGAAAGUGCUUCCCCUGGUCGGUCAGGAUGCACUUCAUGAGCACUCUCGACGGGCUUUGCUUGUAGAGUUCAUCGCCGAUGGCAAUGAACGUUUUGGCAUGUUGGGCGACCCAUCGCGCUUCAAUCAUUUCCGGGGAAAGGACUUCGUCGAGGAUGUAAGCGAGUAGUGGUCUCCUCCAGUCGGUUGGGUCGAGCGCCAUUACCGCCACAUCCCGAUCGGAGCCCCCGAGCGCUUGGUCAGGGUUGGGCAACGGUGUGGUACCAGAGCCUCCGAGCGGUUGGCUGGGGCCAGCCUGCGCCUGGGUCAGAUUUUCCCGGAUGCGGGUGGACAGCUCGUGCAGAUCGUUCACAAAGACGCCUUCCAGGACUGGUUCCUGCCCGAUAGCCAUUUUUGCCAAGGAGUCGAUGGCAUGGUUGUCCUUUAGCAGGAUGUGAUGCUGCUCAAUCCCCCGGAAUUUAUCCUCGAGCUUCCACACCUCUUGGUAGUAUGCUACCAUGAGCAGGCUUUUGCAGGAGGAUUCCUUCAUGACCUACUUGACCACCAGCUCCGAGUCGCCACGGACGUAGAGUCGGGUCGCGUCGAGCUUGACCGUGAUGCGCAGCGCACUGAUAAAGGGCUUCGUAUUCCGCGACGUUGUUCAAGGCGUUAAAGUGGAGGCGGAUUUCAUAACAGAGCCUGUUCCCCUUUGGGAAGACCAGAACCACUCCAGGCCCCACGCCGGUUCCCAUGACCGACCCAUUGAAGUACAUUGUCUAGUACUACUGGGCGACGACAGGGGUCAGGGUCUGGACCUCCGUCCACUCGAUGAUCAAGUCGGCCAGAGCCUGGGACUUGAUUGCAGUUUGGGGGGCGUACUUGACGUUGUGGCCCAUGAGCUCAAGCACCUACUUGGAGAUUCGACCUAUUGUGUCGAGAUUUCGGACGAUUUCUCUGAGUGGGUAUGAGGUGACUACCGUGACCUCGUGUUCGGUGAAAUAGUGAAGGAGCUUUCGAUUUUCCAUCAGCACGGCGUACAAAAGCUUCUGCACCUGAGGGUAAUGUACCUUCGCAUCGGUGAGUACCUCACUGACGAAGUACACCGGUCGCUGAACCUUCAGCGCAUGUUUGGGCUCCUCCCUCUCAACGACAAGAACAGCGCUGACCACAUGGUCGCUGGCUGCGAUGUAAAGAAGGAGGGGUUCCUCUCUCUUGGGCGUGACUAGGAUCGGGGUCGAGGUCAGUAGCGCUUUGAGGCUCUCCAGUGCCUUUUGUGCCUCUUCCGGCCAGACGAAUGCGUCUGACUUUUUGAGGAGUUUGUAGAGCAGCAUUCCCUUUUCGCCAAGUUGGGAGAUGAACUGGCUCAAAGCAGCCAAGCAUCCGGUGAGCCUCUGUACACCCUUGAUGUUGCGUAUCAGACCCAUGUUGGUGAUGGCCAUGAUUUUUGGGGGGUUGGCUUCGAUGCCGCGCUCGGAGAUGAUGUAGCCGAGUAACUUCCCUUCGGAACCCCAAAAACACACUUCUCAAGAUUUAGCUUGACGCUGAAUCUGCGCAGGUUCGCAAAUGUCGCGACUAAGUUAGAGAUCAGGUUGCCUGCUUGAGCCGACUUUACCACUAUGUCAUCAAUGUAUACGGCGAUCAUGGCCUUUGGCUUCCCGUCUAGGUCGGGUUGGUUGAGAGGAUCAAUUUGGUCAGUGAAGCACCGUUGCAUGCACCGCUGGUAAGUGGCACUGGCAUUCCUUAGACCGAACGGCAUGGUCACGUAACAGAACGAGCCAUACAGGGUGAUGAAAGAGGUCGCGAGCUAGUCAGCAUCCAGAAAACAAAGGAUUUCACAUCCCGAGGUCGAAUCGACUAUUUGAUCUAUGCGUGGUAAAGGAAAGUGGUCCUUAGGGCACGCCUUGUUCAGGCUACUAUAGUCAACACACAUUCUCCAUUUUCCAUUCUUCUUUUUUACAAGAACCGGGUUAGCAAGCCAGUCGGAGUGGUAUACCUCCUUGAUGAAACUAGCUUCCAGGAGUUUGGCGAUUUCCUCGCCUAUGGCCCUGUGCCUCUCGUCAUCAAAGCGGUGUAGGUGCUCCUUCACGGGCUUCGAGCUUGGAGCGAUGCGUAGUGUGUGCUCGGCGACCUACCUUGGGAUUCCAUGCAUGUCAUCUGGCUUCCAUGCGAAGACAUCCCGGUUCGCACGUAAGAAGUCAACGAGCUCGCCUUCCUAUUUGGCUGGGAGCUUGGUCCCAAUCCACACCGUCUUGGUCGGGUCGACCGGGUCGAUCUCCAUCACCUUGGUCUCGUCGGUCGGGUUGAACGCACUCGCAGUGGUCGGCUCGUUGUAGUCGGGAAUGGCUAGAGCUACCUCCUUCUGGAGCUUCUUGAGCUCAGUGGAGUUGACGAGACCGGUGGCAUACUCAAGGUUCUCCCGGUCGCACGUGUAGGCGUGCGGAAAGAGACUGCUCACGGUGAUGGUGUUGUUUGGCCCUGACAUUUUUAGCUUGAGGUAGGUGUAGUUGGGGAUUGCCAUGAACUUAGCGUAGCAUGGGCAUCCCAAGAUGACGUGGUAGUACCCCUCGAAGUCUACCACAUCAAAGCAGGAUCUCCGUGCGAAAGUUGGCAUGGUCCCCGAACGUGACGGGCAGGUCGAUCUGCUCGAGUGGGUAUGCUCGCAUUCUUGGGAUCACACCAUGGAAGCGCGUGAUCUUUGAUCGGAGCCUGGAACGGGGGAUGCGCAUCAAGUCCAGGGUCUCAACAUAUAGGAUGUUGAGGCCACUGCCCCCGUCCAUGAGCACCCGGCUGAGGCGCUUUUCCUCGACGAUGGGGUCCACGACGAGCGAGUACUGACCCAGUCGGGGAACGCUCGGGGGAUGAUCCCUCUGAUCAAAAGUAAUAGGGUGGCAUGACCAAGUAAGAACUUGGAAAUAGCUGAAUCAAUAGCACAUACCUCCCGGCGGCGUAUCUUGUGCUAACGUUUGGAGUGGUCGGUGUCGGUCCUCCCGAAGAACAUAAGGCAGGUCUCGGGCUCGGGGAAGCCUUCUCCAUCCUUGCUUGCCACAUCCUCCUUGCCCUUGUGCUCCCUCAUCUUGCCAGCUUGCCGCAGGAAAUGCUUGAGGAGCUCACAGUCCUUGUAGAGGUGCUUGACGGGGAAAGGGUUGGUGCAGGGACUCUCCAUGAGCUUCUUGAAGUGGUCAUUGCACCCCUGCUGAGGUGGCUUGUCCAGUCGGUCGGCUGCCGUGACCACCAUCGAACGGGUUAGUUGGUGCCGAUCCUUCUUGUUCUUCUUGCCUUGCCUCGUGGAGGGACCCUCAUCCAGGCCCUCACGCUUAGCCUUGCCCUUGUCUCGCCCAUUGCUGAAGACAGCCCCAACCGCCUCCUCGCUGGAGGCAUGGUUGGUGGCAAUGUCUAGUAGGUUGCGGGUGGUUCGAGGCUUGUUGCAUCCGAGCUUGUGGACCAGGGACUUGCAGGUCAUCCCCGUGAGGAACAUGCCGAUGAUGUCAGCAUCGACAACGUCGGGCAGAGAGUUGCUCUGCCGCAAGAACCUAUGGAUGUAGUCUCGCAGGGACUUGUUGGACUCCUGCUUGCAGCUCUUAAGUUCCCAGGUAUUCCCAGGGCGGACAUAGGUCCCCUGGAAGUUCCCUACAAAGACCUUCUUGAGGUCCGCCCAGUCGUGGAUGCUAUUGGCAAGCAGGAACUCAAGCCAGGCUUGAACAAACUCUCCCAGGCAGAUGGGGAGAUGAUGGAUGAUGAAGAGGUCAUCAUUGUCACCACCAGCUCGGCAGGCGAGAUGGUAGUCUUUGAGCCAUAUGCUGGGGUUUGUUCCCUCGGUGUACUUGGCUAUGUUGGUGGGCGGCCAGAAGCAUUGUGGGAAGGGUGCUUUCUGGAUGUUCCACCCAAAGGCUCGCGGCCCUAGCCCAUCAGGGCUGGGGCUUCGGUCGCCGCUCCGGUCGCCCGAGUGACGGACACGUCUAGGGUGCACAUCCCUAGGUUCCUCAUCGGACCGAUCCUGGGCUGCUUUGGCGGCUCUGGCCGCCAUAUGGUCGACGUCGGCGUUGUGACGCACCAGGCGGCGCGCGUGGAUGACGCUGCGCACAUCGCAGUUGGGACCCACGUGCUGGCGUUGUGGUGCCGGCGCCUGUACCAGAUCAUGCGAAGGUGCUGUCGCGGUGCUGUGUCCGGCACGGCGAGGUAGAGGAGGCGAGCAAACCGAGAGGUUCAGUUGCUACGCCCCCAGCGCCCCGGUAGGGCAUGAAACCGCAUGCUGCUGGCAUGACGCAGAGCUCUCAGCCUACUGCAUGGUGGCAGUUUCUACCAGCGCUCUGAGGUUGCGGUGGAUCGCCUGCUCCUUAGGGUCAGCGGGCUCCGGUACGCUGGGCAGGAGCAUCGCGGUGGCGGUGAUGUUCUGUCCGGCCCUAGCAAACUAUGGGAGGUCAUCCCCCCUCCCAGCUAUGAUGUUUCGAUGGACCUAACGAGCGCAACCUCAGGCCCCGCUUCCCAGGUUGCGCGCGUGUGGGCACGGAGUGUUGCGCCGGGCGUGCUGGUGGUGGUGGUGGUGGGUUCUGCUGGAGCUGCCGUAGCGCGUCGCCAUGCGCCUGCACCCGUGCCCGAGCCUCCGCACGGUGGUCCGGUAGGGUGUGAGUCUCAGCAGAUUCUGCCACCUCCGGAAGCUGCUCUGGGCAUCCGCCAUAGCGCAUUCUCGGGACAGAGGAUCAUCAAGUGCCAUUGCGUCGCUGUGGCUGGAGCCCUCGCUCUUAAGCUCCUCAUCGCAAAGGAGUUUAAGGAAAGAGUCAGGGGCAUAGUCCGCCAUACCUACGAGCUUGCACGGGGGGAGAGGUGGCACCAUAGCCUUCCAGAGACCCCGCACAUACGCGUCCACUGGGGACGGUAGACCGAAAGGGAGCCACCCGCGCAGCGAGCGCGGUGGUGACUGAGAAGGCCCUCCGGAGAGCUGCCCGAGAGUGUUGACGAGCGAAUACAUCAUGGUAUCCACGUCGUUGGUCGUGGGGUUGGCACUCAGCAGGGAUUCGAUGUGGAGCGCAAGGGCUUCCACGUCAAGAUCGACAAGCGGUUCGCGCGCGAUGAUGCGAGCCACUUUUCCCAGGAAUGCUGGGGGAGCCACCUCCUCGUGGAGGCGGAGAACGCCAAGAUGAUCGGUGAUGAACUCCAAGCUUCCGAAGCAGAAGACCUGGAGUGGCGCGAAGAUGGGCGGAAUCCACGCUCCACCGAGAGCAGGAGCAGGGAACUCCAGCGAGCUGAAACAAAUCGUGUCGCUGGCGCCCGUCGCGCCAGCGACGGCGAGUUGGGCCAUCCGAUGACCUGAAAAAUGAGAACGCAGCAACACCUUCCCCACGGAUAGCGCCAGCUGUCGGUGCGGAUUUUGGUCGAUGAUCAAUUCUACAUAGUUUUGCUACACGUUAAUCGAUAUGGCCUAGCACGCAAUGAUACAGGAUCUAUACUGGUUCGGGCAACGUGCCCUACGUCCAAUUAGGGAGUCGGUCAUCGACUUUAUUCUUGAGCCCAGGUGCUCAAAGUUUGCAGUGGGGGUACAAACAGGAGGAGGAAGACAAGGGAUGCCUGAGCCUCAGCCUUGGCCUCGUCAUUGUGGAGGAGGAACGCAGGGACCCGGGCGUGCGCUAAGUGUGGGCAGUGCGCUGUGUUUCUUGUGUUCUUUGUUGUCUAGGUUGGUUCGUGUGUGAAUCGAUAGGUGGAUGGAUCCUAUCGAUAUGGGUUGUUCUCUAUGAGGGAGAGGGCCUGCCCCCUUUUAUAGUCCAAGGAGACAGCCUUACAGGUUGGGAGAAGAUAGAGGGAAGGAUGUGCUGGCGCUACCUAGUCUUGUCAAAUCCUCUGCCAGCGAAUAUGGUAUGGCCUCCGUCCUCGGUCCUUGUUCUCCUCAUCAGGUCAUCAUACCGUAGCAUCAUGCCAUCACGCCAUAGUGUCAGGUCACCACGCCAUAGCGGGUAGGUUUACGGCACCAGUGUGCAGACGUGCCCGAGGCGUGGCAUGGCAUGGUUUCGCGUACGGCCGGCUGACCCGGGGCCUGCAUCAUUAUCCAUCCCACCUGCUCCCUGGACCCACGGGGGGUGAGUGUCCCUGGUCGGGAGGUCGGUGCAGGUGGUACGGUGGGGACCUGGUCGGGAGAACCAGGUCAGGAGUCCCCAGUCGGGGGUCAGACUGUGGCCCCACUCCGAACAGGUCUUCUCUGGUCGGAGCGUCAGUUCAUCCUCUGGGCCAGAGGAGUUGGUCGGGCUGCGCCCUCAGCCUGGCGGCGCGCAGCGGGGCCGGCCCAAGUAUUCGUGAUCAUUGUGCCUUCUCGUUGGGCUAAGCACAACAGGGAAACGGUCCUGUCGGGGACCCCAGGUCUCUGGACCCGUCAGGUAUAACCUGGAUUUUCUUUUCCAUUAGAUGCCUUGAGAGAACACUAUGCUAGAAAAUGAUUUUUUUCCCAUUUGAUGAAAUAGUCUGAUUAAUGUGUCACUGAUACAUGGAGUACAUCAGAAACUAAAUUUCCGAUGUGUUCAAUUUAAACACUGAAGAACAAGGCCAUUAAUAAUUGUUCUUACAGUGGUUGUUUCCUAUAUUGGGAUGCUUUCUUUUGAUUCCAUACCCGUGGCAUUUUUUUAUCAGUGCACUCAAGCAUGUUAGUUUAAGAGAAUAACUUGUAGGAGAAUCCAUAUGAAACCUAUCACUUUGUGUUUAUUUCGAGUGAAUCUUUAGCAUCCCGUCUAUUUCUGGACCCUACAUCUUAUAUAUGUUUGCUAGCAGAUCUGGGUCUUUGCAAGCAAAACUGUUGAAUAACUUGUGGGAUAUUCAGUUUAACUUAAUUUGUGUCAAUAUUUUCUUUGUGGUAGCGCAUAAAGAAUAAUCCAAGACUCAUCAAGAACAUUUUAUGUCCAUACUGAUUCAUGAGGCUUGUUCUAGAAGUGACUUAAUAAAUAUGAGAAUUGGUGAUUUUUUAGAUACCAUUUUAGUAUAAGGAUGGGCACUUCAGAAGCAUAUUUACAAAAGAGGACAGUAUGCGAUUUUAUUUUCUGAUUUUGGUUGGGUGAAGGCAACUUUAGUGACUGCAAAUUAAUGCCUUCAUUGUUUGUGUUAUGCUUUUUUACGUGAAAGUUUCUAUCCUUAUACACAAAAUGGCUUCAGAUAACGGACAUUUGAGUUUUCUAGGAACUGAACCAUUUUAGGUUGCUAACGAAGUCUUAAGCAUUGUAGGUAAAACCACAGCCUACAAAGUUCGAAUUAUGAUUGGAAGUCUUAGAGUAGCUUUAGUGGCUAAGGUAGAAUAGGAACCAACUAAAUCCUUUAUUUUAUAAAGUUGUGGAUUCUGAUUCUUUUUUUAUUUCACAACCUGACAUAUUGCAUUGCUAUCUGAAUUCUUCUUUUUUAGAACAUUUGCUCAUGCAAUAUCAUUUGGCAGAAGUUAGGAGUUAAAAUAGCUGGAUAGUCUAUGUUCCAUAUGUUUAAGAGUUAAAAUAGUUGACUUUUGAAAAUUUAAUAUCUACUAAAUAAUUAGAAAUAAUUUAUUGUCUUUGGUUACUAAUGAUUUUUGUUCUUAGAAGGAAGAUUACUAAUGAACGGAUGUUUGGGCAUUUUUCUGUGAAGAUGCCCAAGAUGUUGAGUAAAUGGCUGGUGGCUUGGGAGAAUUGCAGGAGCCCUGGUGCAGAGUCCGUGGACUAAUCUUCCCAUAUGCAGUGGGUGCGUCUUGUUUCUGAUGUUCAAAACUUCAUUUAGUUUUUCCCCUGCGGAUCUGGUUGUCUCUUUCCUGGAUGAGGUGUAGUAGGUGAAUUUUCACGUUUGGCUCCUGAUCACCUAGAAUUUGUAAAAGACAUGCCAUAUCCUACUGUUUGAUGGAAAACAACUCCCACCCAGAGAUCUGCAGUUUUUUUUCUAUUUGCGUGUGAACUUUUGAUAAUAUUUUAUUUUUUUCAGCAUUUGCAGACUCGUACCAAUUAGCAAAAUUGCCUUGCAUUUCAUAUGAACUUUUCUUCUCUCUGCGAUGUGUUGGUUGAUCAGCAUAUGGAAAAGACAUUGGUUGAAGUGUUAGAUAGUAAGGUUGGAAAAGACAUUGGUUGAAGUGUUAGAUAGUAAGGUUAAAGAUUAGCAUGGUACCGUAUCCUUUCUAAUAACUACUUUCAAUAAUUCCGACAGAACAACAUAAAAAUGAAAAUGAUUAUAUUUGAUUUAAUGUUUCAUUCAGCUGAGCAUAAGUAUAUUCGAUUUUAUACUAAUAUUUUGCAACUCCACUAUUGUAGAAAUGAUGUAUAACAGUGUAUGGGAUAGGUGAACUACUCUACAGUACCAAGCCUACCACACAAGAGAAGGCACCGUUUGUGUUGUUUUUUAUAGUCCACCGAAUAUUACGAUAGUAACUACAAACAUUAUAUCAUGAUUAUUCUUUUGCAAGUUGAGAUAAAGAACAUCCAAACGUACUUAUAUGUUUAUGUUAUUACUCAUCGCAAAGUCAUUUUUUUGUUUCACAUUGAGAGCAUUUCGCAUGUGUUUGAGUUUGUAGAAAUAAAUAUUUCACAUGAUAAUGUUUGAUGCUUAUAGACAAAAUUUGUUUUGCCCGUAGCAAGAACGAUUACUAGAGUGAAAUUUGCUCUCAGUGAAACAAAACUUAAAAAGUGACGUAAUCAUGAUUCUCUUCCUCGACUCCUCCGGUUUGUGUGUCAGUCAAGUCCAGCAACAUCUUACCAACAAAGAUGCGGACCGAUCGGCAGAACCGCAGAAGAGGACAAUUGUGGCACUGCAAUAGGCUUGGGCUGUGCAGCUCGAGCAUCAAAUACAUGAAGGGCCACAACAUGGUGGAGUCACAACCUAUAACUAUGACAAGGUCUGAAAUAUUAGCAGUGGAGGCAAUUUUUUCCAUUAUUGUUGAAUAUGUAGAAAAUAUGAAUCGGAAUCUAUGCCAAAUACUGAUAUACAAUUAGUAAUGAACUAAAUUCAGAAUGAAAAAAUAUUAGUUUUAUUUCCUUACAAACAUGAAGAAAAACACAAAAAUAAAGAGUAGAUGUGUUAAACAUAAUAAAUAAAUAGGUAAGUUCAGAAUAAAAAUUAAGAACAUAAUAUAUUGAUAUACACUCAGAUUAGGAAGAAAAAUCCAUAAUAAAGAGCCCAUGUAAAAUAGAUUUCACUAAAAACUAAAUUAGUGAUUGGUUGAGGUUUUACAUGUAGAUUAAUGUCACAAUGUUUGAGCGGAAAAGGCGUAACUCAAACCGUAGAGGUUGAGGAGAUGUAAGAAUAGUGACCUAUGAUAAUAUCAUGUCCUCCAACAUAGACAAUGUUGUGAAACAACACGCCAUGCAAACUUAACGCCGGCGCUGCAAAGGCAGGGCAAUAUUCAAGCAAUGACUAAAAUAAGAAUCCCAUGCAACCAUGCUUGAUUGAAAUUGUCAGGGAAGUAAUACCAAGACUGUGGGUCGGAGAUGACAAGCAAAACAAAUGAGAUCAGCAGAGGAGAACAUACGAUUGGAAUUGCGUGUAGUGUCCAAUCUCAAUUGUAGACCUGUCGUGGUUCGAAUCUAGCUGCGCUAUUUGCACGGACCACCUCUUAUAAGAAAUUAAUUGUUAAUACGAAAUUAUAUGUAUAAGUUAUGAUAUUUAAAAAAAGGAAAGUUGUGAGCAUCGAAACUUUUCAAACAUAGAAGUUCAGAGGAAGUGGAGUGCGUGGGCUACGGGGGAAUCGAUGGCCAGCAGUACUGCUGUGGCGCACGCGCCAGUUAGCGUGCCCCUAAAAGCAUCGAAGAAUGGAAGCAUCGCUUGUGAUUACGUCUGGCCUAUAUAUAGACGGCAACUUCGAGUGCCUCACAUCAGUCCCGAACCUUUCUCGUUCAUCUCCUUAGCCAGAACACGUCCAACUUCCAUUCUCUCAACACAAAUGAGAUGUGCAUGCAUGGAUAACCACCUUAAGUCGCCUUUCUUCGUCUUACUGCUCUGUUGUACUGUUGCGACAGUAGCAUACCCUGCUCGCUGUGAGUUAUCUCAUCCGACGAACUAUCAUUCUAUAUCAUACAACCCACAGCCACAGGAUUUCCCAAAUGAGCAACUCUACCGCGCCUAUCUCGUCAUCCAGCGCUUCAAGAGCACCAUCACGAGCGACCCCAAGAAUGUCACGGCAACCUGGACCGGUCAUGAUCUCUGCGGAGAGACGACCUACAUUGGGUUCUACUGCGGAUCGCCGACAGGCGGGGAUAAGAAAUUGACUGUCACAGGGGUCAUUUUGAAUGGCUACAGUCUACAUGCACCGACACUGCAAGGAUUCGUGGAUCAGCUCCCAGACCUUGCGCUUUUCCAUGCUGCUUCCAACAAUUUUGGUGGCGAUAUCCCCCGACUCGCCGGCCUUGAGUACAUGUACCGGCUCAGUGUUAGCACCGAUCCGCCAAUGUAUACUGUAGAUGAUAUUUCGGGGACGGGAACCACUCUCGGGACGACAAUAGACGCAACGGCUGGAAAAAAAUGCGUAACUGCUCACUUACAUUUUGCUAUUAGUAUUGGUAUUCAGCCAGGCGGUAAGGGAGGCAAUAUUCCUGGUGUUACGGAUUCUAAAGCGCUCCUCCUCAACCACAACAACAUAUCCGGGCCACUUCCGUCGAACCUAGGUCUCUCCAAGUUGAGCUACCUCGCCGUCGCCAACAACAGGCUCACGGGGCCAAUCCCAACAUCGAUCGAGCAACUACAAGACUCCCUCCUCGAGGUGCUCCUCCUCAACAACCAGCUCUCCGGCUGCCUCCCCCACGAGCUCGGCAUGCUCCACAAGGCGUCCGUCAUCAACGUCGGCAUGAACCAGCUCACCGGCCCGAUCCCGUCAUCCUUCUCGUGCCUCAGCAGCGUCGAGCAGCUCAACCUGGGCGGGAACCGCCUCUAUGGCCAGGUGCCCGACGCGCUCUGCAAGCUCGCCGGGCCAGCCGGCCGCCUCGCCAACCUCACGCUGCCCGGCAACUACUUCACCUCCGUCGGGCCGGCGUGCGCGGCGCUGAUCAAGGACGGCGUCCUCGACGUGAAGAACAACUGCAUUCCGGGCCUCGCCAACCAGAGGCACCCGGCGGAGUGCGCGGCGUUCCACAGCCAGCCGAAGACGUGCCCGGCGGCGACCCCUCAGGUGGCUUGCCCCGCCGCGGCUGCCAAGGGCGCGGUGGCGGCGCCGGGGGAGAGGAAGGCUAGGGACUACUCCAGCUACGUGACGUAUGCUACUCUGCAUGAGUGAGCCGCUUCGGUCGGCAUGCAGUAGGAGACAGAGUGCCUCGGUGGGACUUUGGCUAUUUGUUCCUUGUAUUCUUGUGUAGUAUUGUGUGUUGGUGUGCUUGUGCUUGUUGUCUAUUUGCUCUGCACGUGUUGCUGUCACUUAGAUCCAUCUUUGUAUCCAAAGUAAAUUAUUGUUGGUGAAGUAAAGUUCGUUGUAUAUCUGUCUCUGUCUUGGAUGCUCCAGAUGUUGCUUAAAUUACGCAAAUGUCGAUCGGAUAUAUGGCAAUGACUUUGAUCAACAUUAUUACUCCAUCAACCUUAAAAAUAACUAAUGUAGGCAUCUCAGCUCUGUUCCAUACGAGGGCCGGAGUCUUAAAUAAACAGUCUAAAAUUACAGCGAUCUUAGCAUCAACUAUAUACCACAUUCUUUUCUGAUCGAGAAGACUAUAGUACCAGUACAUUUCAGGGACAUUCGAUGUCUUCCGCUAUUCGUUUGUGUUUUCAUGUCUAUGUCCGACGCCGGGGUGAACGACUGAUCGAACGAAACCACAAGCUCCAUCUAUCCCAGCCUCGUGAUCGCGUGCUGGCCUUCGCGACAACUUGUCCGGGUCCGGGAACCGCCCCUACGGCGAGGUUGCUCACGCGCAGCCCCAGGCCAACUCCCGGGGCCGGAUGGCACACGACUUGUUGCCAAACCUCUCGUUGUCACACCCCGCGCGCGCGCUCAACUCUGGCCGGCCGAUCGAGCUGCACUGUUGGAGUGUUGGACACGAGACGAGCAUGCAACUGUGCAGCAUCCCCGGCUACACUGAAGACGUGCCCCGCAACCGCGAGCACCGACGCCGACAUGCCAUGCAUGCGUCGUCGUCGCAUGUGUCACGGACAUGGUGGUGCAAAGGUAGGUAGGUAGGUAGGUAGGGGUCGGGUUCGGGUUCGGCCGCGCUCCAGCUACGUACAUGACGACAUAUGCCGCUCCGCAUGCAGACGCGCGCCAGAGCAAACGGCUGGGCCGAACACCUCGGUCGUAUGUGCUUGUGUUCAUGCGAGUGCAGAUCUAGUGUCGUUAGGUUGGUAGGUGCAGGCAUGUGAGCUUAUUGUGACCCUGGUUGUUUUGUUCCGCGGGGUUGAUCUCGCCGGCAUCAACCAUGUGGUGAUGAUGUCCUUGUAGAGUGCUGCCAUGCUGCGUGCUGUGACAAUUUGUUGUACUAGAAACAACUUGUCUUUAACUUCUAGAGAAACAUUAUUCGGAGUUAAGAAGAUAUUGCUCCGCAAUGCAUAACCUUUUGUCUGGUUGGUGUGCGUGUGUAUAUGAGUAUGAAAUAAUAAGGUCCUGAUUAUUUUUUAGAAAAAAGUGUAGGAAGCUACAUUACUCAGUCAGUCAGUCUUAAUCUAAACGGGAUCUUAUGCAUCUAAGAACAUGAACACCACUUAGAGUAGAGAUGAGACAUCCAACCGGCAGCCAUAGUUUGCGACGAUCCGGCCAUGAUUGUCAUGGACCAGGCCGGGAUGGGAGCUGCUGUAGGUGUACUCACUGUAGGUGUACAAGCUUGACGAGAUCACGCCUGCCUUCGGGCCUCCACCUCGUCUGUCCAGGGACGGCGAUGGUGGUGUGGCGGUAGCCUUCGGGCGAUUCCAGCACUGCCACGAUCGGGUUGGCGUGUUGGGGGAGUUCUCUGGAGGUUUUGGUGCGUUAGCAGUUAACCCAAAACCUGCCGGCUCCCCCUUUUCUUAUAGCGCAGGGUUGCUCGGGGCUACAACCAUAGUUCGGUUGCGCCUCCAAUCGAGGCACGAGGUGGACAUUCGCGAGGGAAAUGUAGUCGGGCAUCACCUUAUCCCUCCUAUUUUUCCUCUGUGUUGUUUUCCUUUUGACCACCUUCAAAAUAUUUCCAACAUUCUCCCCUUUUGGUCUAAAGGCCUAUAACUUAUGCCAUUCUUAAAGCAGAAUUAUAUAGGGAGACAAUAUGUGACAAUGGUGAUUAAAAUCCCACUGUAACACAGUUGUCCACAAUGUAUAAAACUACUUAUCAUGAUGGGAGAUGGUUGUCUUAUGACCCUCCAAGAUCACAGGCUAUCCGAUAACCCCAUGCCGGCAACAUGUUCACUGAAUAUAAUGGGAGGUAAGCCUUUUGUUAAUGGAUCCGCAAGCAUUUUCUUAGUACUUAUAUGCUCUAACUCAAUGGUGUGAUCUUGGAUUCUAUCUUUCACAACAAGAUACUUAAGUUCAAUGUGCUUUGCAGCAUCACUUGACUUGUUAUUCGAAUAGAAAAUUGCUAACUUAUUAUCGCAGUAUAAUUUCAGUGGCCUGCUUAUGCUAUCUACCACUCUUAAUCCUGGGAUGAAAUUUUUAAGCCAUACAGCUUGGCCCACAGCUUCAUAACAUGCCACAAACUCAGCUUGCAUUGUCGAUGCAGCUGUUAGUGUUUGUUUGGAGCUUUUUCACGAUGUAGCCUCAUUUGCAAGUGUGAAGCCAUAACCUGAUGUGGAUCUUCUUGUGUCAACACAACCCGCAAAAUCAGCAUCUGAAUAGCCGAUUAUCUCUAAUUUCUCAGUUCUCUUAUACGUUAGCAUGUAAUUCUUAGUGUCUUGCAUAUAACGCAAGGCCUUUCUAAUGGCCUAUUCCUGGAUUAGACUGAUAUCUUCCAAGCAUCCCGCUUAUAAAGGCCAAAUCAGGGAGUGUACACACUUGUGCAUACAUUAUGCUUCCGACAGCUGAAGCAUAAGGAAUCGUUCUCAUUUGAUCAACUUCUAAUUGAUUCCUGGGACUUUGAAAUAACCCAAACUUAUCACCCUUGACAAUCGGAGCAGCUGUGCCUGAACAUUGGCUCAUAUUAUAUCUCUCAAGGACCUUCUCUAUGUAGGCUCUUUGAGAGAGUCCUAAUACACCUUUGGACCUGUCUCGAUGAAUUUCAAUGCCUAAGACAUAAGUGGUAUCACCGAGGUCCUUCAUAUCAAAUUUCGAUGAGAGAAAUCCCUUGGUCUCAUGCAGCAAGUUCUUAUCGCUGCUUGCUAACAGGAUGUCAUCCACAUAAAGCACUAGGAUAAUUAUAGAGCUCCCCUUAGUCUUAACAUAUAUGCAGUUGUCCUUCUUAUUUUCAAUGAAGCCAAUUUGCGUAAUUACUUCAUCGAACUUAAGGUACCAUUGCCUGGACGCUUGUUCCAAUCCAUAAAUAGAUUUUCGUAGUUUGCAUCCCAAAUGUUCCCAUCACGAAACCCUCAGGUUGUUUCAUGUAUACAUUCUCAUGCAAGUCACCAUUAAGGAACGCAGUCUUAACGUCCAUCUGAUGCAGCUCAAGAUCAUAAUGAGCUACUAAGUCCAUAACGAUUCUAAAUGAAUCUUUCUUGGAGACAGGCAAGAAGGUUUUGUUAUAAUUGACUCCUUCCACUUGAGUGAAGCUGUGGCGGAUCCACUUCGGAUUAGCUAGAUUAGACAGGGUUAACUCGCCUAACAUGCGACACUCCUGCCUAAACCAGGUUAACACGAAGUGCCGUCGGAUUUCAUCCGAUUUAACCACUUAAACAGGAUCGAGUUCAGCAACUCACACAAAGGUGAGUGGUUCCAGAGAAUACAACGAGUCCACUGAGUUAAACAAGUUUACCCAUUUGGUUCGACCAUAAAAUCCAACAUCAGGGUUUUACACGGUUCAGGAGAAACAACAGAGAAAACACUAGCGGAAGACUUCGUCGGGGUCGGACAUCCCUGGUGAGGCCGACCGGGACAUCACUGGUUCCUUUCCUCGCCGUCCGAGGAAGGAUCCCACUCGACCGUCCAGCCCGGCGGGAGCUGGGGCGGCCAAGCGCCAGCAAGGGAGGGGUCGGAAGCAGCAACCUCACCUGAAAAACAGGAGCCACAACAAGGCUGAGCUACUAAGCUCAACAAGACUUAACCGAUAGGGGUAAAACUACUCCUCCUUCUAGACAUGCAGGGCUUUUUGGCUGAGGGGUUUGUUUGCCAAAAGUACUAAGUAUCCCUAUUUUCAAGUUUUAGCUCCGGUUCUAGGUUCAUUUGUCAGUCUAGGUUGUGCAACCUAUUCUAAGCAUUCAUAGAACCAAACAAGAUGUGUAGAUAUAUCCACCAAACAUGUCAUCAUCAGAUUCCUCAUUUACUCAGGGUGACACAGUGAUCAAGCAAUCUCAAACUGUGAGAGGCAGACGAAUCGAUUCGAGUUCUUUAACCAUGCAUGGUGAACCUAGCCUCACGACAUCCACGCACCCGGAGGUCGCUUCCUGUGUCGGCCUUCCCCAUCAAUCCCCUAACCCGUGUCGGGCCCAUUUCCUUUGGUGCAAGGUUCCACAGACCCGGCCUCUGCCGUUCUGUGACCACGCUUGCCACCACGUGCGACAACCAGCAGGGGAAACUCCGUUCCAAGAACAAUGGGGCGACCGCUCACGUCUAGGUUCAAUCCGGUACUAGGCUUCCUCAUCCCAUACUAAGUAUGAGGCUAGUACUUUCAAACACUUGAUCACGAACACCACCACUGUCGGGCCUUAGUAAGUUUUCAUAGACAGACGGGGCGAUCAUCCAUCCACCAAAGAGUUACCCAAAACCCUGCCCCGUCCAUCGUCCUUAUAGUUGUAACAGAAAGAUAGACAUCCAACUACUACAACUCGCGAGUGACAGGAGAUCACUCGACUUUUACCGUCUCCUAGUUAAGCAAGGCGACUACACGGUCCAACAGCUAGUGCUCAGAUCAUGGGGACAACUAAGUCAUGCAUCUAGGGUUUCACACAACUCCUAUACGUAAAUGCACAAGCAUGUUACAGAAGGCAUGCGCAAGUCUGGUAAAACACUCAAGGUUUUCAUGCAACCGGGGCUUGCCUUCAAGCAAGGAGGACGGGAACUGCUCGACUUCGGAGGCGACUUCGGCUUCGGAGGACAGGAGCUCGGCUACAGCUUCUUCUUCUGGCGCCGGGUGUAGCUCGUAGAAGCCGUCGGCGAGGUGCAGCUCUACACGAAUGCAAUGCAAGGGUUAGCAUAGACGGUUAUUUCAACAGCAACACUGACUCGCCUGAGCCCAGAAACUCGCGACAAAGAGCAGGAGGGUAUGGAGGUUCAAGAGAGCUGGUGAAGAUCAAGAGGUAAGGGUAGGAAAGGAACUUAUGAUCUGAUCCUUGAACUAGAGGAUGUGAUAUACUAGGAAGCCUCAGACGCAAGCGCUGAAGGGUUCCUACAUUUUACACAUACCCCCUCCAGUCGAAGAAAAAGAUCACAGCCGAGCCCUCGGGCGAGGCGGAUAAGGGUCGGCGGAACAGACAGGGUCGGGCGAGACGGAACCGGGGUCGGGCGAGGUGGACUGGGGUCGGCAACUCACCUUCUUCCUGAAAGGAAGGCUUAGGGUCGGGAAGAAGCAGACUUGGGCGGAGGGACUAAGGUUUUGAACAGAAGCUAAGACCGGCAAUGCUCCGGCGGCGGCGAUGCUUCUUGCGGAUCACAAGAGAGCUUUUACGCAGCACGGAGGAGCAAGCUACUGGGUGACUUGGAGAAAACUGAGAGAGAAUCCGAGAGAAGAACUCCUCAAGAACUUGGUGUGCGGCUCUAGGAGCUUGAGCAGGGAGCGAGAGAAUGGCUAAGGCGAUAAUGGUAGAGGGAACUCCGGCGACUGGGGCAUUCCUUUUAUAGCCGCUGGAACAGAGGAAAGGAAGCGGCGCGGGAGAGAGAGAAUGGGAGCGGCGCGAAGGCCGGGGAGAGGCAAUGGAGUGCUCUGCCAGGACGGCGAUUGAGCGAAGAGGGCGGUGGUGCAGAACUCCGGGGGUGACGCCAGCGAUCAUUGCGCUCUGUCGUCAGGGCGGCGUAGGAGCGGGUAGACCGGUGGUUGAGAUUUGGCGGAAAGCGGGCGUCGCCGUGCGGAAUAUUUGAUAGAAGCGACCGGUUUAACGGCGCUAGAAUCGAGGGUGCACAGGUGAGAGGACAGGCAGCUGCGGGCGCGGGCGAGAGCGCGGAACAACAGAUUGUCGGGCGGCUUCUGACAGAGCGGGGGAAAGGAGCUGUCGCGGCCGCGGUCGGGGUUGGCGGUGGAGGAAUCGUCGUGUAGCGGAGAUCGGGCGGCGCGACUGUGGUCAAAGGGAUGGAAAAGACGGGCGACAUCGGGCUCUGGGGCCGGGAUCUGGCGGCGUGAUGAUGGGCGCGGGAGGCGAGGCUCUGCAGAAAGGGGUGCAGAGGGGCUUCCGCUGCCAUUGGGGAAGGGGGCGCGAGAACCCACUUGGUCGCUUGCCAGAGACAAAACUAAGCAGCGGGCGUCGGAGAAGACGAGCCACGCGGCAGGGAGACUCUGAAGCGGGCAUGCAACUCGAGUGCGACUGUCGCGGAGGAUCUGGGAAAAGAUCUUGCGGGUCCACCGGUGGAUAGAACGGACGUUUGAGGAUGCUUAGCAGGAUCCGACGGUGGGCUGAGAUCGCCGGGGUCGGGAGAGGAGCGAAACGGGAAGGGGUCGGGUCUUCCGGGGUCGGAACCAGGCGGAAAGCUGACCACUCGGCGUGGGAAAAAGCAAGGUAGAUGACUAGGAUCAAGGGCUCUGAUCAAGACUAACUGGGAAGGUUUAGGGGUCGGUCGUUACAGCCUACCCCUCUUAAAAAGAAUCUCGUCCCGAGAUUCAGGCAUCAAAAGCAGGAUGACGUUUUUACCUCCUUGACGAGAUAGAAAACCUGGGAAGCGCUUGUUCAGAUAUUCGUCUGUUUCCCAUGUUGCUUCAUCUUCGGUGUGGUUUCUCCAGAGGAUCUUGUACAUCUUUACCACUUGGCGUUGGGUGUGCCUUUCCUUCUGGUCAAGAACUCGAUCUGGGUACUCAGCGUAGGUCAGGUCGGGCUCUACCUGAAGUUGUUCUUGCUCUAUGAUCUCUGCUGGAACUCGAACACAUUUCUUCAGUUGAGACACAUGGAAAACAUCGUGUAUGGCCGAUAGCUGUUCUGGGAGUUGGAUCCGGUAAACAACGGGUCCACAUAUCUCCACAAUCUCAUAAGGGCCAAUAUAGCGGGGAGCUAACUUGCCUUUUACUCCAAACCGUUGCACUCCUUUAGUCGGGGAGACUCGAAGGUACACAUGAUCACCAAGGUCGAACUGCAGGGGUCUCCUUCGCCGGUCAAAGUAACUCUUCUGUCGAGAUUGGGCAGCCUUGAGAUUAGCUUGAAUUAACUUUACUUGUUCUUCGGCUUCUGCCACUAAGUCAGGGCCAUAGACCUGUCUUUCUCCUGGUUGGGACCAGUUCAAGGGUGUCCUGCAUCUCCGGCCAUACAGGGCUUCGAACGGUGCCAUCUUCAAACUGGCCUGGUGACUGUUAUUGUAGGAGAAUUCUGCUAAGGGCAGACACUUGUCCCAAUUCUUGUCAUAGUGGAUAACACAAGCUCUUAACAUGUCUUCGAGGAUCUGAUUGACUAUCUCGGUUUGACCAUCGGUUUGAGGAUGAUAGGUUAAGCUUCGGAUGAGCUUAGUGCUCAUGGAUGCUUGUAGUUGCUCCUAAAAACGUGCCACAAACUGAACUCCUCGAUCAGAGAUGAUGGUCUUGGGUACACCAUGUAGGGAAAUUAUGCGAUCGAGGUACAACUCUGCAUACUGCUUGACGGUGUAGGUGGUGCGAACAGGAAGGAAGUGGGCGGUCUUGGUCAGACGGUCCACUAUAACCCAGAUGGAAUCAUAGCGUUGCGAUGUAAGGGGCAAUCCAACUAUGAAAUCCAUGCUGAUGUCUUCCCAUUUCCAAGAGGGAAUAGGUAGCGGUUGCAGGGUUCCUACUACCUUUAAAUGACUGGCCUUGACGCGUUGGCAGGUGUCACAUUCUGAAACAUACCGGGCAAUUUUCGGCUUCAUUCCACUCCACCAAAAGGUUUGACGGAGGUCAUGGUACAUCUUAUUGCUGCCAGGAUGGAUCGAGAACUUGGAGAGAUGAGCUUCAUCUAGGAUUUGCUUUCUCAGCUCGGGGUCGGCGGGUACAACUAGCCGGUUUCCAUAAUGCACACCUCCCGUUUUGUCCUGCCGGAAUUGCUUAUAUCCCUCAUCCUUUACUGAGAUCUUACUGAUGAUCCAUUGUACUUCCGUAUCUCUUACUUGUGCUGACCGGAUUUGGUCUUCCAAAACUGAGUUAAGGAUGAUGUGACCAAGGAUUCCAUGAGGAAUAAUCUCCAAACCGAGUUUUCCCAUCUCGUGACACAGAGUCUUGGUGAAGGCUGCUGACAACAAGCAGUUGCAAUGGUGUUUGCAACUGAGGGCAUCGGCUACCACAUUGGCUUUGCCGGGAUGAUAGUGCACUUCCAAUUCAUAAUCCUUUAUCAACUCCAGCCAUCUUCUCUGGCGCAUGUUGAGGUCGGCUUGAGUGAAGAUGUACUUGAGGCUCUUGUGGUCGGUGUAGAUGUUGCAGCGAGCUCCCAUUAGAUAGUGCCUCCAUAUCUUCAAAGCAUGUAUCACUGCUGCCAACUCAAGGUCAUGGGUUGGGUAGCUUAGCUCAUGAGGUCGUAACGCCCGUGAGGCAUAGGCAAUGACUCGAUUGUCUUGCAUAAGAACACAUCCGAGUCCAGUGCCAGAGGCGUCACAGUAUACGUCAUACGGCCUAGAGGGGUCGGGCUGAGCCAAAACUGGGGCUGUGGUCAGCAAGUGCUUCAGGGUCUUGAAGGUCUCUUCACACUUGUUGUCCCACACAAAUUUGGCCUCCUUCUUCAACAACGCAGUCAUCGGCUUAGCUAUCUUAGAGAAAUUCGGUAUGAAACGCCGAUAGUAGCCAGCCAGUCAAGAAAACUUCUGAUCUGGUGCACUGAGGCAGGAGGCUUCCAUUCCAUGACUUCGUGCACCUUACUGGGGUCAACGGUGAUACCUUCCUUGGAGAUAGUGUGUCCCAAGAACUUGACACUAUCCAGCCAGAACUCACACUUGGAGAACUUGGCGUAGAGUUGGUGAUCUCUUAGCCGUUGGAGAACUAUAUGAAGAUGGUCGGCAUGCUCUUCUUCGCUCUUUGAGUACACGAGGAUAUCAUCGAUAAACACCACCACAAACUUGUCCAGCUCGGGCAUGAACACCGAGUUCAUGAGGUACAUGAAAUAGGCGGGUGCAUUGGUGAGUCCAAAGGACAUGACUAGGUACUCGUACAGUCCAUAUCUGGUAGAGAAAGCUGUCUUGGGUAUGUCGCAGGGUCGAAUCUUUAUUUGGUGAUAACCAGAACGAAGAUCGAUCUUGGAGAACACUUUUGCUCCAGCUAGCUGAUCGAACAAGACAUCAAUGCGUGGCAGUGGGUACUUGUUCUUGACUGUCACGGCAUUGAGGGGUCGGUAAUCCACACACAUACGUAGACUGCCAUCCUUCUUCUUCACAAAUAGGGCAGGGCAACCCCAAGAUGAUGUACUGGGUCGGAUGAAGCCUUUUUCCAACAGAUCAUGCAACUGGGUCUUCAGCUCGGCUAACUCAGCGGGUGGCAUCCGAUAGGGUCUCUUAGAUAUAGGGGUUGUGCCAGGGAUUAACUCUAUGGAAAACUCCACUUCUCUAUCAGGUGGCAUACCUGGCAGGUCCUCCGGAAACACAUCAGGGUACUCACAGAUAACAGGGAGGUCUUCUGGACGGGCUCCCGAUAGAGGGUAGGCACAAGGAAACGCAGACUCAGGAUGGGUCAAGGAUAGGGUAGAAUUGCCAUGGGAGGGUGAGCUGAUGCAGAGAGAUUGGGCUACUGCAUCUAGAACCACAUGAUGUCGGGCCAUCCAAUCCAUACCAAGGAUGACAUCUAUGCCUUCUAGGUCAAGGAUGAUAAGGUUUUCCUUGAAGAGGGUGGGGCCUAGCUGGAGAGGUACAAGAAUAACAACCUGAUCCGAUGUUAUCCUUCCUCCAGGAGUGGCGAUCACAUAAGGUUCCUUAGUGUGACCGACACUUAGCCCACAUCUUUCCCUAGACUUACUCCCAAUAAAGCUAUGAGAGGCUCCCGAAUCAAACAACACAACAACAGCUUGAUUUAAAACAAGGAAAGUACCCAUCAUUACUGGCGCACCUUCGGGGAGCUCGGUCAAGCUGGUGUAGUUGAGUCGGCCUUGUCGGACUUGUACCUUGGGCCUUCUUCCUCUGGCUGCCAUGGUGUUCUGACCUUGCUGUUGAUUCUUGUUCCUGGGGCAGUCCUUUGCAAAAUGCCCUUCAUUGCCGCAGGUAAAACAACGGUUACUGGCUGUAGGGUGGGGUGGUGUUGGCAGGGUCGGCCGGGGCACUUGCGGUUGGAAGCCUAGAAAACGAGGCGCUGUCACUGGCGGGGGUCGGGCAAUCCAUGUCCCUGACUGCUGGGGUCGGCCAGGGGCUUGUGGAGGAACCAUCCGGAACCUUCGAGUCGGCUGACUCGGGAAUGCCACAGAGGCCUUCCUCUUCUGGUCGGCCUUGAGAGCUUGCAUGCAGUCCUCCUGAGAAAUGGCCAGAUUGACCAACUCAUUGUAGGUGUCCACCUUGAUGGGGUUCAACCUUUCCCUGAGCUCCAAGCUCAGUCCUCGGCGGAAUCUGUCCCGCUUCUUCUCGUCUGUGUCCGCAUGAUAGCCAGCAUAACGGCACAGGUCAUUGAAAGCUUGAGCGUAAUGCAGCACAUCUCGGGUUCCUUGAGUGAGGGCCAGAAACUCGUUGAGCUUGCGCUCCAGGAGACCUUCUGGAAUGUAAUGCGCCUUGAACGCCGUCUUGAACUCAUUCCAACUGACCACGUGGCCAACCGGCAGCAUGGCAUGGUAGUGAUCCCACCAAAGCCGUGCGGAGCCACGCAGCUGCUGGGCUGCAAACCGAGCCUUGUUGUUGUCGGGGCAUGGAGCGGUGAGAAGCUCAAACUUGAAUUCGAUCGUACGAACCCAAGCGUCAGCAUCGAGCGGUUCUUGUGUCUUUUGGAACAGAGGGGGCUGUGUCCCCAGAAAGUCCUCAUACCGAGCGAUAUGCGGCGGCUGCUGGGCUCUCCCACCAUGUGGCUGCUGCUGUUGCCCUUACACCAGGUGCCUUAGCAGCUCAGUUUGAGGUGCUAGGAUUGCCUCCAAUGGCGAUGGGGGCGGGGGCGGGGGAAGAUCCUGUCGCUGAUCGCUACCGCUGGGCACAGAACCAGACCUAGUGCGAUGCGCCAUCUGCAAGAGUUAACGCUCCAUUAAACUCAUAACCUUAGAGGGACUCCAACAAAUGGAACGUAUAAAUUAAAUCCUUCAAUGCGACUCUUGCCAUUGGUGCAACACACGUCCUCAUAGAGAAAACACACUUUUCUCGUUCUCAGAGUAGAUAACAUCUAUCUUGACCUGGCACUCAAUCUUCAGGCAAAACAGGUCAUAUACAGACUCCUAUGAUCCAACUCAAGCCAAGGGGUCGGCUAGGCGAUCCUUCCGAGAGAACAAGGGGUCGGCAACGAUCCCUACUUAAAAGGUCGGACGGGGCAGAAACUGCAUCAAGGGUCGGCGCACUCUGUCUCGCAAACUGGGGUCAGCCAACUAAACAGGCUCCCCGAAAAACAGCAUAUGGUCAUGGCGCAACUUACUUAACCUAGCAUCCACACCAUACAAAGAUGAAAAAGCUAGGCACCAGAAUUAACUUUAUAUACCAUGAUGUUCCAACACAGGGAGUACUCAACUCUAGGCUAACCUAUUACAACUUUUUCCAAAAAUCUAGGCUGCUGAGGAGUACAACAAAAAGAUGGUUCCCUGAGAACCCUUAAUCUACCAAUGGACACUAUGAGUCGGAGAAGGGGUGCCAUCUUCCUCUAUAUCCAUGCUGGACGCUCCCUCAUCUUCCUCAGGGUCCUCCUGAGCUUCGAGCUGCAUGUUGAGGGCAUGCAUAUCUUCGAGCUCAGCUUGAUGCUCCUCCAAAUGGGCAUUGGCAACUGCCAACUCCAUUUCCACCUCCAUCUUCUCCUCCGAGAGCUCUAUCAUGCCGUCCACGAGGUCGGCGACUUCUUCCUCAAGCUCGGAGAUCCGGUCUUGCAUAUCGUGGAUCUGGAUACCCCGUUGAAUCAGCUGGUAGGUUUAGCCUACCAUAUCUCUUCUUGUUGCCUGGAGGUACUCGUGAGUAUCUGCUGCCGUCCGGGCGAAGAGGGUCAUGGCUCUCCCCUGAAGCUCUAUCAACUGGUAGAGAGCGGCCAUGCACCUAAUGUUGGUGGAGAUGGUGACCAUGGCGCAGGUGGUGGCUAGCACUUCGAUGUUCCCGACGCGGUCAAGCCAUGCCAGGUCCAGCCGGUUUCUGAUGGGGAAGAGGCCGAUCGGGUCAAGCGUGAUCUUCACGGGAUGCAGCUGACAGAACUGGGUGAGCAACUGGAGGGCGGCGAACUCCCAUGUAUCUUCAGGACCAAGGCCAUAGGCUAUGAUGCCAAAAGAGGGCCAGUCGGGCCGUACAGGGGGAGGAGGUACCACCGCCUGCACUUGGCACGUCUGAAUACCCUGUUCCUGAUAUAGCCGUCCGGCAUACAAGGGUGGGGACUGGUACCCAAACCACUUCAACGUAUCCCACAAAAUCGCAGGGAAUCCCUCGAAAUGCAGGCACGUCGAUUGGAAUGUACCGUCCGCUCCAAAAAGAACGUGCCCGGGAAUAGCCAUCUGGAACCAAGAAACCGAAACCACGUGAGAUAGACUCUAAGGAUCAGGGGUCGGAUAGAGAAGCAUACUGUUUUGAUCGAGAGCAACUAAAAGAAACAAGAAAUCCUUAGAUCCAAGAGAACUCUUCCGAACAAGGUUGCUGUUGAGAAAGGAAACCGUACAACUUUUAGAGAUGACGCAUGCACGGCCUACCUUACUCUUAACCAAAAACAACUGCCCAAAAACUGUGGGUCUUACGCGGUCAGUGCCGGUGACAAGGCAACAAAUACGUCUCUCCCUAUAAUAACUAGUCGGUUCUACAACGUAUCUUAAACGAACGCGGUUAGCGUACCUGCAGAAAAACACCACACACGAACCUUUCGUGCCAGCACCCACGAAAGCGUUCCCAAACAUUACCGCUCACUAUAGGAACGGCACCCAUGCGUUUAAGGCUACAUGGACAGCACUCAACCGUGGAAAUAGGUUCCUUUUGAAUGGAACCAUAUAACCCUUCGCAUACUCGUGAUGCGGAAUCGGCACACGUAUGACAAACGUGGCGAAACAAUCAUGCUGAUAGGUUCGUUGGAAUCGAACCGUACCAACCUUCGUAUGGACCACAUACGGAACCUGCGCACGUGUGAUAGACAUGGGCGAAAACAACCGCGAAGAUAGGGUCCUUUGAAUGGAACUCCCUAUCAACCCUCGCAUGCUCGCGAUGCGGAACUCGGCACACGUAUGACAGACGUGGUGAUGUGCUGGAGGAGUUAGCAAGAUAACCAAGUAAUUAUUAGUCACCUAAAACAACCCCAAAAUCCCCUAGGGCCUCUCGUACUAAAGCCAUCCUUAACGAUCGUACGAGAUUUUUCAAAAGUUUCUUGCAACUUUUAGCUUUUCAAAGAAGUGUUUAGGGCUUGUUGGGUUCUCUGAAAUGCUAAACACGGCUCUGAUACCAGCUGUGGUGGAUCCACUUCGGAUUAGCUAGAUUAGACAGGGUUAAGUCGCCUAACAUGCGACACUCCUACCUAAACCAGGUUAACACGAAGUGCCGUCGGAUUUCAUCCAAUUUAACCACUUAAACAGGAUCGAGUUCAGCAACUCACACGAAGAUGAGUGGUUCCAGAGAAUACAACGAGUCCACUGAGUUAAACAAGUUUACCCAUUUGGUUCGACCAUAAAAUCCAACAUCAGGGUUUUACACGGUUCAGGAGAAACAACAGAGAAAACACUAGCGGAAGACUUCGUCGGGGUCGGACAUCCCUGGUGAGGCCGACCGGGACAUCACUGGUUCCUUUCCUCGCCGUCCGAGGAGGAUCCCACUCGACCAUCCAGCCCGGUGGGAGCUGGGGCGGCCAAGCGCCAGCAAGGGAGGGGUCGGAAGCAGCAACCUCACCUGAAAAACAGGAGCCACAACAAGGCUGAGCUACUAAGCUCAACAAGACUUAACCGAUAGGGGUAAAACUACUCCUCCUUCUAGACAUGCAGGGCUUUUUGGCUGAGGGGUUUGUUUGCCAAAAGCACUAAGUAUCCCUAUUUUCAAGUUUUAGCUCCAGUUCUAGGUUCAUUUGUCAGUCUAGGUUGUGCAACCUAUUCUAAGCAUUCAGAGAACCAAACAAGAUGUGUAGAUAUAUCCACCAAACAUGUCAUCAUCAGAUUCCUCAUUUACUCAGGGUGACACAGCGAUCAAGCAAUCGCAAACUGUGAGAGGCAGACGAAUCGAUUCGAGUUCUUUAACCAUCCAUGGUGAACCUAGCCUCACGACAUCCGCGCACCCGGAGGUCGCUUCCUGUGUCGGCCUUCCCCAUCAAUCCCCUAACCCGUGUCGGGCCCAUUUCCUUUGGUGCAAGGUUCCACGGACCCGGCCUCUGCCGUUCUGUGACCACGCUUGCCACCACGUGCGACAACCAGCAGGGGAAACUCCGUUCCAAGAACAAUGGGGCGACCGCUCACGUCUAGGUUCAAUCCGGUACUAGGCUUCCUCAUCCCAUACUAAGUAUGAGGCUAGUACUUUCAAACACUUGAUCACGAACACCACCACUGUCGGGCCUUAGCAAGUUUUCAUAGAUAGACGGAGCGAUCAUCCAUCCACCAAAGAGUUACCCAAAACCCUGCCCCGUCCAUCGUCCUUAUAGUUGUAACAGAAAGAUAGACAUCCAACUACUACAACUCGCGAGUGACAGGAGAUCACUCGACUUUUACCGUCUCCUAGUUAAGCAAGGCGACUACACGGUCCAACAGCUAGUGCUCAGAUCAUGGGGACAACUAAGUCAUGCAUCUAGGGUUUCACACAACUCCUAUACGUAAAUGCACAAGCAUGUUACAGAAGGCAUGCGCAAGUCUGGUAAAACACUCAAGGUUUUCAUGCAACCGGGGCUUGCCUUCAAGCAAGGAGGACAGGAACUGCUCGACUUCGGAGGCGACUUCGGCUUCGGAGGACAGGAGCUCGGCUACAGCUUCUUCUUCUGGCGCCGGGUGUAGCUCGUAGAAGCCGUCGGCGAGGUGCAGCUCUACACGAAUGCAAUGCAAGGGUUAGCAUAGACGGUUAUUUCAACAGCAACACUGACUCGCCUGAGCCCAGAAACUCGCGACAAAGAGCAGGAGGGUAUGGAGGUUCAAGAGAGCUGGUGAAGAUCAAGAGGUAAGGGUAGGAAAGGAACUUAUGAUCUGAUCCUUGAACUAGAGGAUGUGAUAUACUAGGAAGCCUCAGACGCAAGCGCUGAAGGGUUCUUACAUUUUACACAUACCCCCUCCGGUCGAAGAAAAAGAUCACAGCCGAGCCCUCGGGCGAGGCGGAUAAGGGUCGGCGGAAAAGACAGGGUCGGGCGAGACGGAACCGGGGUCGGGCGAGGUGGACUGGGGUCGGCAACUCACCUUCUUCCUGAAAGGAAGGCUUAGGGUCGGGAAGAAGCAGACUUGGGCGGAGGGACUAAGGUUUUGAACAAAAGCUAAGACCGGCAAUGCUCCGGCGGCGGCGAUGCUUCUUGCGGAUCACAAGAGAGCUUUUACGCAGCAUGGAGGAGCAAGCUGCUGGUGACUUGGAGAAAACUGAGAGAGAAUCCGAGAGAAGAACUCCUCAAGAACUUGGUGUGCGGCUCUAGGAGCUUGAGCAGGGAGCGAGAGAAUGGCUAAGGCGACAAUGGCGGAGGGAACUCCGGCGACUGGGGCAUUCCUUUUAUAGCCGCUGGAACAGAGGAAAGGAAGCGGCGUGGGAGAGAGAGAAGGGGAGCGGCGCGAAGGCCGGGGAGAGGCAAUGGAGUGCUCUGCCGGGGCGGCGAUUGAGUGAAGAGGGCGGUGGUGCAGAACUCCGGGGGUGACGCCAGCGAUCAUUGCGCUCUGUCGUCAGGGCGGCGUAGGAGCGGGUAGACCGAUGGUUGAGAUUUGGCGGAAAGCGGGCGUCGCCGUGCGGAAUAUUUGAUAGAAGCGUCCGGUUUAACGGCGCUAGAAUCGAGGACGCACAGGUGAGAGGACAGGCAGCUGCGGGCGCGGGCGAGAGCGCGGAACAACAGAUUGUCGGGCGACUUCUGACAGAGCGGGGGAAAGGAGCUGUCGCGGCCGCGGUCGGGGUUGGCGGUGGAGGAAUCGUCGUGUAGCGGAGAUCGGGCGGCGCGACUGUGGUGGAAGGGACGGAAAAGAUGGGCGACAUCGGGCUCUGGGGCCGGGAUCUGGCGGUGUGAUGAUGGGCGCGGGAGGCGAGGCUCUGCAGAAAGGGGUGCAGAGGGGCUUCCGCUGCCAUUGGGGAAGGGGGCGCGAGAACCCACUUGAUCGCUUGCCAGAGACAAAACUAAGCAGCGGGCGUCGGAGAAGACGAGCCACGCGGCAGGGAGACUCUGAAGCGGGCAUGCAACUCGAGUGCGACUGUCGGGGAGGAUCUGGGAAAAGAUCUUGCGGGUCCACCGGUGGAUAGAACGGACGUUUGAGGAUGCUUAGCAGGAUCCGACGGUGGGCUGAGAUCGCCGGGGUCGGGAGAGGAGCGAAACGGGAAGGGGUCGGGUCUUCCGGGGUCGGAACCAGGCGGAAAGCUGAGCACUCGGCGCGGGAAAAAGCAAGGUAGAUGACUAGGAUCAAGGGCUCUGAUCAAGACUAACUGGGAAGGUUUAGGGGUCGGUCGUUACAGAAGCCCUUAGCUACGAGUCUUGCUUUAAACCCUUCGAUCUUCCCUUUAGAGUCAUAUUUCAUCUUGUAGACCCAUUUGCAGCCUACUGUUUUGGCUCCUUGAGGAAUCUCUACUAAGUCCCAUACUCUAUUUGUUUCCAUGGAUUUUAACUCUUCUUCCAUGGCCUCGCACCACUUAUGCGAGUGCUCACUUUCUAUGGCCUUCUUAAAUGAGUUUGGGUCAUCCACCCUUCCCAUGUCGUGUACUUCUUCACUUGUGUACACAUACUCAUCGGAAAGGUUGGACUUCCUCUCACGUGUUGACCUUCUCAGAGGUUGUGGUGCUACUGCUUGUGGUGCUUCUUCUUGAGAAGAUUCCUGCUGAACUACCUCGGGCUCAUCAGUUGCCUCCCCUUGCAAUCCACCAGCAGGUUCUGCCACAUCUUCACUUUGAUGCUCACUUAUCACAGGUGCAUCUACAUUUUCGCUUAAGGUAGGUGUUACCUCCCCAUGCAUUACUGGAGGUUCCACAACCUGAGAUGUAACUGUGGUAUGUGGCAUAGGAGCAUAAUAAUCCUGUCUUAUGGGUAACGGCUCAUAAGUCCGAAUCUCCUCAAGAUCAAUUUUUCUAGCCUCAAUGCAUCCAGUUUCCUCUAAGAAGACAGCAUGCCUCAUCUCCACAAACUUAGUGGUACGCUUAGGACAAUAAAAGCGGUACCCCUUUGACUUUUCCAGAUAUCCAAUAAAGUAGCAACUUUCAGUCUUAGAGUCUAAUUUUCCAAGUUGUGGAUUGAAUAUCUUAGCUUCAGCUGCACAACCCCAGACAUGUAAGUAAUUCAUGUUGGGCUUCCUACCAGUCCAAAGCUCAUAGGGAGUCUUAGGGACUGACUUACUAGGAACAUGAUUAUUAAUGUGUGCGGCAGUCUUUAAAGCUUCCAUCCACAAACUCACUGGCAGCGUAGAGUUACUGAGCAUACUACGCACCAUGUUCAUAAGGGUACGAUUUCUUCUCUCAGCAACACCAUUUUGCUAAGGCUCACCAGGAGUGGAAUAUUGAGAUGCUAUACCAUUAUCUUGGAGAAAUCUGGCAAAGGGUCCCAGAACUUGUCCAUAUGUGGAGUGUUUUCCAUAAUACUCCCCUCCCCUAUCUAAUCUUACCACUUUGAUCUUUAAGUCAUGGUGAUUUUCUACUUCAGCUUUAAAGAUUUUAAACUUAUCAAGUGCUUCAGACUUUUCGCGUAUGGGGUAAAUGUAUCCAUAGCGGGAGAAAUCAUCAGUGAAGGCAAUGAAGUAAUUAUAACCAUCCACUGAUCUUACAUUAAAUGGACCGCAUAUAUCAGUAUGAAUUAUUUCUAAUAAUCCUGAACUGCGCUUAGCUCCAUCCUUCUUAAUCUGCUUUGCAAAUUUUCCCUUAAUGCAAUCAACACAUUGAUCUAAGUCAGAGAAAUCUAAUUUUGGAAGUAUCUCUUCUCUAAUGAGACGCUCCAUCCUCCCCUUCGAAAUGUGGCCUAAGCGGAAGUGCCACAAUUUCGAUGAAGUCUCAGUGGUUCUCUUAUGCUUAUGGUUGACAUCGCUUACAUUCAUCACAGAGAUAUUAACACUUAGAGGUAAUAAGUAAAGCUUGUCAUGCAAAGGGGCAUGACCAAUAAUCUGAUUAUUAAAACUUAUUACACACUGAUUGUUUCCAAAAUUGCAAGAAUAUCCAUCACAAUCUAAUGCUGAAACUGAAAUCAAGUUCCUCUUAAGUGACGGUACAUAAAGGACAUUACUUAAAUGAAGCAUAAAGUUAUUGCUAAGUUCUAUAGAGAGAUCUCCAAUAGCCUCAACUUCAGCUUCAAGCCCAUUUGCAACUUUAACGGUGCGAGUCUCCCUUCUUAUAGUCCGCGCGCCAUGUAAUUCCUGUGAGGAAUUAGUAACAUGAAUGGUAGCCCCAGAGUCAAUCCACCAUGAACUUAAUGGAAAAUUUACAUAAAAAGAUUCAUCGAUUAUAGAAAUCAAGUCAUCAUUACCAUUCUUGAUGCAUCAUUCCUUGAACUGAGCACAAUGCUUCUUAAUAUGUCCAUAAUCCUUGCAGUGAUGGCAUCUAGGACCCUUAGACGAGGAUGACCCAUCAUUCUUAGGAGGAGGAGGUUGAUUAGGUUUCUUAUUUUUCUUAAUUUUCUUAAAAGGGGAGAUUUGCUUAUUCUUGCCUUUAUUCACCUCAUGCCUGAUGAGGUUGGCAAAAUCGUCCUUCUCUUAUCUGAGCCUUUCUUCCUCCUAAGAACACUUCGCGAUGAGUGUGGGAAUAUCCCACUUCGCGUCACUACCAUUAUAGUUUAUCUUAAAGGGUUCAAACACUGAAGGCAACGAGAGCAUGAUGUGAUGAAGCAGUGUCUCAUCAUUAAGGGAGCAAUUCAAGUCGUUGAGCUUAUCCCUUAGGUCAACGAGACUCAUGAUAUUCUCCCUAACACUGCCUUGUCCAUCAUACUUGGUGUUCAUUAGCUUUGUCAGGAGGGUGCUAGCAUUAGCCUUACUGGAGCCUUUGAAGUACUCCUCAACCUUCUCCAUGAAAUGUUUGGCACUUUUGGGAUGUUUCUCAAUGGCUUCCCUUAUUGCCGGGUUUAUCGUCUGCUUCAUGAUCAUUAGGGCUACCCUGUCUGAUCGCUCCCACCGCUCCUUUUCCUUCUCAUAGGUAGCAGUGCGCUCAGGGAGGGUGGUGUCAUUAUCCCCUUGAGCAGUAGGAGCAACAGGAUACUUAUCCCUCAUGGAGUGGUCCCUGUCCAUGAUGCAAAGGACCAACCCAAUAUCAUUCUUCCAGUUGGUAAAGUUAUCUCCCCCAAGCUUCUGUAUGCCGUUAACAUAGCUUAUGACGCUUGAUAGAGUCAAGUCUGAGGGAAAUAAAAGAAUCUUAAUUAGUGAUGAUGACAAUAGUAAAUAACAAAUUCAAUUUGCGUUGGCUCGAUUAAAGACGUAAGCAACUUUGCAUCACUGUUGGGCAGAAGCAAAGACAUAAUUAAAAUGACAUGAAAUAAUUUUGCAUCACUGUUGGGCAGAAGCAAAAAUAUUGAAGAUAAUAAAAACACUUAGGCAUGUCAAAUUAAUAUCAACAUUGGUUAGAAAUUAAUUGCGUGCCUCAUAAAAUAGUUCUGAAAUAAAUGCCGCGUUGGUUCAAUUUAAUCAGAACUUCAUCACUUAGCGCAUUGGCCUGCCAGCGGCGCGGCCAACGGUCCGUGCGAGCAGCCUGAGUGCGCACGGCAGCCUGCGAGCGGAGCAAAAUGGCCCAGCGCGCGGCGGCGAAACAACGACCCUGCUGAAGGCCCCUGAAUCGGCACGCGCAAGCAGCGCACGAGAAAACAGCCCAGCUCGGACUAAACUUACGGCCCGGUCCGCACGCGGCUAACGUAUGCAGCGGCCCGCAUAAAAACUCAGCAACGAAAACGGCCCAACUUACGGCCUAAGGGGGUGUUUGGAUACGAGGUACUAAACUUUAGGAGUGUCACAUCGGAUGUUCGGACGUUAAUUAGGAGGAUCAAACAUGAGCUAAUUAUAAAACUAAUUGCAGAACCUCUAUACUAAUUAGCGAGAUGAAUCCAUUAAGCCUAAUUAAUCCAUGAUUAGCAACUGGUUACUGUAGCACCACAUUGUCAAAUCAUGGACUAAUUAGACUUAAUAGAUUCAUCUCGCGAAUUAGACUCCAUCUAUGCAAUUAGUUUAAUAAUUAGAUUAUAUUUAAUAUUUCUAAUUAGUAUCUAAACAUCCGAUGUGACGUGUCCUAAAGUUUAGGAGGUGUUUCCCAAACACCCCCUAAACUAGGUUCCCGCGCUGGCCUGGGUUCUAAGCCCAGCAGCCAAUGGUUGGGCUACCAUUUCAGCCCAGCUACCUCCCCGCGGCGAUCUUCACCGUUCCUGAGAUCCAACGGUGGCGCGCACGUCUCGGUCGAUCAAAACGCGCGCCGGCCGGCUCCAGGGAAACCCUAGGCCAUUCGCCUUCUCCCGUAGCCGCAGCCGUUCUUCUCCCGCAACACCUGCCUUCCUCCCCUCUUCUCCGUCUCCGCAUCUCCCCGAUCCCGAGCGCCCGCCGCCGGUGAGCCACGCCGCCACCUUGCCUCAGCGCCUCCGCGGGCCCUCCCGCCGGCAUGGGCGUGCGACCAAGUCGCGCGGCAUGCCGUCGGGGGCUCCGCUGGAGCGUUUUCUCCAAGGCAGCGGGUGCCUGAGCACACGGCGCGGCCGGCCGACGACCGGCGACGGCGAGCCUGAGCUGAAGCUCGCCGAGGUGUUUUCGGCUUCGGUUGCGGCGGAUCUGACGCCGCAGUUCGGUCACGGUGAGUAGACCAAGACGCACCCGUGCCCACGCCACGACCAAGUCAUGUGCGCGCUGAUGGCCGGUGCGGUUCGGCGGAGAGGCACGUCGGCGUCCAUGCGGACCGGCCAUGAUGCCACGCGCGGCCGUCGUGCUCUGAGGUAAGUGCUUAUCCUCGGGUUAGGGGGUUUAGGGUUAGGGUUCUGAUGGGGAUUUCGGCCUUUCUUAACUUGUGAUCUCAUCGAUUCGAUCUCCCCUCCUUCUAAAUGCUGAUGCGCGUCUUAAUUUUGACACUGUGAGUUCUAAUCGCGCGGGGUAAAGCUUAACAGUGAGAUUUUGGGGACGAAUCUAUAGACGAGUCAACCCUAAUCGCUUAAUUAGGACUCCAUUAGGAUCUGAUCUGCUAACUUGUGCAUGAAGUCGAACUUAAAUAACUUGAUUAACCUUGAUUCUAGGCAUGAUGUGUACCUAUAUUGACCUUAGGUGACUUAACAGAUCAAUAUUUAGACUAAAACUUGACCUGACAUGCACUAGAAAAAAGGGAUCUACUCGACUAGAGACACAUGCAAUCCUUACUCAGGGACUUAAAGGGCUUGGAUUCACAUCAAAAACUAGUCGGCGAGGCUAAUUGUGACUUAAACAUGAGCUUUAAAUUUAAACAUGAGCACAAUUAGGCACAAAAUCUCACUGACUAGUUCAAGAAAGGUACUGUGUAGAUCAAGAACAUGACUGACAGUACAACAACAACUCAAUUGCACACUAAGAUCCAAUCUGCACAGCCUUAGGGUUCAAUUCUAGAUGCGUAGGCUAACUAAUACCAAAUGUAGGGAACUACAUUACUCAGUCUUAAUCUAAACAGGAUCUUAUGCAUCUAAGAACAUGAACACCACUUAGAGUAGAGAUGAGACAUCCAACCGGCAGCCAUAGUUUGCGACGAUCCGGCCAUGAUUGUCGUGGACGAGGCCGGGAUGGGAUCUGCCGUAGGUGUGCUCGCCGUAGGUGUACAAGCUUGACGUAGAUCAUGCCUGCCUUCGGGCCUCCACCUCGUCUGUCCAGGGACGGCGAUGGUGGUGUUGCGGUAGCCUUAGGGCGAUUCCAGCGCUGCCACGAUCGGGUUGGCGUGUGGGGGGAGUUCUCUGGAGGUUUUGGUGCGUUAGCAGUCAACCCAAAACCCGCCGCCGGCUCCCCCUUUUCUUAUAGCGCAGGGUCGCUCGGGGCCACAACCAUAGUUCGGUUGCGCCUCCGAUCGAGGCGCGAGGUGGACCUUCACGAGGGAAACGUAGUCGGCGUCACCUUAUCCCACCUGUUUUUCCUCUCUGUUAGUUUUCCUUUUGACCACCUUCAAAAUAUUUCCAACAAAAAGGUCUUGAUUAUUGGAAGAACCCUACGCUACAAGAUUUAAGAAGCUGGAUAGAACUAUGGGUGAUCUGGAGAUGUUUGAGUGGUAUCUUAUUCCCACUUUAGACUAAAACGAAAAAAAUUGUGACAGAACUAUAAGUUUAAGGCCCUCUUUGAAAAAAAGAAAAAUCAUAAGAACUUUGAAGGAUCCCAUUCCUAUAAGAAAAUUUUCUAGGUAGCCUUUUGGAACGACGCACCCUGUUAAAUUCCUUAGGAUAUCUACGUAAUACAUGAAUCUAUAGAAAUUUAGAGAAAAACUAACAUGAAGUUGGACCUCAUGAAAAUUUUUACUUUGUGCCUAUCUCUCUCUUCAAAAUCUGAUGUUUAUUUCCUGCGUUGUAUCCACAUGCUCCUUUAAACAUUUUCUCGUGAUUUCUUUUUUUUUUUUGAAACGCACGAAGGAGAUGCUCACAUGCACGCGCACACCCCCAUGAAUACACAUACCCUACCUUUAUGAGCACUGACGAGAGAAUGAGCCGGCUGAUCUCAACUCGAGAUUGACGAAGCCUCUAUACGCCUCGUUGAUCUACCAUUGAAAAAAUAACGUUAGUUAAAUCCUAAAAUAAAUCGAAAAAAUAUAAGCACUGUACACAGAAGCAAGCUAUCAACGAGCAUCUCACCUAAUAUAGAAAGAACCUAAUAUAGAAAGAAUAACGCCAGUUAAAUUUUAUAUCUGGGUGGAUUAGAUUAGAAACUAAAGAUCCUACAUGAAUUCUAACUCAUUUUAUAUCUGGAUGGAUUAGAUUAGAAACUAAAGAUCCUACAUGAAUUCAAAAGUUAGAGAUCCACCAAAAAAAACAUAAUACUUUGUGUGUACAUACAUUUAUCUUCAAGAAGUGCUUGUAGUACAAUUUAUUUUCAAACCUUCCUAACUAGUAUGUCGUAAUAGAUAAUACUUUAUGAAAUUCCAGCGAAGAUCGACAGAAUUAUUAGUGCCCAUGUCUCCGGGCCACCGAUCUUCACGGGUUCUGUUGUGUAGCUGAUCCCGAAACAAAGCCAAGCCAAGAUGGUGGGAGAUGUUCGAUAAUGAACCCUGAACAUGUCAGAGUUGGUUGGCAGUGUUGUCAGAGUUGGUUGGCAGUGUGGUUACUACUGGUUAGCUGGCAGCUGGGUUUCCUUUCGAGUGAAACUCAUCGAGUUCAAGUUUCUAACUUAGGGGUGUUUUUAUUACGGUCACAUCGGAUGUCGAUGCUAAUUAAAAGGAUUAAAUAUGAGUUAAUUACAAAUCUAAUUGCACAGAUGGAGUUUAAUUCGCGAGACGAAUCUGUUAAGGCUAAUUAAUCCAUCACUAGCAAAUGGUUACUGUAGCACCACAUUGUCAAAUCAUAGACUAAUUAGGCUUAAUAGAUUCGUCUCACGAAUUAGAUUUCAUAUGUGCAGUUAGUUUUUGUAAUUAGAUUAUGUUUAAUAUUCCUAAUUAGUAUCAAACAUCCAAGGUGACAAGCGCUAAAGUUUAGCAUGAGGUUUCCAGACACCCUCUUAGUAGGAGUAUGUUUUUUUUUGCAACGAAAUGAGAGAUUUAUUGAAGCUUAUACAAAGGCAUUACAAACUAGCACACGGAUAAAGUCUGGAGCAUCAACAAAAUACAUACGACUCUACCUCAGUCUAGUUGCAAUGCAAGAUGUGCCAACUCGUGCAUGUGGCUAUGUCCGCCGUCCGCGGCACGAUCGUGUAUCGACGGGUGAUUCUCGACAUCUGCUGUGUAUGUGUGCGGUGAUCUGCCGAAGGCAGACGUUAGCCUUUAAAAAGAGGGGAGUGUAAUACCCAGCUCAAUAUACAACUGUAGUUGAAAUUGGUUGUCCUUUCAAAUAUAUAUCUUCAGAUUAAUCUUUUUACAUGAAAUGAGAACAAAAGUAUAAGAUGAGUGCUAUACAUUUGCGGGUUCCUUUCACAUAAGGAGCUCACAGGUUUUGAAGCUGAACUAAUCGAUAUAGUUUGACGAAGUAAAUUGAGCCUAAAUUGUAUUCAGGAGAUAAACCGACAAAGUGGCAUGGUAUGUAGUUAUAUAUUUUUUUCCAAAUAAAAUAAUAGAUUACUUUCAUUCACCACGUUUUUUUCGAACCACAAUAAAGACAAAACGCUCACAUACGUACGUGCACACUUAACUCAUAAAUAUACUUAACUCAUAAAUAUACGCACGCAACUUUAUUAUGGAGCCGGCAGAUCCUUUAGAUUGAUGAACCACCACUGGUGCCUUGUCAGGCACGUUGCUUACGUGAGUAAAUGUGAGCACCCAUGCUAAAUCGAGGACUCAAAUCUCGAUAAGUAAACUCAAAUCUCGAUAAGUAAAUUCCACCACAAGAGUGCUAGAAGCACUAGGCUCACAAGUGUUCAUACCAUAAGUAGGGCUAUGAACAACCAAAAGCCUAGAAGUAUAAGCUCGCUGCUUUUGUAUUGCACGGUGAUAGCAAAAAGUCUCUUGAUGCCCAUCUUUCUCACAAUAAGAGCAAUGGUACAAAGGCCUAUUUGGAGGUACGGUUCGAGAGGACAAAUUACCAUUCUCAUUCAAGUGAGAUGUUUCUUGGGAUUUAGAGCAAGAAGUAUCAACAACACCAUUUGAUUUGGUACCCACAUUUGGAUCACACGUGCCAUGGGAAAGGCUACGUGGCUUCCUAAAAGCUUUGGCACGCACACAUCUCUCAUGCUUGACACGGCAAAAGCUCGGUGUGCACAUCAUUCUUACAAAAGGUGCAAUGGAACUUCAGUUUGGGAGUAUGAGUUCCAAAAAUGUGAGAAGCACCCUUGCCACUGAAUUGCCUUGGGCAAUACCGGAAGAAGCAAUAAGCUGAGGAGUAGCUAUAAAAGAGCUAUUCAAAGCACUAGCACAGGUGCUAUCGUCCAAAGACUCACGCUCAACACAAGAAGCCAACUCCGAUAGGGAAGAAGCAAUUAUGGAAGCACUAACAUCGGAGUGACAAGAAUUACGAAAAUCAAAAGACUUAGCACAAAGACUCUUGCAUCUUGUGGCCAAAAUCUUAUUUUCAUGUUUAAAGCAAUCACAACUACCACAUGGAGCAUUUCUCAAAUUAUCCAUCUCCUUUUCAAUGCACUUAGCAUAUGUGGUAUGCAAAAAUUAUUUUCUUUCUCAAAAUUAGCACUCAUCUCAUUGCGCUCAACCAACUUGGCGCUCAUAUCAUCGCGCAUUUGCUUCAAAGCCAAAACUUCACUUUCCAAUUCAAUGCAUGAUGUGCAAAUAAGUUCGCAUGAACAAUCAUCAUCAUUCACAUCAAGCACGGCAUUAUUAUCACAAGAAGUAAGGCAAGCAUCAUCAUCUAGAACCAAAGAGCACAUGCUACAAGGCAUAGACUUCAUUUUACAAAUUUUAGCUUUAACAUGCUCAAGUUGUUCAACACAUGUGGUGUAAGUCAAUUUUAAUUCAUUAUUUCAGCAAGCAAAUACUCACAUGAAACCCAUGGUAAAGAAGCAUUAGAUUUCAAUAGAGCAAUUUCAUCUCUAGCCUUAUCAAGAUCAUUAUUCAAACCAACACAUGAAUUACAUGGCAUAGAGGCAUUGCAAUUCAACAAGUCAUUUUCAGAUUUUAAGCAAGCAAGAGAAGACUUCAAUUCACCGUUCAUUUUAAGUAAGCUAUCACAAGAAUUGCAAGGAUUCAGAGCACGUGAUUUCCAAUGAGCAAUUCCACAUUUCAACUUAGCAAGAGAACAUUUCAUCAUCUCAUUCUUCCUAUGCAAAGCAUCACAAAGCUCAAUGUUUCUCUCAUUUUCAUCUUCACAAUCAUCAACACGAUUGCAUAAAAUCAUGAUGCAUUUGGCAAGCGUACCUUGGCUCAUGUCUCUUAGCCUGCGGUAGAACUCACCCUUCGUGAUCACCGUCUUGGUAGUUCUCGAGGAGAUCUAUCACCGCCUCCACUUCUGAUUCCAACUCAAUCUCCAAACUCCUACUACCUGAAGAUAAUGAAACACAAGAAGAAGAGCUUGGUGCCAUAGCUCAAAGCACCAGUUAGGAUUAGUCGAAAGCAAGCUCAAAACUCAAAAAACCAAAUCCGCAAGAAAAAACGCCCUUUACCUUAUCGUCCUAUGGAUCACAAAGCCGAUUAAGAUGGUGUGAUCCUUAACCAAGCUUUGAUACCAAUUGAAGGACUGGGAUGGGCGACCACAGAGGGGUGAAUGGGAGCCUUUAAAAAAAUUCUCUCCAAGAACAAAAUAUAUAUCCCGUUUGCCACCCUAAAUGCACCUCGCUCCUAAUCGCCAAGAUGACACAAAUCAACUCAUGACAAGCUUACCGUAUGAACGAUUAGAAACGUUCAAAGCGUAGCGGAAUCAAAGACAAAAGCUUAAAGGGGCUACUCACAAAUUACUGGCUAAGAAAAGAGCUCUAGUUAACCAUGUGAAAAUCCAUAUAAAAUAGCUAAGCUGCAGCUACUGUAACACUGAUGAGCUACUGACCUAUUGCCACGAAACAACCAGGUAAUACAUCGGCCAAGAACUGAUUAGCUAUUUAGCUCACUGUUCAUGCAUAUAAACAAAGCUAUUGUGCUAUCUUAACAUGCAAAACAGAGCACUAACUGAAAACUAAUCAGAGCUAUAGGUAAUACUUUAACCAAGAACUAUGAUCAGCCAAUUCUAGUACUCGAUCUCAGCACAUGCAUGUAAUGAUUGUAAUGAUUGUUUGACGGUAGCAAGGAAGGGACAUCCAAGAUUAACUGCUCACCUGAUGCAUGUCGUUGCGGCUGUCCGCCUGGGCAGGCCUGGUGCCGUCGGGCUGGUGGAUGCUCUGGCCUCCGUCCCCUGCGCGAGCUGGGCCGCCUAGUGCGUCGCUGGGUGCUCGGCCGCUGGCCACCAGCUGGGCUGCCUUGGCACGAGCGUGUCGCGUGUGGCAGGUCGCUUCGGCCUGUACUGCGUCGGGCCUGCUGCCGCCGGCCUGCAGCUACGUCGCCUGGCCCGCGAGGUGCAGCCGCUGGCCUGCGUCGCACGUGCUGGAUGCCGCUGCAGCGCGUCGCCUCUCCCUUUGCGUGAACCCAAAGCUCACGAACAGAAACAAGAACAGAAGAACACCAAGAAAAACGCCCAACUUGAAACUCGAGCCACGGAUCCAAACCAAACUCGAGCCACAGUAGCACCUCCUCAAGGACUAACAGAUCUAGGAAGAAGAUUCAAAAAGCUCAUGUAUUCACAGCGGAUUUCGAAGAAAACCGAACACCCUUCCCAAAGCUCGGUUUCGGGAAAAACUUCAAAUCCGGGUGCUCGGUGAGGGAUUUGUUAGACAAUCACACUAGCCUUGUUCACACACGUCCUAGCACCGAUUUGCCCCAAAAAAUCUGUCCCAAAUCGCAGCCAAAUCGGACGAACGAAAAUUCAAAAAAAAUUCACCCGAAAAUACCGAAAAACAAAAAUGCUCGGGAAAGAUGAAGUAACUUUACUUCUCCACCAUGAUCAGUUACAAGCCAUUUCUAAGCACAAUCAAAAUUAGGAUGGUAAAAACAUCAACACAAAGAUCUACUCAUCUUCUAAAGACUCUCAAACAUAAAAUAAGAAGUCCACCACCUAACAACCUGUGAGUAUAAUCUGUAGCCGGCCAUAAAGUAGACUAUUAUGUAGCCAGUCCACGUGUCGUGCUAGGAUUAGCCAGUAGCGGUCCCCUUUCCCACCCGCGUGACCCGCGCCUCCAGGCUUCAGCCGAGCAUGCACAACGUAGAGCCAGUAGCUAAGGGCAGUCCUAAUGGGAGAAACCAACCUAGUUUCCAUAGUUUAGGAUAUUGUAUCAAGAAAUCAUCCUUCACAAUGUAACACUUUUUAUCUAGAGUCUAAACAAAAAUCCAACCAAUCAUUCUUCCUUCUAGUACCAGAUCCUUUGUGCAUCAUGUAAAGGAGCUCGAGUGAUGGGUAGCAGCGGUGCAAGCGUAAAGGAUCCGGCAGUAAGUAAGAAGAAACUACUUGGGUCUCCCCAAUACAGAUUUGCUGGUUUCUUGGCUCAUUGGUGCGCGUGAGGACUUGGUUUCCUCUCUAAGAAAUGGUUUCUCUCUCUCCAUAAUAAAUCUACUGCCACAUCAGCAAAUUGCUUAGUUGGCAUGAUAAUUAAGAGGGAUAGAAACUAUCAUCAAUGUCCCAUUGGGACUGCCCUAAUUACAAGCGAGCCGAGCGCGCUGCUCAUUUACUGCCUCGUCCGUGAUCAGCGGCUGGAAAAGGGAAGGCUGGAUUAACAGGUAGUAACUCCCAUUUCGAUGACGCCGGGCAAAGCAACCAGUGCUGCAGGUGAGUCCGUAAUUUUCCAUGCAGUGGGCUUCAUCAAUUGGAUGUCUAAGUCUUGUGGAUGAGUUGAGCUGUGUGGAGGAACCAAUCACUAUAAUGAAGAGACCGAUUUUGUGGUGACAUAGUUAAGUUAAUCCCAAUGUUUGAGAUGAUAAAGUAGACUAUUCACUAUAAUCCAUAUGUAGACUACGCUGUGACGUUUUUGACUACAACUCGAUUGUAUGUUACUAUAAUAUAAUGGUGAGUUACCACAAUACAGAUUGAAACAAUCACUUUUUUUUCAAAUCGGAUCAACUACAAAUGACAAUACAGAUUCAAUACUUGUAAUAUAACAUGACACUAUUCCACGUUGCUGAAUAUGAUACAAAGUGCUUGCUUCCACAUUCUUGAACUCGAUUAUAUGUUGCUUGCUUUCCCUAGCUCCAACUGAAUCUGAUCAUGCAGUUAGGCACCAGGACGGUGGGGAGAAGGCACAAGGGAGCUGAAGCGCUAUCUAUCAAUCAGUGCUGAGUAGGCUGCUCUCUAAAGUAAGUGCCCAGAUGCUACCCAGAGAUUCCGACGAGGCAUCAUCACCUGUAGUCAUUUAAAAAUAAGAACAGAGUAAAUAACAUAUGAUCAUUUAGCAAGCCUGAAAAGCUGGAACUGUACAUAUUGAAUUAAAAACAGGCAUGCUGGAAAGAGCCACAGUUAUGUCCAAAUUUAUAAUAUGACAGCAGAGAACUGGAGAUACUAAGGAAACAAAUUAUGGUAAUUAUGACUGUGGUAACAAAAUUAUCAGAGACAGAGCUCUGCCUUGCCACUGACAUAGUGAUAAGAGAUAAGCAUUAUUUCUGUGUAAUGUGAAUACACUAAUCCAUUGAUAAUAAGUGGACUGGAACUAUAAGGAAAUUUGCUAGCAGGAAAUUGUUAGUCGGAAACAAGUUAGUUGAGUGGCAGUACGGAUAAAUAGACAGUAGGUUAUAUGUUUAUUUUGAUGCAAAUAAUCAGCCAUGUAGAUAAAGAUCAAGGCCUGUGUGCCCCAAGUCCAGCAAGAACCUUCUUAUAUUGUAAAUACUUGUUGAAGUAACGCAUGCAAACUAUGGUAAAUGUUCGGGCAGUUACGAGGAUCCAUCAGGAGGGUGAGUUACCACAUUUCAGUGUCAAGAAUUUUGUAAAUUGUUAUGUGACUUUUAUGCCCUUGUAUGUGGUUAAUCUUUUACGAGAAUUUUAUAAAUGACUCAGUAGAAUCUGUCCUUUAUGAGAUUUACUAGAAUCCAUGGCUGGUUAUAACCUUGUAAAUCCAACAACCAUGACUUACCAGAAUCUGUUAACAGGGAAUUUUGUUACUGAUUUAUUAGAAUAUUUGCCCCUUGUCUGCAAUUUACAAUAAUCUUAUAUUUUAGUCAGCUGACUUAUGAUUUAUUGAGAUCUUACCACCUCAAAAUUUUAAAUAUGAUAGAUGAAUUGUGAAAUACACACAAUGGGUAUAAUCAGUAGAGUAAACGAGGGAAGCAGAAUUACGUGAUGCUUACCUCAGGGUCUCUACGCUGGCUUGGAUUAGGAUGGACUGGUCACCCAAAACCGAAGAACUCCUGCAAUAACACCGGCAGCAAUACAAGUACGGAUGGCACAGGUGCGAUGCUGCUUCAUUAUCACAAACAUGGUGGGCUGGAUUUGAUCAGAAAUUCAGAAUUAAAAAAGAACGAUAUAAUUAUGUGAUGUACAGGAGCUUUAUAAAUAAUUACUUGAUCUAAGUGAUUUACGAUAAUUCUGUAUUUAAUUUAAAAGGUGUGCACCAACAAUGUGGUAACUCUGUUUAUACGAAUACCAUCAAAAAAAUAUCAUUUUUACCACAACUUCAUCACGUUACCUGACCCAUUAGGUAUUCUCUUACUCAUCAUCACUAAUUUUAUUUUUUAGUAUAACAGUAACCACCAGAAGUGAAUUCAUCUAGCACAUCUACAGGUUUUCUGGGAGUGCAAGGCAGCAACAACUAGUCAAUCCAGGUGAAAAUCGAAAAAAUGAAGCAUGUAUAACAAUGAUGCAUAGUAGGACUUACUGCAUGAGAAAUGUCUGAAAAUUUACUAUAUAUCAGGAUCAGGAGGUACCAUAAUUUUUUGUCAAGCUGUUCCAGGAAACCAUUUACUGUGUAAUGAUGAGAUCAAUUUACCACAAAAUGCUACCUGAUAAUACUCAACUGUAGGUAUCAGGUAAAAGUAUCAGGUGGCUGCUACAUUUACAAGUUCUUUCAUUCAUUAUCAGGGUCCAUGUUACAACAAAAGGUCAAUUUUUGAAUUGAGUCCGUUGUACAGUUAAAAUUGUAACAAUCUCGCUCUGCCAGAUUGGCUCAAUUACAAAUGACAGUCUAUGAGCAAAUUAUCUCAUGAGCACUAAAAAAUAGUUUUAGCUCUGAUCCUUUACUACAAUACUGAAAACCAGAAUAGGCCAAACAUCCUUUAAGUCAAUUAACCAUUAUGAAUCCAGGCAUUUUACUGAGAUAUGAAAUCAUUCACAUAUUUGGCAUCAUACUGUUCAUAGGCCCCAUUAAACCACGCAGCAGUGUGAACAUACAGGUAGGUACUUAAAUCACGACUAUUGCAACAAAGCAAUGAUUAAUAGGGAAUCACGAACCUUAAGAUUGAUGGCUGGAUGCAGCUAUGCGCGGCGCUGCUCACCUCAGGAUCUUGUCUCCUCUACGGGCAUGGGGAGUGACGGCCCACCGUACACCAAGAAUGACGGCCGCUGCGGAGGGAUGUCGACAACCAACGCAGGGGAACGGAUUCGAGAUUGGAGUUCAGGUUGGAAUGAGGUCGCAUCUGCGGGAGGAUUUGGGGGGUUCCUAGUUGCGAUUGAAGGCAGGGAGUACCCUCCUCUGGGAUGCAGUCAAACAAUUAAAAUGGGAACGAAUCAAACAAAAACAAAUUAGUACGGACGGAUUUCUUCUCAACCAUACCUGGAUCGACGCCGUCGCAAGAGGGAAAGGGCCGCCGCCGAGAGUCGACGCCAGGCCGCCGCCGGACAGCCGUGGCCCCCACCGAUGGGACCCACCUCCACACAUGGAGAUCCAUGGGUGCAGUCUUGUUACACGCGAGGGGAUGGAGCGUGGAAGCCAUGGCGGACGGUGAGCGGAGGUCGCCGGCUGCUCCAUACGGUGUCGCCGAUUCGGGAGGGUGCUACUGUCGUGAGAGCGGAAGGGCCGCCGCUGGGUCGCUGCAAGGCCGUCGCUGGGCUACAGCGACGGGGGACGGGCCGGGGAAGCCGGGAAGGGGCAGCGGAGGCCGUCGUGUGUGCGUGCGUGCGGGAUGGCCUGACGGGGAACGAGAUAAAUUUUGGGCGGCGGCGGCGGCGAAGAUUGCGGACGGAGUCAGAUGACGAGCUGGAUGAGCCUCACGUCUCGUUUACUCCCGGCUCGUGCUCGACUCGCUUCGCUAGGCUCGCCGGCUCGCUGACUCGUAACCGUGGAAGUGGGGCGGAUGAGCUCGGACGGUUGGAUGAUGCGGCUACAAAAUAACCUAUACUAUGGCUGGCUACAAAGAAACAGUUCUCUCUUUCUAUCUUUACCUAUUAUUAAAGCAAGUAACAUUUCUGCCUGACUUUUCGUACGUCGUGGUAAUUUUGCAAAAAAACCCCUCAAGUUUUCAGAUUAAAGCAAGUAACGUUUCUGCCUAGCUUUUCGUACGUCGUGGUAAUUUUGGGAAAAAACCCCUCAAGUUUUCAGUAAUCAACCCGCAGUCCAAUUUUGAAGAGAGGGGAGCUCGGGUGGAAAACGAAGGAAAGAGAGGGGGUUAAAUGAGAAAAACCUCUCCUUUCAGAGGGGGGACGGUCACCACCGUCGGAGCCUUGGUUUGUCAUCCCCCACCCUCCCUCCGCCGCCCUCCUCCCGCCUCCAACACCAUCCUCGUAUGGCACGACCGCCCCCUCGCCGACGUGCUCGUGCGGCAUGACCGCCCCCUCGCCGACCUGGUCUGCGCUGGCGGUGGCGGACUCGACAGGCGACAUGGGGCACCCAAGCUGAGGUCCAAGCCGAGGUAGGAUCGCUUACCUAGAAGCAGUCCAGGUCCAGAUGAGCGGAUCUCCGCUCCGCCCCCAGUCCAGCGAGUAGAACGGAGGAGAACGACGACCCACCAGGUAUAAUCCCACCUCGCCAAUUUAUAACCAAAAUUGCGGGCUUAAAACCUGAGAUGCGGAUGCGGGUAAUGUCACCUGAGGAACGAAAGAGUGAGGGAUUGGACUAAGUGAUGGAUUCGGCAAAAUCUUCGGGGGAAGCUGUUGUCGCGGCACAGAAGGUUGUGGAGAUGUGCUCGAGGCGGAGGUGGAUGACGGAGGCGCGGAAGGGAGGGUGGCGGCGACAGCUCAAGUUUUCGGUAAUCAACCCGCAAUCCUAUUCCCUUCCGCGGAGACGGGCGCGGGCAUCCAGACGGUCGCGUCUUCCGUGGAGAUGGGCGGUGGCCGCACCGACUGCGGAGACGAGCGGGGGGCAUCCAGACGGCCGCGUCCUGCUUGAUGGCGUGGACGGCGGUGGUGAGCGGGCGGCGGAAGCGGCGGCGUAGGAUGGGGAGCCCCCGCAUCGGGAGCGGGGAGGCCGUGGAGCAGGAGUGGCGCCGACUGCUCCUCGUCAAGAUUCUCGUGACGGAUUUGUUUCCUCCCCUUUUCAGAGGAUGAGGCCGAGACGUGAAGCACUUUGCAGGCCUUGCACGGCCGCGGACACGCGUCUCCGGCUAUUCCAGAUGGACCUUUCUGGAUCCUGCUUCCGGCCGGCCGGCGGUCGAGGGCACAUGCGGUGUCUUCCACCUAGCGUCCCCGUUCAUACUGUGCAAGCAGAGGGACCCAGAGGCAAUUCUUCCUUCUGAAUAAUUAAUCACCCCAUCGAUGCAAAUCACAGUCCAGUAUCUAUCCCGUUGCUCGAGUAGGUAAUCCUUGGAUUAGAUUUGCUGAUGAUUCUGCUAUUGCAGAACGAGCUCCUGGAACCGGCGGUGAAGGGCACGCUCAACGUCCUGCGCGCCAUGAAAAGAUUUGCGGGGUCGGCCAGCUCCUGUAUUCUGAUCUGUGUUAUGGUUGUGGUUGAGGCCUGUGCUGACUUUAUUCCUUGAGCCUGCAGUUUUGGUAUAGCGUAUUGGACUUCGCUGGGAAGGAGGGAUUGCAAUGGUUGUGCUCAAUCCAGGGAUGGUACUGGGUCCAAUGUUAGCACCAUCAGUUAACACCAGUCUCCAACUACUUCUGCAACUUUUGGCAGGUCAGUCACAUCAUUAGACGCUAGGAGCCAUGUGGUACUUUUAUCUUCUGAUGAAUUGGAACUUUGCAACGAGUACAAAGUAUGGGAUGGUACUGGGUACAAAGUACCCAGGCGAAGAAGCUUGAUCUGGAUGACAUCUACAUUGGCUGCGUCGAUGUGAGGGAGCCAUCAUCAGAAGUGCAAGGUGACUGUUGACUAAUAGUAAUAGCAUGUCACCUAUAUUAGUACUCUGAACUAUGGUUAUGUGAUCUUUUGGUACCGAAAGACUUGGCUAUUUAAAGGAUGCUUUCAUGAUCUCAACAGAAGCUCCUUUUGUAUAUGCUUGUAAGUGUAGAAACUGAAAUGUAGAAUCUUCUUGAUGAAGUGUCAGGCAAAUAGAAAAUAUCUAGCUCCCUUAGGUCCUUCGUUGUAUUGGUUAGGUUCUUAUAGUCGCCAUGCCAUGGUUCUUGAGCAGGUCCAAGAGGAGGCAACAUUCCUCUGGAAGAAGCUUGGGGAAUCUUGAUCCAGUUGAUGAAGACUUUCCAUUGGAGCAAGAAGUGAGGGACUUCAAGAUGAGAAGGCUUUCAGAUUUUGGGCCAACUCCUGGUUGGUUGUGUUUCUUUCCUUUAUUCGCUAUGUUAUAUAUAAACAUGUGAAACUGUUUUCUCGAGCACGUGAAACUGUUUGAACCAACAUAGAAUUAAACAGUUAACAUUCGUUUCAGACCUUCUAGAAGAAACCGAACCGACUCAAACCCCAUAUGAGAAGCGCUUUGAUCCUAUCGACAAGGUCACAGAAUCAAUCCAGUCGUAAGUAGCCUGGGUAACUUAGUUUGUUGAAGUGAAGUACCCCCGUCCUCCGACAUCGACGCCAUCAUCCUUCGUCGACAUCCCGCUGCCGUUCCGUCCAGAUCCGGGGCCUGCGGCCGUUUCCCACCUUCGCCCUCCACCCUUGGUCCCGGGGUCGGAUGCGCCCAACCCCUUGAGGGUGGAACUCCGCCUCGCCCGACCCCUGGUCCCGGGGUCGGAUGCGCCCGACCCCUUGAGGGUGGAACUCCGCCUCGCCCGACCCUUGGUCCCGGGGUCGGAUGCGCCCGACCCCUUGGUCCCGGGGUCGGAUGCGCCCGACUCCUUGAGGGUGGAACUCCGCCUCGCCCGACCCUGAGUCCUGGGGUCGGGAGUGUCCGACCCCUGAGCGGAACAUUGGAGUAGUCCGAGGCGAAGUCGAAUCCGACGUGUAGUCAAACUCGAACUGGUUGACUUUGAACAUCUCCUCCUCCUCCACUUCCAGGAGGAGGCUCCCGCCCGUCAAGAAUGGCCACGGCAGCGCAGGUCUUGCAAAUGAAAAUUCUUGUUCAAAGUUCAAAAAUGGUACGAACAAACGUAUAAUAACGUGACAGCAAGUAAUAACCCGUAGCAACGCACGGGCAUUUCUGCUAGUGUGUAUAUAUAUAUAUAUAUAUGUAUUUAGCAAAUGUUCAAAUACUCUUACAUAAAGCAUACAACUCAAAUAUUUCAUAUGAGUAAAACCGUCCAACUUUUUAUCAGGACAUCGAACGGACCCGGCAUCUAAACGACUUCGCUUCUCCUCAACGCAAGCUUCGUGAUGGUGCCACGUGUCCUCUGAUUCGACGUCGUCCGGCCGCACCGGACUCGCCCCCCGAUUUUGAGGCGAAACCGGUCAAACCCUCUCGCACACCCCGCUAGGCGUGACUCACCCCGAUUUUGAGGUCAAACCGGUCAAACCCUCUCGCAUGCCGUGCAUGACGUGACUCACCAAUAUAGACGCGUGUCCGACCUUCGCCAAGCCUUCGACACCUCCAAAUUUUUCGCUCCUGAUCCCGGACCGCCUACUCGACUCGCCUAAAUCCUGCUUGACUCAACCGACGCCAUCUUCAUCCCAGUGUACUCUUGCUCUUCCGUGCACUAUGUGGAUCGCUCAUGACUCCGCUCGGAUUUCUCAGGUCCCACGGUUCAAGUCUACUCGUGUCCACCCUUCAUAGCCCCAGUAUAUUAGCAUGAACCUUUCGCUUGACCUUCAACUCAUGCCGCCGACCGCCAUAUCGCAUUCAUCACCUGCACAUCACAAGCCAAGAGACACAACACACAAGAUAUGUUUUACACAAACACUACAACACAACACACACCUCCGGUUAGCUGUUAGCAUAAUUAAGCACAUAUGGAAUAUGGACUCAAUCGGUAAAAUUUCAAAUCAUCCAGUUAAUCACUUAUCACAAAUAGACAGAGGGCAUGUCACUUGAUCUCUCACUUCCGCUGGACCUUGGCUUCUCCAAGUUGAGCUACCUCGCCGUCUUCGACAACAAGCUCACGGGGCACCUCCCAUCAUCCAUAGGUCACCUGCAAGACUCCCUCUUCGAGGUGCUCCUCCUCAACAAUCAGCUCUCGGACUGCCUUCCCCACGAGCUCGGCAUGCUGAACAAAGCAGCUGUGAUCGACGCCGGCAUGAACCAGCUCACCGGCCCGAUACCAGCAUCCUUCUCGUGCAUCAGCAGCGUCGAGCAGCUCAACCUGGGCGGGAACCGCCUCUACGGCCAGGUACCAGACGUGCUUUGCAAGCUCGCUGGCCCGGCCGGCCGCCUCGCCAACCUCACGCUAGCUGUCCGGCAACUAUUUCAGAUCGGUGGCGCCGGCAUGCGCGGCGCUAAUCAAAGACGGCGUGCUGGACGUGAAGAACAACUGCAUUCCAGGCCUCGCCAACCAGAGGCGCCCGGCGGAGUGCGCGGCGUUCCAGAGCCAGCCCAAGACGUGCCCGGCGGCGACCACUCAGGUGGCAUGUCCCGCCGCACCUGCCGCCGCGCCGGGGGAGAGGAAUGUCAUCAGGGACUACUCCGGCUACGUGACGUACGCUACUCUGCAUGAUUGAGGCGCCACGGGAUGCACUAGGAGACAUAGUGGAUGCCUAGGUGGUAUUUUGGCUUUUUGCCCUUGUAUCCUUGUGUUUUUAAUUAGUGUGUUGGUGUGCAUGUGUGUUGUUCGUGUUCCUAUGUAUGUGCGGCUGUCACGUCUAGAUUUCACUUCUUGUACUACCAAAUCUAUUGUUAAAAUAAAAAAAGGAAAAUCUAUAUUUUUCUCGAGUGUUUUGGAGCUUGCCAAAAAUAGAUUUUCAAGUCUGCAAGUUGGUGCUGCGAUUGGCCAAGAUCGUCUUCCCAACUCCUUUGAGGACUCCAGCGAGUUUAGGAUUUGGGACGAGUCCUUGCAUCGGCACACAAUUACCUAUGGGUGUGCAGGUGUACCUUUGUUCGAUGUGUUUCUCAUUCCCAACGACUGGAUGAACAAGAGCACCGGUCCCAGUUCCCCACAGUCACCGUCAUCCCAGCCUCGUUUGCGUGCCUGUGCAACGUCGAUCGAGCAGCACCUGGCUGGAAAACGCCCUUUACUGUGACGAGUUAGAUUGCGGGCGGGCUGGACAUGGACUUGCGCAUGACUAGCCAGCGGACCUCUCGCUGUUGAGCAACUACAUCACGUUGGUAAGGCCAAUGCAAAGUGCUCUAGCUCUGCGCUGAGCCUCUGAUGAAGAAGGGGUAUGGCAGUGCAGUGAAUCAAGAAGAACAACAGCCUCAUGCGUUCCGAGCUGCAAUCAGAGGCGGCCCGAUCUGGAGCGCGUGUGUCGUUCAUGCGACAGCCGAUCGAGUAGGUGCCCCCCGAGCCCCGACGUACGUGCCAUGCGGCGUCGCAUGUGUCACGGACGGGGGCUGGUCGUGCGGAGGUAGGUACGUAGGGCUCGUCCACAUUCCAGCUGCGCUACGUGACAUAUGCAACUCCGGAUGAGUGAGAUCCACAGGGAUUCAAGGAAAUCAAGGACCGCGCGGCGCGCGUCUUGGUCGCAUUUGCUGUGCUCUCGCUCUCAUGUAAGUGCCGUCGGUGCUUUUGUUGGUUCCACUGCAUGCCCGGACCCGUUUUUGGCUGUUCUGCGGGCCGGGUUGAUCUCGCCGGCAAGACCCAUGUGAUGAAUUCCUACCUGUUUCUUACACUAGUUCACUUUGAUAUUGUUUGAAAUCAAACUUUGUUUAAUUGACUUUUGAUUGGGUUUAUAGCUAGGAAAAAUUAUGAUAACAUCUACAAUACAAAAUAAAUUUACUAUCAAGAAUACGGAUUAAUGACACAAUGUGUAUUUGUAGAUGUUGAUACUUUUCUAUAAAUUUGGUAAAAGUUAUAAAUAUUUAGCUUCGAAUGAUACCAAAAUUUACUAUAAUAUAUCAAAGGAGUAUCCUGGCAAUUUCUUGUGUUUUAUUUGGUUCCAACAAGAUUGGCCAGACAACUCUAACAUAAAACAAGUAUUAUUUGAGUAUGUGGACAGCUCUAGCAGUUAGGUUCUUUCUGAUAGAACUUGCCUACCCGAUUUCAAUUACUUAUUUUGUACAAUUAUUCUUUAAAUAGUAUGCGACAUGCCUGUUGAGGUCUUCAGGACCGUUGGUCUCCAUUAGGGGCAAUUGGAAGGAAGCGCCUAGGCUAGACUUUGAAUCUUCAGCUCAUUGGUUGUCCCGGGCUACAUGAUAUUCAGAUUGAAUAUCACCUGUAAGGCUUUCCUCUCGGUCCUGCCUAGUCUCAGGGAAAAUACCUCUGUUAUCAUUGGUAAUGGGGCUUUCACCUCUCCUUCUGGCAUGAUCACUGGAUUGGGUCUGCGCCUCUUGCGGCGGCAAUGCCAGCUCUGUUCUCCCAUGCUCAGCGACCCAACAUCUCCAUUCAAAGGGUGGCUGCGAUGGGCAGUGGGAUCUCCAGCUUACCGGUCACCGGCUGUCCUCCAUUACGCAACAGGAAGCCUCCUCUCUCAUGGUGGCUCUGCAAACUGUUCAGCUGCUGCCACUGGCUCGCGAUCGGCGACUCAUAUACUCCACCAGGCUGCUCUAUCGAGCCUUGUCACCGUCGGUGCCGCCGGAAACAUUCCUGCCACUCAUCUGGGACAGCUUUGCUCCAAGCAGUUCCUCUGGCUAGCUCAUCCACCGCCAUCGACUCUCGACUGCAGCACUGCUCUUCUACCGGAAUAUCAUCGACUCUGAAGCUUGUCUACACUGUGGGCAGCAAGAAGACCUGCACUCUUCCUUGGCUGCACAAAGGCCUCUGCUUGCUGGACGCUACUGGGAGCAGGCGACCUCAUGUCUCACUCCGUUGAGCAACUAUGGCAGCAGCACCUCCUGGCAAUGUUGGAUGCCCCUAUCAGGUCAACCAUCAUCACCUGCAUUCUUUGGAACAUAUGGAAAGCCCGAAACGCGCGCGUCUUUGAGCACACCGACAUCAACCCACCAGGGAUCCUCCGUCGCACGGCCGCGGACCUGCAGCUUUGGUCUCACCGUGUGCCACCAUCAUCACUACGAUUCUGGAGCGACAAGAUUGUGCAUGUAAUAGAAUGAUUUGUGUUGUAAUCCCUCACCCUUCUUACCUUCCCAAAUCCCCUGUAUGCCUCAAACUUUUGCAUACUUAAUAUAAAUGUUGAGGUCGGUGAUUUGCCUGCCGUAGGUUCCUAAAAAAAAUAUUCAGAUUGAACUACUAGGUCGCCUUCACAUGACGGCCUCCUUCUCCCUCUAAAGGCCAGUAGCCCAGUAAUGACAUCUACCCUUGUUGCUCCCUUGUCCAGUGCCCCCUCACAUCUCUUCUCCUCUCUCUCUGUGGCUCCCUGACCCCCGCCGUCCAUAGCCGCACGCAGCACGCCGCCCUGAGGUCAACUGAAUCGCAUCCGGGUCGGUUUCUUCUAAAAAAAUUGGAUUUCAAAACUUUCAAUGUUGGACUUCACAAAUUUACCACUUUGAAGAUGGACUUCGUAACUUUACCACUUAUCUCACGAACAACUUGAUUUCCCUACCAAUUUUCCUCUUACUAGUCCACCAACCCGUGCUCCCGCACGGGCUAAUGUUUUUAGAAGUUAUUGUAUUUAAAAAUUAUUUAGAAAUUAAACUCCUAGCUAAUAAUCAAAAUUGUUUACCUAGUGCUCUCUUAUUUUUCAAUAUUUCAACAUAAUACUUAUAUAGAUAUGUACCUAUCUUUGUCCAGUUGUGAUUGGUUUUUAAUUAAUAAUUACUCAAUGCACUUUUUCAUCCAUAUUCAUAUUUUUUCCAUUUUGUAUGACACCUCCAAUCCUCCAUACAUUAUGUUUAGCAUACAAAUCAAUAUUUUUCAUCGAUUCCUCACAUACAUAUAUAAAUGGUCUAAAUGGUGGCACUCAUCAUGUGUAUAUACUUUAACUUAGUAUUUUUAUAUUAACAAUGACAUAAAUAGCUAAUUUAAAAUCAUAUAUUAAUUUACUUUUUGAUAUUUCUGUAUGAUACACAUGAAGAUAAUUAGAUUAAGAUUUAGGUGUUUACUUUAGGUUAUUUUUAAUAACGACAUACGUGGAUAACAUAGAUAAAAUUUUAGAAUGACAUUUUAAGUUAUACUUUAUAAUGAUGUGUAUUAGUAAAUUGGAUGAAGGUUAUGGAGUUACUUUAGAUUAUUUUUUAUAAUAGCUAAGCUUGGUAAUUGAAAUAUAGGUUUAGAGCUCGUUUUUGAAUAUUUUCACAAUAAUAGUGGUGGGUAACUUUUUAGAAAAUAUAAUAGUGUUUGAUAUUUUUAAUUUUUAUUAGAAUUUGUCUCUUUUUUCUAGCUUGUCUCAUGGGAACUAACACGGAGGCAACCCAUGGUCCCGCACGGGCUAAUAUUUUUUAAAUAUAUUGUAUUUAAAAAUUAUUUAGAAAUUAAACUCCUAGCUAAUAAUUAAAAUUGUUUAAUUACUACUCUCUUAUUUUUCAAUACUUGAAGAUAAUAUAUGUCAUCGCUAGAUUAAAAAUUAUGGACUAUAUGUUUUUCUUGAUUAAGUUAGGUUAUUAUUUUAGGGGGAUGUAAUAUUAUCUCGAUAGAUGGCUACAUAGAUUAAAAAUUAUGGUUUGCCGGUGAAUGAAUAAAAUGUUGUAUUGGAAGACUUAUUCAUUGUGUGAAUGUUGAGACGAUCCAAGGUGUCUACCUAUCGACAGCCCACAGGAACUUGUCACAUUUAAAAUAGAAAGAAAGCAGGGUGCUAGGAACUUGUCGCAUUUAAAAUAGAAAGAAAGCAGGGUGCUGUACAGUUGUGUUUUCUCCUUUUCCCCAUUCAUCAGAUCACGGAUAGGCAUAGGUGAAGAUAUCAGCGGCUGGUGCAGGUGUGCUCUGUGUUAUCUCGCCUGGCAUUUGUCGUAUGAUUCACUAAUCACCCGUCCUGAUUUCCUACGGUCGGCUCCUCGUAGCGGUCGCUGGCACUUGUGCGGAUCUGAAAAGUCAGGUUUUGGAGAGUUGCUGCUGUAGCCGUCGUUCUUAUGGAUUUCCGAUUCGUCCUCAAGGAUUCGCUUCACAGGUACCUUUUCUCUCUUCUUUUCUUCUGUAUUAUUGAAUCGCAACCUGCGGUUUAUACUGAAUUAUUGCUGAACUGGUAAAUUUUUAUGCUAAUUUUUCCCGAAAGAUUAGCCAUGCAUCUAGCGGCACACCUUUUUUUUCUCUCUCAUUCGAUUUGGCUUGCUGCGGCCAAAACAGAGUCCGGUUUUUUACCCCUUUGAAAUUUCUUAUUCGUAGCUGUGUAUUACACUGUUUGGAUCUCUCCUAUGGUCUAAUAAAUUCACAUCUUCAUUAAUAUUGUACAAAUACCACUGUACACUGAUUGCACCUAUAAUAUUUGUACUUCUUCCAAGGUGGGUGUGUGGUUGAAUUUCUACUAAUACUUUUGCUGGACAUCUUCUAUCAGUUUAUAUCACUGCAUAAUAGAUUUAAGUAAUAUUAUAGGUUCAGCUAAUUUGUGUGAAGAGAAACAUGAAACACGUGAUUUUGUAUGUGGUACUUUGAAGGGCUGAACUACAUUACGUUGUGAAGGCAGAGGUACAUAGUGUGCUACAGAAUUUCCUUGUAGACUAUAUUUUUUGCCAUAUUAUCUUCUGGAGAUUCUUCAUCUGAUAUCAGAAUCUUAAGGCCUUCUCUGCUUGUAACGCGAGACACUGCAACAUACAGCUGUCCAUGUGUGAAGACUUGCUUUGGUAAAUAGAGUCCAACAUUUUUUAGUGACUGUCCCUGGCUUUUGUUUAUUGUCAUUGCAAAGCAUACAGUUAUUGGAUAUUGCCUUCUUUUCAACACAAAUGGCCAUUUUGAUUCGGUUGGUGACAUGAUGAUUCGUGGGAUGUAGACCUUAUUUCCAAUGUUUGUCCCAGUUAUGAUUUGUGCUUCGAUGAACCACUUCCCUAGUUGUGUUAUGGUCAACCUCGUGCCAUUGCAUAGGCCUGCACUUUGAUUGAUGUUCCUUAGCAGCAUUAUUGGUAGCCCAACUUUCAAUUGUAAUUUAUGAUUUGGUAUUCCAGGGAAUUUUAAGCUAUUGAGGAACUCUGUUGGAUACAACUGAUCUUCACUUUCUUUUGUUGAGAUGGCUUUGCAUACUGUAUCUGAGCUUAGGUAUGUUGUUUCUUCACCUGGUAUUUGACUCAUUAUGUAAGAGUUUAUGUUGUCCACCAUCUCAUUUCUUGGGCAUAGUAUCGCUCUUUCUUCUAGGUAUGUUCUGUUACUGUAGUUCCUUGAUAGAUCAGGGUAUGUGUUGUUUACAAUUGUCUCCAAUUCAUCCUCUCCUUUCUGUAAAAUCAAGUCUUGUGGUAUUGUUAUCCAAGCUUCAUCAUCUUUAUCUCCUGCUAAGCCGUCUCCAAUGCUUAAUAUCCAAUCUGCAAAUUCCUGUAUCUUCUUCUUUUCUUCUGUUGAAUUUGUAACUGCAGUUAGGCGCAUAUUUGUUGUGAGCUUAAUUUCUUCAAAGUGCUUCCAUAAGUAUGAUCGCUUUAAGGAUGCAUCAAUAAUAUGAGUUCUUCUUCCUUUUGGUAUGACUGGCAAAGUUUGUCUGAAAUCACCCCCCAUUACUAUUGUCAUCCCUCCAAAUGGCUUGUCUUUGCUAUUCUCAUCUGUAAAUCUUAGGAUGUCUCUCAAGCUCUUGUCUAGUGCCUCAAAGCAGUGUUUGUUUGUCAUAGGGGCCUCAUCCCAUAAUAUCAGUGAUGUCUUGUUUAAAAGUUCUGCUAGUAAUGAUCCCUGCUUGAUAUCACACGUUGACUCGUUAUUUAUGUUCAGUGGGAUGUGAAACCGUGAAUGUGCGGUUCUUCCUCCUGGUAAUAGAAGUGCUGCUAUACCACUUGAGGCCACGGCUAAAACUAUUUUUCCUUCAGAUCUUAGGGAUUUUGUUAUAGCCUUCCAAAGAAAUGUCUUCCCCGUUCCACCAUAUCCAUUGACAAAUAUAAGUUUGCCAAGUUUACUGUUAACUGAUUGUGUUAUUGCAUCAAAAGCUUUCCUUUGAUCAAGAUUUAAUUUCUGUAGUAGCUCCACACACUCUUUUUGGAGAGAAUUUCUGUCAUAGUUUAGCUCCUCAUUCAGCAACCUAUUUCUCAGACCCUGCAUGACAGUGUUGUCUGGUAGUGGCAUUCCAUUAAAGUCUUUUAGAGAUUUUCCACCUUUUCUUAGCAACUGCUCUAUCUCUAUUAGUGUAAGCUUCUUCUUUUGUUCUGGUUGUAGAUGUAAUCUUUCAAAGUUCAUGAACCUCCUUUGGUGCCUCUCGAUGUCCUCAGAAAGUAGUUCCCAAUUUGAUUCCCACAGUUUCAGAGGGUCCGUGACCUCACAGAAUAGCAAUAUCGUGCAGAAAAGUUGUCGCAUCUGGGUUGCGGAAGCCCAAAAUGAAGCCUCUUUGAUGCAAUCGUCCCACUCAUUGUCAUCAUCUAGUAAACCAAGGGCGUAACACGUUGAUUUGUAGGUUUUGUGGAUAACACCAUCCACUUUUCUGAUGUCUUUGAAUGACUUGCAUCCUUUCACAAUGUUCAGCAGUAUUCUCAAGUAGUACCUAUCUCCACUUGCAGGAUGGGCAUAAUAGAUCCUGCCUAUGGAUCUUUUUCCACCACGUCUCGGCUUCUAUUCCUUUUCUUUUGGGUGCCAUGUCCACUUAGUUGGAAAUUCUGCAUAUGUUAGUUCACGGGCAUCUUCAUGCAACCGAUUAGCUACGUGAUUUGGUUUUGAGUCCUAUAAAAUGUGGAGUUGUUUAGUUAGUUUGUAGAUAAAAUAUCUACGUGAUUUGGUUUUGAGUCCUAUAAAAUGUGGAGUUGUUUAGUUAGUUUGUAGAUAAAAUAUCUUGGGACGUGUGCUAACAGCUUGGAUUUGGUUCUGAUCCUUUUUAAAAUAUAUAGUUGUUAGGAUAUUCUCGUUAGUUUAUCUGUCUUAACUGAAACAAUAAAUUGAAUUUUUUGUAAGAUGAAAUUGUUAUUUUAUUUUUUGGUUCAUGUAAGAAUUUUUAAUCAUCAUCUGAACUAUCUAUGUGUAUAGCAGCCAUCUUUUAUAUUGAUUAAAGUGCACGUCCUGUGGUUGUGUCAUAUAGGUGUACCAACUAUGAAAUUAUAUUUUUGGGAAACUAAUCGAUUUAAGUGGUGCAUAGUCUAUUCAAUAUGGGCUUAGCAUCGAUCUAGCAUGCCGACUCGAUUCCUUCUUUAUCUAUCUUUUUCUAAUAAUUGCUCCUUCUCUUUCUCUCCUCUUCCUCACGCCAGCAACAACUGCCCAGCUCCAAUUUUCCUCCAUGAGCCAACUACAGAAGGACAUCUCUAUCUCGUGCACCUCGUCCAACCAAUCCACAGGGAACAAAGCAGCAGCAACAUCUUCUCAAAGUUGGUUACUCCCUGUUCUGCAAGCAGCUACAACACCACCAGUCCCUCGCUUCUCCAAAAACCCAAACAUCAGCAGUCCCUCAAUCCAAUUCGCAACAGUACCAUCAGCUAAUCCAUCAAAUCUAACUUUGAUUCCUCGCUUGAACAGCUCACCUCUCUCCUUUUUUUCUCAACUGAGUACAGCAACGCAGCAGUUUGAGAUCCCUAUUCUUUGACACAAAAUCGUCAAACACGAUUACCUUAUAGUGGGCAUGCCGUGCCAGUCAAAUGUUCACAUGGCAGCCUCCGCGCUAUUUAGUUUUGUCCACUCUGCCAACGAAUUUUUCCCAGUGCACAUGUGGUAAACACAAACUGGGUUGUUUUCUCUUUUAAAUUACUGAUCCCUAACAAUAUAUAUUUUUGCUAUUACAAAACUCUCCUAUGAUCAAAUAGUACCUUUAUUAAUAGACUACAAAUAAUAUUGUUAACUAAUCCUAUCUAUUCUAUUUUCUACUUCUUCCAAGGUGCUUGGGUGCUUUAGUAGCUUUUGAAACUUCGUCCGGACAUCUUCGAUCAAACAUCUGAUUGCAAAUAGAUUUAAGUAAUAUUAUGAGGUUAGUUAACUUGUUUGAAUUUAAAGAUGAAAAUUGUAAUUGUAUUAUACAUAAAUAAUUCUAUACCUAUUGUUUGUAUUUUGCAGGUAUUCUCCUAAUCCUUGUUGACCUGUAUGGAGAUGUUUGCUUAUUGUUCUUGUUGUCUUCGCUUACUUCUUUUACACCAGUUUCAUGCUUGCUCUGCAAAUUUUCUUAUUAUCGUUAUUAAUGCUAAAGAUUAGUAAAGGUCAGACAACAGAUGCGAAUUGAAUUACCUCUUCAUCUGAUACUUUCAUCUUCAUCUCCUUUGAGUCGCCUUCUUGAUUUCUCCUUUUAAAUUUCUGGACACUUUGUGUCUUACUGUCUCCAUCAAACUCAUUUGGUUCCUUCUCCUGCAAAAACUUUAAAAAUAGUAUUAUAUAUCCGGUAACACUAUGAACUAUGAUCUGAUUUCUUCUUAGAGUAUUUGUUCAUCAACAGAUGCGAAUUGAAUUACCUCUUCAUCUGAUAUUUUCAUCUUCAUCUCCUUUGAAUUGCCUUCUUGUUUUCUCCUUUUAAAUUUCUGGGUUCUUUGUGUGUUACUGUCUCCAUCAAACUCAUUUGGUUCCUGCUCCUACAAAAUUUUUAAAAUAGUAUUAUAUAUCAGGUAACACUAUGUAGUAUAAUCCGAUUUCUUCUUAGAGUUUCUGUUCAUUUGUGCAGUAAAAUUCCUAUUAUCAUAAUGUCAUCAUGUUUUUGUAUAAUUUGCAAAUAUUGUUACACAUACAGAAAAGGUUUUUUUUGAGGUAAACGUAUAAUAAAUUUUUAUGUCCAUACCUCCUCAUGGUUAUGCCGUUCAUUUUCUUCAUCUGAAUCUUCUAUUUUACAUAUUCUCUUCCUUGCAUUCGGUCUCUUAGCUUCCAUGCAUUCUUCAUCUGAGUCUAGUACUGUAAUUACAUUUCUUUUUUUGUAUUUCUUCCUUUGGAGGGUCUUCUUGUACUCACUGGCAGUAAAGUUAUCUUCGUUGAGACCCUUUAGCUCCCAGUCAUUGGUGUGUCCUUCCUACCAAAAUAAAAACCUUAUCCAGUAUUGAAGACCUAAUUAACAAAAUAGGAAAGAUGAACCGUUGUUAGUUACAAUACCUGUGUAGUUGGAAUUUUUUUCUUCAUAACUUUUUUGCCUUUUCUUCCUUCUCGGUUAACUUUCUUUGGAUUUGUUUUUAUUCCUUUGCUUGAACCUUGGAUAUCACUAAUAACCAUCUUUGAGUUGUUGCCAUCUUCUUCCUAAGAUUGCAUAAAUUAUUUAAGUGCUAAGGAAGUAUUUACCCAAAUACAAAAAUGACAUUUCUGUUUGUUGAAAUACAGUUGUAGUAGAAGUGUUUGUCUGCAUUACAACUUUUUUGCUUUUCCUUUUCAGCCGAACACCUUUCUUCAGAUGUUUUUUUGACCUUUUGGAUGAACUAAGGUUUUCAUCUCCAAUGACAUCUGAAUUGCUGAUAUAUUCAUCCUAAAAAAGAACUUGUCAAGUGUUAAAAAAAUAUUUAAUAAAAAUAUAAGAGAAUACUUUUGUUUAUGGAGUACCUUUUUUUCUAUGUUUUGUACGGAUAUUUUUCUAUGUUUGCGUUUUUUCUUGUCACUUCUUCUGGCAUCUUCUUUUUCCUAAAAAUUGUGAAUUAUCACAUAGAAGAGUAUAUUAAUAUAGCCUAAGAAUUGAACAUAUAUCAUUUUUUAAUUUAAUUGCAAUAGAGCACUUUCUAAUGCAUACUGAUCAGAUUAGAUAUUGCACUAUCCGCUAUUCCUUUAAAGCUUAGUCAGCCUGCAAUUUUGCAUGAAUAAUAUUUUUUUUGCAUGUACUGUAAAUAGAAUGAACAAUGAGAGGGAAGUGAGUAUACUUUUCUAGCCAAUCUUUCUCCAGUCCUUAUGGCUUUUUGUACGAAUGUUACUUUCUUGGUAAAAGAGUCAUCAGUGUCUACCUCUUCAUUCUCGGUAGUUAUGGUGUAGCAUUUGUCUGAGUUGUCUUCUACUUCCUACAAAUAAUCAAAAAAAAAAUAAAUGUAGGUUAGAAUUUGUUUCAUUGAUAUAGUAAAAUUAUUAAAUAUUAAGGAUUCUAAAGAAAAAAGUGCAAUAAAAACUUAAUAAUAAAGUGUUACCUUUUUUACACUUUGCAUUCCAAUUCUUGAACUACUCUUUUCUUUUAGAAAAAAUAUCUUUGAAACAGUAUAAUCUGGUCUAAAACUUGUCAAGUUGUACUCGGUCAAUCUGAAUUGAAAAAUUAAUGUUUGACCACAUAUUUUUUGAAUUGAUUCUGGUACCUCCUUACUAUCAUGAUCAGCUGAGCUGAUCAUCGAAUCUGCUGAUUCAUUAAUUAUCAUUUCUGCUUCCUUGUCAAAAAGUACACAAGAUGCACUUGUAGUCGGAUCACUUAUUUGAAGCUUAAUUUUGAAUCUGCAAACAUUAUUCUCCUAUGAGAAAUAAAAGUAUUAUAAUGAUAUUGUAAACUACUAAAUAAUUUACCGUGCUUUAGGUUCGGCUCUCUUGUCACAUUUAUUGCAAUAAUAGUGAUCAAACUUCUUUUCAAGUUGCUUCUUACAAUCGCCUCUACUACAUGAGAUGUAGUACCAACCAUAUGUUGCAUUAAUUUCAUUUAUUGUUGCUUCAACAGUAAAUACCUUAUCCUGAAAGUAGGAACAAUACCAUCAUUAUGUAUGUAAGUCUUUAAAUAGUAUAGUGUGUAAUGAACAUACUAAUUCAUACCUGAUUUGAUGCUUCAAAUAAUAUCAAAUUUAAUUCUUCUAAAGUUCUUCUGUUGUACUGCAUUUGGUCUUGCAAUGUCCCUUUUAGAUGGUCCUCAAUAUGAAUCUCUUUGACAAUAUUAUCAAUUGAACUAACGUUUUUUAUCAUACAAAAGAAUGUAUCAUGUUAGAGUGCAUGCAACAUAGAUUAAAAUAGAAAAAUAAUAACUAAUUUUUCUCACCUGUCAUGUGCAUCCUUAGUUUCAGGAAUAGGUAGAUCUACAUAAACUUUUGUUGCAUUGGUUGACGAUAGAGAAUACCCUGAGAAAAUAUCAAUUAUUUAUUUUCCUAGGAGGUUAGUUUGUUGAAUAAUUAAUAUUGGAUAACUCAUAUUGAAUAAAGACUUACUUCCAAAUUUCCUCACAGUUGUAGAUGUUAUUGCGAUGACAUGGGAUUUUGUCUCAUCAUCAACUUCCUCAACUUUGUCUCCCCAAAAUCUAACUUUAACUUCAUGAUCACUACAAAUUUAAAAGUGCAUAAUAAUAAAUAUUUAAAAUAUCUAACCAUGAAAUUAAUUAUUUGUAGGGGCACUAUAGAAGAUAUUUUCUAGUUCAACAGAAGUUCUAUAACAUGCAUGUAAACGUUGAAAGUUUCGUAGUUGUUUACUACAAAAGAAAAGAGAAUUACUCCAUCAGAAGCACAAUAUCACGGAUUUUGGUAAAUCCAAAGUUUGUUCUUGUUUCUUCUAUCGGUCCAAUGUGUGCUGCGACACCUAUAACAUCUAUGAAAUAUAAAUAUGAAUUAUUAUUAGAUGGCUGUCGAAUGAGUGGAAGUGUAAAAAUUGAAAAGCCAGUAAUGGUUUACCUGAUAGGUACAUGUCCACAUUUAUUCUUGAUGAAAGCAUAUCCGUGCUCAUAAAAUUGAAACUAUACUUUGGAAUGUCUUCAGUAUCUUUGACCGUUUUUAGUGUAGUUGUGGGCAAGAAGUUGACUAUUCUGUCAUUUACCACUGGCCGAUACUUCUGGGCUGCUGGUGUGAUUCUGACAUUUGCAAUUGUGUACACAUUGCCUUCUUCAAUCAAUGGUUUGAACUUAUCCAUAUAGGCCUUAUUGAUAACACCGUGCAUCAUGGUUCCCUAAUUUUGCAUCAUCAAUAAUAAUUUGUAAACAAAAAAAUAUACCAAAAAUUGCAAUCAAAGUGAACAUCCAUCAUACCUCUUGAUCAAUAAGGAUCAUGUCAAGACUUAAUUGUUCGCCACUACUGAGUAAGGUUGCAUUCCACAAUCUGGUUACCCUUGCCUUGAUGUUCCACAAUUCCUUUCCCGGUCUAAUUUCAGAUAAAGUUUUGCUCACCAUUGCAACUUGUUGAACUGCAUAAGCAAAAGAUGGUGAUGGAUUCAAUUGGACUAUUUUUCUAUAUAAAAGACAUUAUCUACAAACAUGGAAUUCAGUUGCAUGCUGUACUACUACAACUGGAUCUAUGUAUUGUUGGUUAUUACCGAGUGCCAGAUACUAACAGCUUAAUUUGCAGGUUGGUGGCAAAAUGCAAUCUCUGGAAUGUCGUUGUAAAUAUCUGCAUGUGUUCGACAGUAGCAACUCAAGAUUGUUAUUAUUCCAUAAAAACAUAAAUGAUUGUCGUGAUUGGUCAUACUUAAAUGUAUUAUUUUAAUUUUGAUACAAAGAUGCGAUAGGAAUAACAGUUUGAGAACAAUGGUGAGAAGCAAGUCAUCUAUACCACGUAUGCAGGAGGCCAUACAAUAACAAAUUAUUUAAUAGUACUAAUAUAUUCCAUGAAAAGUUAAUCUAAUUAUAGAAGGGGAACCAAACAAUUUGCAAGCUUGCAUGCGACCGUGCGCAAUGUUACUCCUCAAUGAAAACAAACUCAUAUCUGCCUUUGAGAACAACUGUGAGAAGCAAGUCAUCUAUACCACGCGUGCAACAGGCCAGACAAUAAACAAAUGAUUUAAUAGUAGUAAUAUAUGCUAUGAAAAAUUAAUCUAAUUGUAGAAGGGAAAUCAAACAAUCUGCAAGCUUGCAUGCGACCGCGCCCACGAUGAUAACAAACCCAUCUCGCCUAUAACUCAAUUCUCAUUAUUAGAAGGGAAAUCAAACAAUCUGCAAGCUUGCAUGCGACCGCGCGCACGAUGAUAACAAACCCAUCUCGCCUAUAACUCAAUUCUCAUUAUAUUGAUUAUUUUCCUCUCAUAUGACCAUGGAGAAAGACAUACAGAGAGACAAAGAGAUUACAGUACUGGUAGAUUGGUUAGGGCAUUCAUCUAUGGAGAUUAUUCUAUAGUAGGAUGAUUUAGAGAGAUAUUGGUACCUUUGGUUGAUGGUCGUCUUCCUAUGAGAAAAGACAAAAGACAAACUGAAACCCGUUGGAGCUCAGCGUUCUCGCAAGCUUGGUGCCUGUUGGAAGGAUCGGGAGAGAGAAUCGCCUGCUUCUGAGCGCCGGACUCUAAAUUUCCUGUAUAUAUAAUGGCCAUGCAAACUAAGCUCCGGACUCUGAAUCACCAUUAAGGUCUAAAAAUAUUCUGACAUUCACGUGGACAUUUUAAUCAUGUGCGGCUAAGAGAUAGAUUUAUUGAUGUACGUAAAAGAUAUAUUCUUGCUAACAGAUAGAUUCAUUGAUGUAUAUCUCACGUUCACCUCAUAUUUCACGUCCGACAAUUAAGUCAAAUUACAUGGAGAUAAAGAUUAGGGGUUGCUUUAGUUUAUUUUAUAUAAUGGCAUAGGUGGGUAAUUUAUAUAUAGAUUUAGGGGGUUACUUUAGGUUGUUUUCAUAAUGGCAUUGGUGGGUAAUUUUUUUGAAAACAUAAUAGAUCCAAUGGCUAUGGUGAUUUAAAUCUAUAUAUCGAUGGUCGGAUGCUUUGCUUUUUUGUGAGAAUUUCUAGGAUUUCUCUUUUUUUUUAGAGUGUCCACCUAGGAAUCCUAGGUGGCUUCACCUGGAGGCUUCAAAAGGAGCCUCCAAUUAGUAAUAGUAAGAUUGAUUUUUAUUUCUUUUCCAAAUAACAGCCACCCAAAAUGACUAAAAUGCCCAUAACCACCUCUCUGCUAGCCACUUCGCGCCGUUCCCGCAUCAGUCGCCGCCGCACAAUUUGGUCCGGAGGCGGAGAUCCUACCCUAGCGCUCGGCCGCUUGAGACACCCGCUGGCUGUCGUCGCCAGAUUCAGUCCAGACUCCAGAGGCCGCUAUCCUCCCCUAAGAGAAGGUCAAUAAUAGAGCCAAUAUCUUUGUCUAUAAGACAAGACAUGUCAUCAACAAAUGAUAUUGCAAGUAAGGUGCACAGCAAUGGUCGCUUAACUUACCACCUCAAAACUCUUAUUAAUAUUUCUUUAUUCAGAUUGGCCCACCCAUCAGCACCUAAACAGCUUUGCCACUGCAUGCUGUUUAAUGCUGUUGUUCUUGGCUUCUGUGUUCAGCUUAUUCAGCCGGCUUAUCAGACACCAAACAGUAUUUUUCUCUCACAACAAAUCAGCCGUUUCAGCUUUUCAGCCGGCUUAUAAGCUGAAGCGAACAGGCUAGCGCCAAGCUGAGCACUUUUUUCUUCUCUCUCCUCCACGGCAGCAUGACUACAAUUGUUGUACCUGCUCUAACACCCGGUGCUGACCUCGAGUAGCGCGUGAGAAGAGAGGCGCAUCACCCACGGGCCAGUUGCUACGGGCACGUGUAGGGUCAUGUUUAGUUCACCCCCAACUCCCAACUUUGGCACUAUGCAAAAAGAAGAUUCCCCAUCACAUCAAACUUGCGGUACAUGCAUGGAGUACUAAAUGUAGAUGAAAUUAAAAACUAAUUGCACAGUUUUGUUGUACUUUGCGAGACGAAUCUUUUGAGGCUAAUUAGUCAAUGUUUGGACAAUAAUUCACAAAUACAAACGAAACGCUAUAGUGUGCUACAGUGCCAGCACAGUAAUUUGGCACCUCCCAAUUUGGCCAACUAAACAAGGCUUAGGAGGGCUGCAAAUUGCUCUGUGCAGCCACGCCCCGAAUUGCUGCCGCGUGUCCACCCGACAGAUCCAGCAUCUUGCUCUCAGCUCUACUUCAACCAUCAGCCGAACGCAUGCGGCACGGUUCUCAGCUCUGCUUCUGCACUUGUCUUUCAGUUUUCAUAUUCAAGGAUUGUAUUGGCGGUACAGAAAGUGUUUCAUAUUGAUUUUGGUGAGAAGUGUAUGUAGAAGUAAGAUAGCAGUGAGUUGGCUACGUCCGGAGUAAGGACUAAACUUAAAUCCUAAACAAUCCAAACAGGGCUUAGGCCAUUCAAAAUGAAUCAACUCAUGGGAAUAAAGAAAGGUUAGACAUGUUCUGAAGAUUGGUUUGGUGUUUUGUUCCAGUGGUUGAUUCGGUACUAGGUCCACCAUCAAAUAAAAAAAAAAAAGCCAAACUUCUUCUCUGCUGCUUGCUCAUGAAGGCAUAAGAGGCAUGUGUUCUGCUUUUAGCUUUGUUUAUCCCCUAUGAAUCCAUGCAAGUAUAAGAGUUGAUUCUUUGUCUCUUUUCCAUGAAUCGACUACUUCCAAUGAAGAUGAAUCGGUUCAUCACCUCCACAUCAGACCAUGAAUUGCUUGGAAAGGGCCAAUGGCCUUGUGGGGCUAUGGGUGCCCUAAGCUUUUAAGUUUUGAAGGACUACUAUGACACCAAACAGAACUUGUUUAACCCUAAUAUCAACUAUUUUCCUAGUGAUUUCUUUUUACGAAUUGUCGGCAUGAUUUUUCCAAAAUUUUAUUAGAAAGAGAAAAAAUAAUUGAAAAAAGGGUUUGCUCCCAUCAGCAUAUAUAGUGCCCUAAAACUAAGAAUAAAUUUGUUGGCUGCUGCUGCAAAUUUUCUCAUACUCAAAUUGGCUAUCUAUUGCAAUUUUUUAUUGAUUAGGUUCUUUAUGUAUGAAAUCCGUUUACCUGGAUUUGAAUCCUCGAUUUACCAGGUGCUCUAGUUUUCCUUGAUCUAUUUGAAGGAGUAUCAAUUUGUUUAGAUAAUAUUCUCCCUUGAAAGCAUGCCCACCAUUCACAAAAACCCUGUCAAGCACGGCAACUGUACAUGCUUUCUUGUCGAGAUUGGACGAUACGUACCAAAUGACUUGACCGACCUUGUCAGAGAAAACCUACGAAUGAAUUAUGACCACACAACACAUUCUUGGAAGCGCCAUCAUCACAGAAAAGAGCCAAAUCAGAAGGAAUCUCGUGCUGGUAAACCAUCACCGCCCCAGCUGAAUUUCGACCGCAACGAAACGGCACGAGACAAGUGGUCCAUGAGCCUAGAAUAUCUCCGUUCAAUUUCAGUAGAAAAGUACUCUGGUAUUUUAGGCUGGACACGCCGCAACAAUCUUAUCCAGCUCAAGCAGCGACGUACGGCUGUAGUAUAGAAGAGGAGACGGGCCGGGACCUGAAAAAUGACGGUAGCUGUUAAGUUUGACGGACUCGGGUCUUCGCUACAGAAGCGGUCAAGCUAAGCCAAGGCCAGUAAAUCUGUUUUUAAACCCCGGGGGGCCUUGGCCAGCUAAGCAUCAAAGCUCACAGUACACAACUACACACCACCGUGUCGCAAGUGAAGCACGCUCCGGCCUUGCAGAGGUGCACCAUUCUCGAUCAUCUCUAGUCCUGAUUACUAUUGCUUCUGUUUUUGUCUAGUACUCUGCUGACUUACCUACCAUAUCAGUUUUUUCCGCGUGAAGCGGUAACACCUGACAAAAGUUCAGCCUUUCUGCUUUAAACAAGAAGUAAAAUUUAGAUAUAUUUCAUGUUCGAGCGCACCACAUCCGUAGUUCGAUUGAAUUGUAUUGUUGUCGUCGCUAGAACAUAUUAGAUGCCAUGAACGGGCAUAGUGAUACAGCGAAGCUCCACCAGUGAACGUAGCAUGGCCAAUAUUUACUGUUUACAUUUUUGCAGGUGCCUUGUUUGUCAUGUGUUGCGCUAAGCAACCCGUGAAAAGCAGCAUGCUCUUACUAUUGGUUUGGCUGCUGCUAUCAUAUUUCUUUGGCAAUAUUCAUUGCUCAACUGUCCCCAAGAACAGCACGGACAUGCUUUCACUGCUUGAUUUCAAGCAGGCCAUCACUAAUGAUCCGGGGAAAGUUUUGAGCAACUGGACUGCUAGCACUCCUUAUUGCCAGUGGACAGGCGUCAAAUGUAGCCGGACGCACACAGACCGUGUCGUCGUGCUGGACCUCGCCGGCCACAGUUUGACGGGCACGUUGACAGCUUCACUUGGGAACUUAACGUUCCUUAGGAUACUCAACCUGUCCGUGAAUCACUUCUCUGGUCACUUGCCACAUCUUAACCAUCUCCACCAAUUGGAGGUCCUUAAUCUGAGCAGUAACUCCCUACAAGGGGUAAUUCCAGAUACACUCACAAACUGUUCCAAUCUUAGAAAAUUAUUCCUUGCCUACAACUUUCUAGAAGGUGAAAUUCCACUGAAUGUUGGUCUCCUAUCAAAAUUAUCAACAUUGCAACUUACGAACAAUAGUCUGACCGGAGCCAUCCCACCAAGUCUCAAUAAUACUCUGCUAGAAAAAAUCGGCCUUGCAAAUAAUCGGCUCACAGGAAGCAUUCCAAGUGAGCUUGGAUAUUUGUCAAAUCUGUCAGUUCUGCUUCUCGGCGGCAAUAUGCUAUCAGGUGUAUUCCCAGCAUUCCUACUUAACAUGUCUACCCUAAUUGGGUUACAUUUAGGUAGGAAUUUGCUACACGGGGAGUUGCCAUCUAACAUCGGCAGCGUGUUCCCUAGUCUCCGUAAUCUUGUUCUAAGCAUCAACAAGUUUGAAGGCCAAAUCCCAGCUUCAAUAGGCAAUGUUCCAAAUCUUGAAGUGAUAGAUCUAUCAUCAAACAAUUUCACUGGUCAAGUUCCUAGUUCUUUUGGUAACCUUCUUCAGCUAAAUAAGCUAAUUCUAGAGGAUAACAUGCUUGAAGCACCAGACACCAAAAGCUGGGAAUUCUUAUAUGCCUUGAGAAACUGUAAUCAUUUGAAUGUGCUCUCACUAGCAGGAAAUCGGCUAACUGGAGCUAUUCCAGAUUAUAUUGGCAAGUUGCCCACUGGACUUGCAAAACUAUAUUUGGACGACAACCACCUAUCAGGGUUAGUGCCCUCAAGCAUAGGAAACCUGACUGGCUUGAUUUGGUUGGAUCUAGAUAACAACAAACUUACUGGUACAAUUGGAGAAUGGAUUGGGAUGCUAAAAAAACUACAAUAUCUAGAUCUUAGUGAGAACAGCCUCAAUGGGCCCAUCCCAUCCUCCAUUGGCAAUCUUACGCGGUUAGGGGUCCUAGAUCUAGGACAAAAUGAAUUCACUGGUACUAUACCUACCAGCCUGGCAUACCUUCAACAGCUCAUAGAUUUGGAUUUCUCCUACAAUAAAUUAGAAGGUAACCUACCUUCAGUGGUUUUUAGUAUCCCAACAUUGACCACAUUCGUGCUGUCGUACAAUAAAUUAGAGGGUCCAAUGCCUUCAGAAGUUGGUCAUCUUACACAACUCACUCUACUACUUCUUUCAUCCAACAAAAUCUUUGGUGAAAUUCCUGACACUUUGAGUCAAUGUCAAGAGUUGAAUAUCCUCGAACUGGACAAAAAUUGUCUCACAGGAAGCAUUCCGGUGUCUCUUGGUAACUUGAAGAGUUUGAGCGUGCUUAAUCUUUCCCACAAUAAUUUUUCGGGCUUGAUCCCAUCAGCUAUAGGUGACAUAAAAACUCUCACCUGCUUGGAUCUUUCUUAUAAUCGUCUACAAGGAGAAAUACCAUUCGGUGGAAUUUUUGCAAAUGCAACAGCUGUUUCGUUAAACGGCAAUUCGGGACUCUGCGGAGGAUCUUUGGAUCUGCGCAUGGCCCCAUGUGCUUCUGUUUCAUCUCAGAGAUUUGAAAGACAGUACUUUUUAAUCAAAAUAUUGAUCCCAAUAUUUGGUUUCAUGUCACUCAUACUAUUAAUCUAUUUUGUUCUCGUUGAGAAGAAGAUGUCAAGGCCGUAUUCAUUGCUGCCUUAUUUUGGAGAUAAAUUCCCUAAAUUUUCUUAUAUGGAUCUGGCUGAAGCCACAGGAAACUUCUCUAACUUGGUUGGGAGAGGAAGCUACGGAUCAGUGUACAGAGGGAAGUUGAUCCCUUCUAAACUGGAAGUGGCAGUAAAGGUUCUUGACCUUGACAUUCAUGGUGCAGAGAAAAGCUUCAUAUCAGAAUGCGAAGCAUUGAGGGGCAUUAAACAUCGAAAUCUUCUACCCAUAAUAACUGCAUGUUCGACUGUUGAUAUCACUGGCAGCUCUUUCAAAGCUCUAGUUUAUCCAUUCAUGCCUAAUGGGAAUUUGGACACAUGGUUGCAUCAUAAAGAAGGGAAUGCUUCAAAGUAUCUAAGUUUAAAUCAAAGAUUAAGCAUAGCUGUUAACAUCGCAGAUGCAUUGGAAUAUUUACAUAAUGACAAUGGAAGGACGAUUAUACAUUGCGACCUGAAGCCUAGUAAUAUUCUCCUGGAUGAUGAUAUGACUGCUCAUUUGGGGGAUUUCGGCAUUUCAAGUUUCCAUAUUGAUUCUGUGUCCACAUCAGUUGAGGAUCUAAAUAUGGCUAGUUCAAAAUGCAUUGCUUCCAUCGGCGUGAAGGGGACCAUCGGAUAUAUAGCUCCAGGUAUAUAAUUACUGUUUGUUCGAUUUUCAGCCAGUAAUACGUUGCAUAAGUAUAAUUAAUGAUGUUACAAGAACUGCGUUAUUUAUAUCUACAGAAUAUGGUGGAGGUGGCCAUGUAUCAACAUAUGGGGAUGUUUAUAGUUUUGGGAUUGUACUUCUAGAAAUGUUAACCGGAAAAAGGCCUACAGAUCCUAUGUUCACGAAUGGGCUCAACAUUGUCAACUUCGUCGAGAGGAGCCUUCCAGAUCAGAUAUUCGAUAUUGUUGAUGCUCCAGUCCAGGGAGAAUGUGAGACCUUUGCUCAAAAAGGUGCCCUAGUAGAAAACAGAAUCUCACGUUGCUUGCUGACUCUGCUACAGUUAGCACUUUCUUGUACGUUCCAAUCGCCAAGAGAAAGAGCCAACAUGAGAGAAGUAGCCAGCAAACUUCGUUCGAUCAAGACGUCACAUGCUGGCGCGAAAUUUUUUUGAAGAUGCUGAACAGUGAUUACUGAAAUCAACACGUACGGGCAUGCCCCUCAAUAUUUUAAUGAGUAAAACCCUGUUUUGCUCUCCUACAGUUGUCUGGGAGAUUAAGAAGGAAUAAUUAUGUUACGACCAAAAUUGGCAUAACCAGGAAUCAUUCUGUUGAUACCAAAAUUAUUAGCACAAAGCUUGCUCACUACUGCAGAUGACUUUCGUAUCGGCUCAUACGUGCCCGUCAAAAGGGCACCGAUGCAUCAAGUUCUUUCACACCGGUGCAGAAAACGACAGUGAACAUACUGAUGUAUAGCACACCGGCACGUUUACUUAAUUGUACCGCCGCACGAGUAAUUUCAUAAUCUAACCGGUCUGGACAUAUAAGGAUUGAUUCGCUAAUUAGGGUCUGUUUGGAAAGGGUGCUAAACUUUAGCACCCUAUUUUUAGCACCUUUUUAGCACAUGGGCUCCCAAAUAGGAGUGCUAAAAGUUGUGCGCUAAACUUUAUCACCCCCAUUUUCUUUAGCACACUCAAGGGGUGCUAAAGGGUGUUAAACUUGCUAAAAGUGGUCCUCAUCCAAUUUUUUCCCUGAUUGCCCCCUCUCUCUCUCUCCUUCCUGCCACACCCCUGCCGCCCUCCGCGGGACACGCUGCCUCUGCCCGGCCAUGCCGCCUCCACCGGCCAUCCCUCCCUCCUUCCCCACUCCGGCGCCGCCCACUUCUCCUCCGUGAUUUCCUAUUUCUCAUGCCGGGCGGGAGCUAGGCAGAGCCUAACCUCGCGGGAUCCGGUGCGGACGGCCUCUGUGGCGGAACCGCCCAACUUAAACUGGUUUAAAUGCAUCUAAUCGCUGCCGGAACAGCAAUUAUCCGAAACGCACUUAAAACAGUAUAAGUCCGGUCGUCCGUCGAGUGUCCCUAGGACUCCUCGAAUGAUCCAUGAUACGUCUCAUAGCCAUACACCAGGAUUGUUUCCAUGAUGGGAAAACAUCAACAAAUAUUACAUUUUUUCAUACAUACACGAGGUACGAGUUAUUACAAGACGUAGUUUGAAAUAAACUUAACAGUGCAGGUCAGACAGAGGUUCUAGGAAUUAAACAUAAACGGGUUCAGGUGGGAGAUGAGCAUUCAAAGAUUUCUUCUAAGGGUAUUGCGAGACUCGUAACAAUACCCUAAUUUUUUGGGGCUUCCUCCUCGGUGGACUCCUGCGGUGCCUCUGAAAACAGCCACAAGGGAUAACCCUGGGUACUUAGCAAGGCUUACCCGACUAACCAAUAUAAUAAACUUUCCUAGACUAUAUGACAGCUUUUUAGGUGUACUGGUGGACACACCUUUUUGCCAAAGAGCUUACUAAAAUUUCGUCCUUAGCUUUAUCUUUUAUUACACUUAAGUUAUUACCUAAUUAUUCUAAAUGAUGACAAAAAUAAAUAUUUUGUAAGCAUCAAGAUAUUAAGUCAUACACCAAAACAUUAGUGGAAAGAUAAUGCAUUCGUGAAUUUAUACUACGAUGCUCAACAGUGAUCAAGUGCAUUCAUAACCGAGAAUUGCGGUGAUCCGGAUCAAAUUACAUCCUGCAGGAAAGUACCCUGGUCACCAGUUAUAUACGACUGUCCAAGUCAUAUGUAACGACCUUUCGAUUAUCAAAUCCAAGGAUUGGGAAUAAGACUACCUGGACCCAGGGACGCACCCCCACAUGGGAUCCCACGUCUGGCCUGAUCUCCAUGUGAGUUUCAGGCUACGCCCCUGCCAAUCUCCAGCACAUCAAGCACGGGUACGAAUUAUUCCCGAUCAGAGGGUUUACUAACCUACCAGGCUUUACUGGUCCCAUACCCAGUAAGUAACCAGGUGUCAUUCACUUGAUCAAAGGUUAAGACAACGAUCGGGCCUUAACCAAAUUAAUCUAGCAGACAGAACUACAUCCUUAGCUUCUGUCCGCUUCUUAACUUUCAAGCUAUCUUUCCAUAAUUAGCAUGUAUGACCCAACAUGUUACCUUAAGGUUCGGUAAUCAAGUUACUUAAGCGACUAAGCAUUUCUAGACUUGGUAACUUACUAAAUAUUCGAACAAGUGGCAAAGAUGUCCUUAAAACAAGGUACGAUAAUGCACUAGAAUGGGUUUCAAUCAACUCCUAGACCUAGUGCAUUCAUAUAGAAAAUAACCGAUAAUUGGACACAUGAAAUAAUAACUCCAAAAUAAAUAGGUAUAAUGCACCGGGGCUUGCCUUGUUCUAUAAAAAAGUUAGCACUGUCUGAAGGAUUGGCCUCGCAGGGGACCAACUCAAUAAUCUCUUCGAACUCCGGAGAUCCUUCUGAAAAUUCCGAGAAAUCCUCUUCCGGUGCUUCGGUGUCUAAGAUAAAGCAUAUGCAGGGGUUAGUGAUGCAACUUUUUGAAUACAAGACUAUACAACUUUCCUUCAUGAUAAAGUUGCAAGCCAACAAGGGACUAUACAAUUUAUCAUGAUAAAGUUGCAAACCAACACAUAAAAACCCGAAAAGAUUAACCCACCAUUUUUAUUUCCUUCACUAACCUUACCUAAGGCUCUUUCUUUUAUUUUUAGAAAAUGUUAUAAUUAUUUUCUAGUCUUGAAACCUAAUUUCCUAUGGGUUAACAAUGAUUUGUGAUUAUGAAAAUGUUAUUCCAUAUUUUAUGCAUUUUAAUAAAGAUUAAGUAUUUAUUUAAAUACCUUAAAGAAAAGGCAUUAAACAAAUACCUAAAUUUUUAUUAUUUUUUCUAGGGUAUAAAAAUUUUAAUGCAUAAAAGGAAAAUAAAACAAUCCUAACAAAAUUGGUUUCACUAAUUUUGGACACCCCUAGAAAUUUCUGUAAUUUAAAUGGUGAUAACCGAAUUUAAUCUAUUAUUCUAUAAAAGGAAAUCUAAAUUUUCCCGGAAAAACCUCAGCCUACUUUUCUCACGCACCCUUACCCUACCCCCUCUCUCUUACGCUGGGCCCGCGACUCGGACCCACCCCCUUCUCUUAUUCAUCCUACCCGACGACCAUUUCUCCUCGGCUGGGCCCUACUGGGCCGAUUUCUUCUCUUCUCCUCUUUCCUUUUCUUAAUUUGGCCCAGCGACUCAACCCCUUCUUUUCUUUCCUUCGCGCAUCUUCCGACCUGUCUCACCGGCCUACCGGCCUGCUGGACCUCACGGGCCCCCAACCUCUUUCCUUUACCAACCGCCCACACUGGCACUCGGGUCUACGGGACUUCGGCCCACCUGACGUCUUCGCCCCGCCUGCUUCCUUCCUCCCCUUUCUCCUCUGACGCGUGGGCCCACAAACACCAGAGCCUUCUUCCUUCUCGCGCCAAAACCCGAGCGCGGCAGGGGGCGGCACAGCUCGCCGGCCGGUGCCCCACCGGCGACGGGGCCGGGCUGGGGAAGCAUCCCCAUGCCCUAGUGCACCUGUGCGCGGCGGUAGCUCCCCGGGAGGUGGCCAGAGCCAUCCUCUCCACGGCGGCGGGCGACGGCACUAACGGCCGGCCGUGACUAAGCACGACGACGGCGCAGCCCACCCUUUCGACAACCUCUACAGCUUCCUAGUACCCCAAGGACUCACCUACGACUGUCCACACGGAAAGAGAACGAAGGCAAGGAAUUGCUCACCGUGAGCAGGAGGUGCGGCGGUGGCGGACGGAAACGACGGCGAUGCAGGGCACGCAGGCGGAGAGGCUGGGCAACAAGCUGCUAGGGUUGUUGGUGGGGUGUGAGUGGAGGUGUGGACGGAAGGAAUCGACGAGAGCUGCGGUGUGGUGGAGGAAUUUUGCUCGGUGGCGGCGGCGUGACAGAGAGGGUGGCGGCGUUAAAAAGAACCGACGGUAAACACGGCGGCGGGAGCGGUAGAUAUAUGAAGUUUUUACCGUGCGCAUGGUCGACACCGUGGCCUAGCUAUGGCCUUGCGUGGCGUGGAGGUGGCCUAGCUGUUGAGCUGGACAGCGGGCAGGACCACCGGCGGCGACACGUCAUGCUCAGCUCUGUUUUCUCGUCUCCCCCUUUCUUCUUUCAUCAGAAAGUUCAGAGCCUUUCCACGGCCGAUUUUCAAUCCGACAGUCCACAAACCUCUUAAGCAAAGUUGGAGAUAAUCUCAAACCCUUUGAUUUAUAUUUAAACUUCUACCCAAGAUAAACAUCAAAAGGUUGCCAAAUUUCGAGUUUUUCUCUCAGACCACUGAAUUGCUUCUGAACAUCUUGAUUCAGUUCGACAGUCACCUGAACAUGGUCAUUUACCCAUCUUUGGAAUUAUUUUCAGUGGCCCAAAUCCCUUCUUUUUAAUCCAACUACUAACCAUUCAUACUCUACAACCAUCAGGGGUUCCAUUUUGCUCAUAAACACCCCUACUUUCUGCACUACAUUUUUCUAAAUUUUGCUCCAAACUCGGGAUCUUGCUCCAAAAUGACAGUUUCAGCAGUCCAGUCCACCGUGGCAAAGUGCUGACUUUGAGCUAAAUUUUAAAUUUACUCCCUUUACUGUUCUUGAUCAACAACACCCGAAUAUACUUGUCCAAAGUUCAUACUUCAUCACUGUAUAGUUGCCUUGGUCCACUUAUUUGGAAAAUUUGGCAGAAAUCAAUUUCAAAAAUGGAUACUUGCACUGUUUUUCCGAAAAUCCAUUUUCGGACAGUGAACAGUACACUCCUGUUUUAAAUUUUUCCAUUGCUUUUCUUGAGAUGUUUAGCACUAAAUUUAGUCCCCAAUCUUGAUUCCAAAGUUCUAAACACUCUCAAGCUUCCAUUCCAUAUUUUUGCCCAAUUUUUCUGAAUUUAGAAUUCAAAAUUCAAAUUUCGGUCAAAUUUGACUUUUAGUCAGUUUCUUCUCUUUUUCUCCAUAAUUCACCUUUAACUUUUCUUAAUCACCUUUGAUGACUUAAAACACCAGGUGUUACAGCCUCCGGCAAUCAGCGAUGGCGGGUGGAGCCCCGGCUUGGUGGCGUUGCGACGAGCCGUGGGGACUGCGCUAGGCCGCCGCCGUCGAGCCACCCGGUGGAGACGAGCGGCCGCUGGCAAGGAGGUGGACACGACGAGUUGGGGUGAGUCGCCGGGAGCAUGCUCGGCCUCGCCACCAUGGGGAAGCAGCAGAUGCCUCUGCCGCGGGGUGAGGCGGCCUGGGCGGAGCAGGGGCCGCAGCUAAUCACGGGCGAGGAGGUCGGGGUGGAGGACUAGGGUGGAGCUGGGCCGCUGCGUCGACGGGGGCUGCCGCAGCGGGGGCCGGGACGGGGACGGGAGGCGGGGGUCGUGCGGGGGUGCCGGGCUGACGGCAUCGGCGGCGCCUGGCCGUGCAGGGGUGCCGAGGCCGGUGGCAUCGGCCGCGCUUGGCCGUGCGGGAGCGGCGGCAAAGGGAGUGGGAGAGGAGAUGCGCGAGGUGGGGUGAAGGAGGGGAGCUCGAAGAGGAGGAGGAAGAGGGGUAGUGCGCCAACCAUAAAUGAGGGGCGCUGUUGUCAUUUGCCAUCAAAUGUGCUAAAGUUUACCACACUAUCCAAACAGCUCAAGGUGCUAAACUUUAGCCCUCCAUUUGAGGGUGCUAAACUUUAGCACUGAAGUUUAGCACAAGGUUCCAAACAGGACCUUAGUUAAAGGUAGCGGAUUGAGUUAGAACCAUCUAGGUUAUCCUCCGCACCAAACCCUACUAGCACGUUCUAGAUUAGCGUGUCAAUUUAAUAAGAAGGAAGUUCAAGCUUCAUAUCCUUCCACUCUGUAUAUUUAAAUGCCUGACCACUCAAGUAUCUGCAUGACCUACUCGCACUCUAUGUGUCUCUCUCUCCAUCUCUGUGUUUCUAUUACCCACCAGCCUAGCUAUAACGGAAAUGUUCGUCUCUCGCCACAUCUUGCAACAUUUUAACAUCUAGGAUGGCGAUUGCGUAGUCGAUCCUUUUGGUUACCACAAGCAUGUCCAUUGGCAUGUGCCUAGCCACAUAUAAAAACUGGAAGGUCUACAUCAAAAGCUUCCUUCUCCUAAGGACGUGGCAAGGUCCAUGACCACUCCUGGACGUGGUGGGAUGAGUAGUGAUGUUCCGCCGCGUCAAGAAGCUCGUCAUCAACGAGGCCUACUCUCAGCUUCUUGAGACCGGCCGUGCGUGUAUGUUAUUUUAGUUACUUUGAUGUCAGUCUAAAUUUCGUGAUGUGGACGUGUGUAAGUAACAAGAUCCCGUUAGGCUAUAGUUUGUGAUUUUAGUAACUGAGUGACAACAUAGUCAUUGGGAUUAAUGGUUUGUCAAUCAUGUACCUUGAAGGUUUUAUAGGUCCCAAGAAUGCAAACUAAACCAUGGCAUGAUCCAAAUGACGAUAUUUUCUGUGCUCAAAUGGCGGUAUUCAACUCAGAAAAAUUAGUAGCACUGGAUAAUCUGAUGGUGCAUUGGAGCAACCAUUGGACUAACCAUUGGAGCAAUUAUUACAAUGGGAAAGGUAGGGAAAAACUUGCAGCAAGCACUGGAUGAUCCGACGGUGUAAUUUUUAGUAGCAUUGGAUGAAUUCUGAAGCGAAGGCACGGAAGACUGAAGCAUCGGAUGAUCCAACGCCUAUGUGGAGGUGACUGUUGGACCAAGCAUAUUUACUGUUUCAAUGCCCAUCGGAUGAAGCGUCGGAAUAAUUUUGGGCGGGGGCCAACGGCUACUUGCAUCAGUAGAUGAUCGGAUGCCUACCCAAAGAGACCAUCGGAUCAUCCGAUGAUCAUAGCUUAGCCUUUGGAGCAACAGCUCUUUGAGGUCCUUGGACUAUUUAUACCCCCUCUACUCGCCCAUUUUGAAAUUAUUGGAGUGUCCAGGAGUGUAAGACAAAAACUCAUCAAGAAUACAUCCAUGCUAGCAAAAGUGAUAAUUCAAGAUUUAGCACAAGCUUAAAAGAGUGAUUAGUGAUAGGAUAGGCCUAGAGAGAGUGAGUGCAAGGUGCUGCUACCUUGUAAUUUGUUCAAGGAGUGAACCACCAUUGUAAGCCUGGUGUGCCUGCACCUUGGGGCCUUGGUGGCUCGUCGGCAAAUCUUCAACCCUCCAGCUUGGUGUGGAGUGGCGAUGACUGUGUGCAGGCGAUGAGGAGACCCCUUCCUUCGUGGAGAAGCUCCGUAGUAGAGAUAGCGUCAAGGUGAUCGGAAGAAAGGAAGUGGUGAGCCUUGCCGUCAAGCUUCUCAUCUGGCUUGGCGAGAGCCUUUGUGGCGAGCUCAAGACCUUUGACCGAGAGAGAGUUGGUGACCGGGAGCAUAUCCUUGGUAGAGCUUCAGCAUGAACUAGGGGUGGCAUUUUCCUACCAAUACCACGGGAUAAAUCACCGUGUCGAGUUUGCAUCCUUCCUAACCCACUCAUUUACGUUUUCACAUUUCAUACUUGCAACUUGAGUACAUGUACUUUCUAGAGUAGUAUCUUGAUAGGAUUAAUUGGCUCUAGGUUGCAAAAUUCUUUGUGAGUGGGAAGUUUUUCACUACAUCAACAAUAGUUGCACAUCUAGAUAGCAUGAUCUAUUUUAUAUUUGAUGCUUUGAAGUGGAAACCAUAGGUCAAGAUUUUAAGUUUGCCUAAUUCACCCCUCCCCCUUUAGGCUACGAGCACCGAUUCCUUUCGAUGUGGAACAACAUGUACUGAUAUUUAGUGUAAUAAAAUUAUUCGCUUGUGUUUAUUAAGUUUUCGAAUUUUGUUUCUUAUUUAAACAACAUUCUAACCGGUCUAGAAUCGAGCUGCUUAGAAUGAGUUCCUGCACUUGUAUUAAGUUUUCCUACUCCUCUGCCGCUCGCCGCUUCUCCCCCGCUCCUCCUCCUCUAAUGUAAAUGGUGUCAUCUGCGGAACAGGUGGCCAAGGCAGCGGCAGCUUUGGCGACCACAGUGACGUGCCUCGCUGAGGCCAUGGCAUGCACGGUGGUUUCCGCAACCGCGAGAGAGGUGGUCCUCCGCUCCCUUGCCGUAGCCGCCACCGGAUCUGCAGCCAUCCUGACUGGAUCCGCAACAGAGACGCAGAAGGCCCUUGCAUCCUCCACCCGUGCCAUCGCAGAUGCGGCCGCAGUGGUCGUGGGGAGGUAGGCCACACUGGUGGCAGGGAAGGUUCGUGCUCGCGCGGCCUUGGAGAGCCAGCUAUGCCUCCCCUUCGACCAUAACCUCCAUCGCAGUGGUGGUGGCAGGCGGUAGGGCGGCCGGUGCUCUUAACCUUUCUUUAUCUCCUAAGGGGGGAAAUAUUUCUUUAUUUGUCAUGGGGCUUUUUUUUCGAAAUAUAGACGCUCACAUAAACACACUCACACUCAUCACUAUGAAUACACGCAUGCAACCGUACCCUUGUGAGUACCUUCGAGAUACUGAGCUGGUAUAUUCUUGAGAUUGACGAAGUUACAACUGGCGUCUUGCUGUUGACGGGUACGUUACCUACCACUGAAAUAAUAGUGCUCGUUAAGUUUUAGAAUAGAUCUAAGAAAAUACGAGCAUCGAUGUCGAGUCGAGUAUUCGAACUAGGGUGAAUAAGUUCCGCUAUAAGCUGUGCUCAGUUUCUGCCACGGAGCUUUUCAGUAGCCGUGAAAGACAAGCAUUGAACCAUGACGCAAAUAAUUUGUCUCGCACAGCUAGAUCUACCAACGGCUAAAGCAAAAAAAAAAAAAAGCUUUGACGGUUUCAAAUGCUUCCACGUGGUUGCGUGCACGUGUCUGCGGAUCUUAUUAGUAAAAGCCAACAAUUUGUAUAGGCACAAAGCGUCAAAGCCCAUGCAACCUGUACUUAUUUGAAUCAAUACAUUGAAGUUUGUUAGAUUAAGUCGUAAUUAUGAGAUGGACAUAAAAAUAUGAGAUGGACAUAAAAAAAUAAUUUCUGCCUCCACCCGUUGUGCACCAGCAGUCCGGCACUAUAUAUAUGAAUAUUAUGUCGAAGGUUUCAGUAUGUUAUCUCUCAAGCGGGCCUGCUCAUCAAGUGCUCAACCACCUCUGUUCCAGAAAACACCGCUCCUUUUCUCAGUAGAACUAGCAAGGCAUGGCUAACCACCAUAAGCGUUGUCCCUUAACCAGUGCCUUCGUCUUUAUUCUCUCUUACAUUGUUCUGAUAGCAUCAGUAGAGUCAGCAAGGCCAGGAUUGUCUUACAACCAACAUUCUCCUACAUACCCACAGAUGCACGACUUCCAAAAUGAACAGCUUUUCCACGCGUAUUUCGUCAUUCAGAGCUUCAAAAAUACCGUCACAUGCGAUCCUAGGAACAUCACGUCAACCUGGACCGGCCCUGACAUCUGCGGCAAAAGGAGCUACGUGGGCUUCUAUUGCGCGAGAAAGCAGGGACCCGGUAGCAACCUCACGGUGACUUCAGCCAUUUUCAAUGGCUUUGGCCUGUGUGCGCCAAUGCUUCGAGGCUUCCUCGACCAGCUUCCCGAUCUUGCUCAUUUCCAGGCUACAUCUAACAAUUUUGGUGGUGAUGUCCCCAGCCUUGCCGGCCUGACGGAGGUGUCCAACGUUGAUGCCAACGGUAGGCGUAAACAAAAUAGAGAGGGAUCACAGAGCACUACAAGUAUUGAGAUAGAUAAUAUCGGAGUAACGGCAAAAACGAUGGGUGACCUAGUUCACGCAAUCACGCAUCCCUUUGAGAAUAGUAUUUCAGCACACUUACCCAAAAACAACUCAAGCCCUCGAGCCUCCUUUGCGCCGCCUUCCUCAUUGAGCCCAAGCACCGAGAGGCUUGGAUUUCCAAAGAUGAACUACCUCGCCCUCGCCAACAACAAGCUCACGGGUCCAAUUCCACCAUCAAUCGCAGAGGCACAAGAUACUCUCCUCGAGGUACUAUUCCUGAACAACCAGCUCUCCGGCUGCCUCCCUAACGAGCUGGGCAUGCUCCACAAGGCGACCGUCAUCGACGCCGGCAUGAACCAGCUCACCGGCCCGAUCCCUGCAUCCUUCUCGUGCCUCAGCAGCGUCGAGCAGCUCAACCUGGGCGGGAACCGCCUCUACGGCCAGGUGCCCGACGCGCUCUGCAAGCUCGCCGGCCCAGCCGGCCGCCUCGCCAACCUCACGCUGUCCGGCAACUACUUCACCUCCGUCGGGCCGGCGUGCGCGGCGCUGAUCAAGGACGGGGUGCUGGACGUGAAGAACAACUGCAUUCCGGGACUUGCCAACCAGAGGCGCCCGGUGGAGUGCGCGGUGUUCCACAGCCAUCCG
rnacentral:lncRNA from 1 species